rnacentral:lncRNA from 1 species
AGUUAGACAAUAUCGUGGUUCAGUGGAUUUACUCGCGGAUUUGGAUAUCUGUAGAUUUUGAAUACAUGAAAGAUUUUGGACUGGGCUUUUAAACGAAGUUUUCUUUAAAGUAUACUCGUAGUUUUCACAAAUAAUGGAUAUCUACCCCUCGUGGUAGCUUGUUUACUGUGACAUAAAGGUUUCCAUAUGAAAAAUGAUUUUCAAAGUGAUUUUUUGGUUUUUCGUGGAUUUUUAAAAAUUAGAGUUUCAAAGUGAAGCCUUUGUGUGGGAAGGCACUUUCAACUAGUAGGAAUGAAUGUGAAACUUAAGAAAUGAUAAUUUGUGUGAAUUGUGAAUGUUGUUAGUGUGAGUGGUAUGUAAUGGUUGUCACUUGUACUAUGUGCUUUGCCGUGCAAAUAUAAGGGAGACUCUGUCCGUUUGAACAGAGAAUUUCUUGUAUUUAUGGCGGAUCUGUUGUAAUGUACCGAAAAGUUCGAGUUGCAAUGUUAACUUUGAUCUAAAGGAUCAAAGUGAAGCUUGAACUGGUCGUGUAUCAUUCCCGAGUGAUUUUGGAGGUAUGGGAAUGAAUUCUGAAGAUAAUUGAGUGUUUCGGCGCAAAUUGGGCGCGAAACAAAAUUUACAGAGAAUUUUCGGAUUAAAGCGCUAACUUUGAUUAAAUGAAUCAAAAGUGAACAAUGAGGAUGAUUUAUUGUCACACCCCAAACCCGAGGCGUAACAGACGCCGCAUACCUGCUAAACUAGCAAAUAUGUAAGGCUACAGAAUCAGACGGAAACUAGCAAAAAGAUAAUUACCAAUUUUUCCACUAAAUCCAAAGAAUCAUAAGAUGAGAUUAAGAAAUUGAAUUUCAACUAAAAUCAAACGGAAUUCUAACAUCUAUAAAACUAAAGCUUACUACGAAUCACAAAACUAAAGCUUACUACGAAUCACAAGAGAGAUUCGGUCUACAAAAUACCAUAAGUGACAAAAGUGGGUACGAAGAAAUAACGAAAUAAAAGCAAAUGACAAACGAUUAUAUACGAAGUCCAAAGAUUCACAUCCGAAAAUACUAGAUGUAAAAAAAAAAAGGACUAAAACAAAACUAGCUACGUCUAACGUUCACUUGGUCUCAGCCCCGCCCGGCAAAUCAGUCUCGGUAUCUGGGUAAGCAACCAUACACCACAUUAGUCGGAUUAAGCAUAUAAAUAAAUAAAUACAAAAAUUAAUUUAAGCGACUGGUUUAUAAUUUGCAAAAUUUCAGAAAACAAGACUUUAUCAAAACUUAAAAUUCAGAUCGGAUCGAAACUAUAAAUUUUACAAAGCGUUUCUCUUUCGACAUAUAAACGAAGUAAACAUUAAGUCCCUGACACUUAACUAUAUCAUAUGAUCCGUUGGCGAGAUCCAGAGGCACCCGAAGGUGCAAACAAAGCAGAAGCACCCGAAGUUGCAAACAGAACAGAGGCACCCGAAAGUGCAUGUACAAAACAGAGGCACCCGAAAGUGCAUGUACAAAACAAAGGCACCCAAAAGUGCAAACAAAACAGAGGCGUGGAUAGGCGCAGGCACCCGAAGGCGCAAUACAAAGAUGAAACUAGCUUCUAUAACAAAAUACACGUCGACAUGGCCAACAUUAGCAUAGCAGAAUAUUAGGAGAAAUCAUAAUUCAAAAAUUAUCCAGUCACUAAUUUACAAAACAGAUUAUCAAAUUUCAAAAGUUCAUUUUGCUAAAAAGACCUGUCAAUCACAGUUGAAGCUCAAUUUACAGAAAUAUUUAAUAAUAUGCUCAACCCGUAAUUUUGAAAUCUACAAAAUAAGAUUUUCAUACAAUCUAAAUAUUUUUCUAAUUUAUCUUACGAAAAACUAACGGGUGUCUGGUCGCUUACCUCAAAAGCGGCUUCUAAGCUAAGAAGCUAUCCAAUUGAAAAUUGCGCGAAAAAUCAAUCACCGGAACCUAAAAUAGAGAAACAUGAUUCUCUAUAAGCUACUUAAAAUAAACUUACAAAGAUGACAUAUAUACAUUUAGAAAGCAAGCUUAUACAAAAAUCUGAAUUCAGAUAGGUUCACAUAGGUUGACAAAAUCGGCUACAAAUGCAUGCAAAAAGGUCAAGAUGGAGCACGAAAGAGAUUUAGAAUACAUUCGACGAAACUCAAUUAGCAAUCAAAAGGAUGAUGAGUUUCAAAUAUUAAAGUUUUCAAAGAAGUAAGAUAACAUGAAUGAAGUUUUAGAUAAUAAACGAAGGAUCUAAUGCUCAAAAAGAGGGUUUUCAGAUGUUGAAAUAUUGAUAUGCAAAUCAAUAUUUAGAUAAAAUCAAGAUGGGAACAAAAACAAUGUAUGCCUUCUUUUAGGCAUUUCGUCGAACAUAAAGCGGACAUUCCAAUAAGUGUGUACAAUAUGUGAAGUUUUAUGCAACUAGAUCAUACAGAGGAUACAAGAUAUGAAAUUAAACGGUUCGAACGACGAAGAUUAGAUAUAACGAAAUCAGAUUUUGAUGGUUUCAAAUUUCAAUCAUCAUGAGACGAGUAUUCAAAAUAAUAAUAAAACAAUGAACAAAGAGGUUGGAUGAUCACAAGAUUCGAUAUAGAGGUAAAAUGAGGGAAAGAAAAAAACCUUCUCGAAAAUGGUGAAGAUGACGGCAGGAUACCCUCGAUAGCGAACCAAAAAAUAACGGCCAAAGAGGAUUGCGGCGGAGACGGCUACGGAUGAUGGCGACGAUCGGAUAGCGUCGCGCGCGCACGUGCGGAGCAGCAGACGCGUAAGGUGCUUUGAAGAAUGAGAGAGAUAGGGAGUCGUACGGAAGAGGGGAAAAAAAAAGGAUUGAUCGGGUUAGGGGGUUCAUCCGGAAUGAAAAGAAAAGGAAAAAGAACUUAAUUAGAUUAGGGAUUAAAUAAACAAUAUGCCGCCAAGCCCCCGUACUCAUAAUAUUUACAAAAAGGUCCAAGUUUCAAAAGAAUAGGAGUCAAAACAAGAAGUUAAAAGUAUGGGGUGUUACAUUUAUAAUAUCUCCAAAUCAUUUUGGAGAUGAUAGGGUAGUUAAGUGGCAGAUUUUAGAACUGUUCGGAAGUGUUAGAGCGAAGUUGACGCGAGAAAAUGACUCAGAAUUGCUGUUGUCAAGUACAGAAAACUACAGGGACUACAGUGUAAACAGCAAUUUUAAUUUUUGUGGAGGAUUUAGGAGCAAUUGCUACUAUUGCUGCUGCUGUUGCUGCUGCUAUUGCUGCUGCUGCUGCUGCUGCUAGCUGUUACUGCUGCUGCUGUUAAGUGGGCUGCAGGGACUGUUUUGUAAAAACAGAAUUCCUGCCUCGUGGAGGGGUUUAGUUGCAUUUUUUUGGGCUUAUCCUUAAACCGCAGCCUACCCCAGCUGCUGCUACUUACCAAAUAUCCUCUCCACUUCAUUCUCUUUUCAUUUCUUUUCUUUUUUUCUCUACAAGCCUAGGGUGGCUGAAGUUGGUGAAGAGGGUUUGUGUGGAGUUCGGUUUUCUUAGUGAUUUCAGCUGAGAGGAAGGUCCAGGAGCUGAGAACAGCUCGUGGGAAGCUUCCAAGUUGAGGUAGGUUUGAUCUAAUUUUAGAUUAGAGUUAGGUUAUUGCUCUAAAAGAGAUUAAGCUACAGAUUUUGAGGUAUUAGAACUUCUAUUACCAUGAAAAAUCUUAAAGAAUUGUGUGUGCACAGCAUAUAUAUAGAUAUAUAUAUGUACAUGUGAAUUAUUUGUUGGGGAUGAAACCUGAGGUAUGAGAGACAUAUUUCCUGAUUAUGGUUCAUGGUAUUUAACGUAAAGGAGGAGUAGACAAUAGAAUUUUAGGUUUCUAAAACUAAAAUUGCUAUGUGAAACCUAGAGAGAGCUAUGUAUGUAAAUAGCAUGUGGGUUUACUUGACAGCUGGGAAUAGGGUUAGUAUCCUGUAAUUCCUGAUUAGGGAAUUGAUGUAAAUCCUUUGAAUUAAUGAGUUUUGAGGUUCUUGGGCUACUAAAGAGUUGAAUUAUUCUAUGUAUUUUGUGAAAUGUUGUAGAAACAGUGUAUGUAGAGCCUAAGAUCGAAAAUGCUAUUUUGUAGGAUUGGGAGCCUAGCUUGGAAUUGAUCACAUAUAAACUUAAUUGAGGGUAAAACCGACUUGUUGGGAAGCUCGGAUCGGUGUUUCUACGAGCCUACGGCAAGCUAUUGAGGAAAAACCUUAUUUUAGCUUCGUUUGUCGCAAGCGAGAAUUGCGAUUGUUCCUAAAUCCCGGAAAGUGGAUUUCUCGCAUCCCGGUAUCAAUUAAAGGUGAGUUGUGCUUUACCGAAGCGAUUAGGUCGCUUCCAAGCCAAAGUAAAGUAUGAUUAUUAUUGAUGCAUAUAUGUAUAGUGGUAGAUUAUGAUUGAUAAUAUGAAUGCAUGAAUCAUAUUGUGUUAAUUAAUGUUACCUACCAUUGGAAUAUGCAUAUUGAUAUAUUGUGGAUAAUGCUAGAUGAUGUAUGAAAGUUGACAUAUUGUGAACAUGCUAGGUUCUUAUAAGUUGAAAAUGGGUCGAUAAAUCUAAGUUUGUCAGAGAACUCGACAGUUACAAAGUGAGAACGUGUAAACUACAAUCCUAGGUGUGGACAACUAGGAUGAUAAGUAGAUCGAAUGGCAUGAACCUAGUGUUAUUAAACAUAGAUUGGACAUGAACCUAGUGUUAUUGAACAUAGAUUGAAUAAGUGAACCUAGAGUCGAGAUCUAGGUAAAAUUGAUAUAGAACCUAGUGUGAUUGAACCCAGGUUAUGAGGUAUAGUGACACUUAGUGUACUUGAAACUAAGUUGUGGAUUAUAGUGGUAGAAGGACCACUAGGAAAUGAAUGGUUUAGACCUAGAAAGGUCGACAACAUAGGGUAAGUGUUAAACCCUUAAGAUUUGGAAGUGGAUUCCGGAAUCCUUAGGAAUGGUGGCUGCAAAUGCAGUGGUUGAGACAAGUGGAUUAGCAAAAAUAGAAUCAGAACUGCGGGUAUGUUGGUUCUCCUCGCCCGACAGUGAUUCAACGGGUACGUUAGUUCUCCUCGCCCGGUAUGCCAUGAAGCAAGUGAAUCAGAACUAUGGGUAUGUUGGUUCUCCUCGCCCGGUAGUGAUUCAACGAGUAUGUUGGUUCUUCUCGCCCGGUAUGAGCUCAAAACGGGUAUGUUGGUUCUCCUCGCCCGUUGAGCUUAAGUGACUUAUGGUCUCGGGGUUCGACGGUUCUCCUCACCCUGUGGUAGAUCUAUAGUCGAGUGGACUUAAGGCUGAGGUGCUUGUGAGACGUCCUUCACCUCGAGCCUGACUUGAUGCGGUAUUCUGCAGAUGAUUGACUCAAGAUCGAGUCGGGUGGAUAACUUGAUUAAGGUAGAUGAAACCUUAGAAGCUAGUUGGAUAUGAGCUAUGGAUAGUGAGAUAGAAAGUAGAAUCAAUAGAUCUACUUAUAUAUUGUUGCAUAAUUUGCAUAUUGCAUAUCUUAAGGCAUACACAUGUAUUUAAUAUUUGCAUAAACUAUCUGUGGAUAUCUGUUGGACUAACAUGUUGCAGUGCCUCCUUUGGACCUGGUGGGUCGAGCUCUUCACUUGGGUGGCCGUGCCCACUGGAAACUAUAUUUAUAUAGUUCUCACCCCACGUUGUUUUGGGGAUUUCAGGUUCCCACGUGAGCGGAGCGGCGGCGCGAGGAAAGGGCGUAGUUCCGUAGAUAGCGCCCUACCACCGAGACCAGAGAUAGCGGUACCCUAAAGUGGUCUAGCUAAGGGUAUAAAAUGAAAGAAACAAACUUAUAAUAAUUUGUAUAACUUAGUGGUACUUGAAAAAUGUAAUAUUGUAAUAUGUAUAAGUUGUAAGAUGAAUGCUUGUAAUAGCAUCGUUUAGCAUUUUAUGUUUUUGAUACUUAUGCAAUCUAUGUUGAAUAUUGUUCCUAUUUGGAACCACGUGUAUUGCAUGGAUUGUGACGCCUUGAACGUACAGGGGAAGCUCUGUCCGUUUGGCGGUCCAUUAGCGUGCUCGAAUACGACGAAAUAGGCGGAGCUCGGGGCGUGACAUCUGUUGUUCGUCUUUAGGGUCCAGAUUUCUUUUCUAAAAAAAGGGGUAGUUUUUCUGCCGAUUCUAAUUUAUAAAGACAGCCCAAUUUCAAAUUGGCUUCCAAUAAGGACCCUGGGGCGUGACAGAUUAAGACGGUAUCAGAGAAAUGGUCCAACCACGACUUCACUUAUAGUUUUUUUUUUUAAAUGAAACUGAACCACUAGUUAGGUUGACCCAUAGAAAGACCUAAGAUGAUAGGCACGCGCGUGCAAGGUUGCUGGGAUUGAGUCCUAAUGUUCUGGUCGAGCUUUAAUAGUUUCGAGGCAUAUGGUUAUUACUCCGUGCGUAUUACGAUUUUCGCAGACUCGUGUCUCUGUCGGGACUGAUGACGGUGUACCAAUACAGACAUCGAGUGGCGGGAUGAUAUUCACCAGGUGUAGCCACUCUUAUCAGAUAGGGCCUUGAGGGGCCAGGUGAUAUUAUUUAAUAGGACUAAGCGAUCGUCUCAACUGCCAGUGCCCAAGCCACACUCCCUACAUAGCGCACGAGUUUCACUGCGAGUAUCUCCACGGAGACGGUGUAUAGAGCGAUUUCGACCAUGGCUACUGCGAGGGCUGCUGGAGUGCAGCCCGAGGCUUCAUGACUGUCCGAUUGUGCGGUUGUGGUAUAGGUAAUGCUCCUCUAGGCUUGAUGGGUAGGGCUGUGACGCCUAUUCCAUCCCUCUAUUCAUUAUUGGUGGCACAGUGUCACGGAGAGAGGAGCAAACCCAAUUUUGGGUAAAUGCAGUGUGUUGGCGAGAUCUGACCCACCUAGCUUCGGCGGCAUGACUCCCAACCUUAGGAUUGGGAGUAUGGAUCGUGGUUAUGGUAGGACUCAGUAUAGAGUCUCAUGUGGGACGUUAUGGUCAUUGCUAGUAUUUUCGAGCGGGUUUGCCUGACUUGUUAACUACGUCUUGGUCGAGAUGAGCACGUGGGUUGUACGGUGAGGUUGUCACUCAAUAAAUUACCAGUGCAGGUGCUUUGACUAUCUGCCGGCUCACUUAUCCGGUGGGCAUACUUUGGAACUGCUUUGAGAUGCCAUUCUGGUGUGGGUCCUUAUGGUGCACACAUCGUGUGUGACUGCCCCAACACCUUGAUCGGUGUGUUGUGGGAUCGAUAGGCUUUUGGCAUGUUAUGAGCUACUCCUUGGAAUUACUUGGGAAUCUUAAAAGGGUUAGUAGCUGGUUGUCUGAAGUUCGGAAUCUUGUUGCAAUCACAUUAGUUUGUGCGGGUGGCGACUUUAUGUUGCGGGCCAUCGUCUGUUAUUGUGGAGAGUCGUAGGGCUACUAGGGAGUAGGCUCAAAGGCUGGUCUAGCUUCAAAUAUCCGCUUGCAAACUCAAUAUUUUGAUGGUGUUUUAGUGCACCACGGUGCGGUAUAGAAGUAAUGGUUGGUUUGGUUUAUGUGUCACUUAUACAACUUGUUGUUGGUGAUGGAUCUACGGGUAAUUCGCAUUUCUUUCGAUAAGUACGUUAGCUGCAGACAACAUAGUGUGAAAGUUGGGACGAAGUACCCUAUCCCUUUUAGGAGUAUCAAGAUUGGGUCGAUGUAUUUUUCCUACGAGAUAAUCUCUAUAGGUCAUCUUGUGGGAAGGCUAGAGUAGUGGUCAUCUUCGAUCGGUGAUAGGACUUGGGUAAUUCCCAAGCGGUAGUUGUGCAGUUGAUCUAUGAGCACUGCACAUGGUUGAUGUUCUGUUGUGGGCGUGGUCGCCUACCAGCUCGGUGGCGAUGCCAUGCACGACUAAGCGGUGUUAUAGCUCUUACGAUCUCGGUCAUGCUAUCGAAGGGUAUAAACUGUGUCCGACAUGUGUCAUGAGCUUAGUUGUUAGCUCAAAUGUCACGGCGAGUGACGGCGUACGGUGAGGCAUGUGCAUCAUGAAUGUCAUAGUGUAGGAAAUUAUGAUCCGAUCGUGGUGACAGGUGCCCUUGGGUCUCCCUGAGACUGGCGUUUAGUGUUGCUGAGGACAUCAGUCGCUAGGGUUCCUUUGAGGACGACACUGACAGGGUCUCGUAGAGACAAAUGUUGAGCAGCUUGGUGAGGACUUCACGGUCUAGUACGAUGUCUCACAAUUUGAUUUUAGGUGUGUGCCCAUGCAGCAGGAUCGGAUCAUAGCCUAUGUAUUACUAUAACUGAAGGAUUAUGAGAAGAUUUAUCCGACGCAUGAUCUCGAGCCCGCGGCAGUGGUGUUGGCCCCGAAGUUAUGGAAGCACUAUCUAUAUAGGACACACUGCGAGGUGUUCACGGAUCACCAGAGUCGAAAGCAUGCUUCAGCUAAGGUGUCCUUUAUGAUUGCUAGAUAGGAUUGCUGAGUAGAGGAGUUUCGUCACUUGGAAUUACCCCCACCGGGGCCACGGCCCAGUUGAUGACCUUGGUAGUGCAGCGCACCUUGACGGAGUGGAUCGCGCUCGCACAGCAGACGAAUCCGUACUUGCAAAGAUGCAGGCAGUUGUCGAGUACCGCAAAAGAGGGGGGGACUUCUUUAUCUACUCCGAUGGCUUUCUGCACUUUUGAGGCCGAUGGUGUGUGUCUGAUGACUCAGAGUUGAGGAGAGAUUUACGAUUCGAGGCACAAUGGUCCCAAUACACUGUUCAUCGCGGCGGAACCAAGCUGUGCUGCAUCCUAAAGUUCUGGUAGCCUGGGAUGAAAUUGGUUGCAGCACAAUACAUAACCCAGUGCUUGGUCUAUCUGGAGGUGAAGGACGAGCAUCACCAACUGACAUGGAAGCUGCAACCACUUUCGAUGCCUAUGUAAAAGUAGGAAUAGAUCACAAUAGAUUUCGUCAUGGGAUUACCCCAAUCACGAGAGGUCAUGAUGCGAUAUGGGUCAUUGUGGAUCGCUUAACAAAGUCGGCUCACUUCCUGUGAUAUGGCAGUUGAUUGGGUAUACUUGUGCUAUUAAUGGCAGUUGAUGCAUAGUCGUUUCCUUAUCUUCCUUUGCAAUAGCGAUCAUUCAUAUCAUUAUCGUAGUUGUUUUUAGCUCAAUUAUCAUUGCUAUUGCAUAUUGCACUAGUUUGAUUGUUGACUAUGGUUGGUCAUUGCUUUAUUAUCUCACUUUACAGUAGUAGCUUCUUUGGUGAUUAUCGGUGAUUGUUAUUCUUUGUCAUCAUACCUAAUUUAUUUGUUACUACUGCUAUUUAUCCCUUCCAUCCAUCGGCUUCUACAGCUUGCCUUUGUCGGCUUACGGUACCCACUAUGAGGGAAGAUUUGUUUAUAUGUUCUUACCCCCCCCUCCCUAUUUUUCAAGUAGCUCGGGUGGUGAGAGUCAGGAUAGUGCGUAGGACGAUAUUAGAUAGUGAGCUCAAGAUAGGAGAUCCCGGCCUUACGGUAUCAGUUUUAGUUUGACGCUUACUGUAUGCAUGUCAGUAGAUAGACUUGACAGCUUAGUUUCUUGCCACCCUCAUACUUGUUAGUAGUUAGACAGUAUCAUGGUUCAGUGGAUUUACUCGUGGAUUUGGAUAUCCGUAGAUUUUGAAUACAUCUGAGAUUUUGGACUGGGCUUUCAAACGAAGUUUUUUUUAAAGUAUACUCGUGGUUUUCGCAAAUAAUGGAUAUCUACCCCUCGUGAUAACUUGUUUACUGUGAAAUAAAGGUUUUCAUGUGGAAAAUGAUUUUCAAAGUGGCUUUUCGGCUUUUCAUGGAUUUUCAAAAAUCUAGAGUUUCAAAGUGAAGCCUUCGUGUGGGAGGCGCUUUCAACUAGUAGGAAUGAAUGCGAAACUUAAGAAAUGAUAAUCUAUGUGAAUCGUGAAUGUUGUUAGUGUGAGUGGUAUGUCAUGAUUGUCACUUGUAUUAUGUCCUAUGUUAUGCAAAUACACGAGAGGCUAUCGUUUGAACAGAGAAUUUCUUUUAUUUGUGGCGAAUCUGUUGCAUGUCUUUAGGGUCCAGAUUUUUUUUUUAAAAAAAAAAGGGGGCAGUUUUUCGCUGAUUCUGAUUUAUAAAGACAGUCCGAUUUCAAAUUGGCUUCCAAAAAGGACCACGGGGCAUGACAAAAGGCUGUUGGUUUUGGGCCUCCUUUGGCUACCCACUUAGUGAAGUUGGGCCAAGGAUUUGGUCAGACUGAAUAAUUACUAAGUCCCUGACAUUCUCCACCACCUAACACGCAGACGUCCUCAUCGCGCGCCAAGCCACUCUGCAUAGUCUUGCUCGUAGUCCGCCUUACAUUCGCGCCCGCGCGGCCUCGAGCCUUGCUAUCGCAGUCCGUCUUCACUUCUGCACUAGCUCCCAAUGCCUUGCCCCUCUGAGUGCGAACACCAGCUAGCUUGCUGCACAAAAAAAUUUGUCGUUGAGCCCGAACCAUCGAGUGUGCCUGUCCUCCGCAACACGCACGCACGCACACGCCGCCAAGUUGCGGGAUGCUCCCUAGUCCCCUCGGGCUCUUUGGCUUUGUGCUGGAUAGAGCGACGCUCCCCUUGGUUGGGUAGUUGCUCUAGCAUCAAUUGAGACUUAGCAGUCUCGCCCUCGCUCAAGUUCUCCUCCUCGAGUCCCCCAGCCCUCUCGCACUUCACCUCCUCGCAAAGGUACAGGGUUGUAAAGGUCUGAUCCUUCGUCGAUGGGCUGAACUCUGGUUGAGCCCCUUUGUGUUCCCUGUAUCACGACACUCCCCCACCUUUGGCCUUGCUCGCGUUAGACGGUUUGCCAUGAUCACUCUCAGUCUACUCGAAUACUGCCUCCCUCAUCUUGAGGUCCUCGACCUCUUUGACCUGAGCACCGAUGUCCUGAAGCAGCACAUCACACGUAUCCUGCUCGUCGUUGCGACAGGCAAGAUCCACCUUAAACUGCUUCAGAUGAUGGCGGAAUGUUGUCAUGGCUGCAACAAUAUCCUUCUCCAUCAAGUGAAACCCCUCGUCCAACAACCUCACCGUUUGCAGAAAUGCGAAGGACUGCUCCUCCAUUCUUGUCGUAACAUCCUCCUACAGCUCUGCACAGUACUUUAUGGAUGUGGCCUCCUUCACGAGAGCCUGGGGCUCCUUGCUCUUUUCCCACUUGGUCUGCUUCAGAGGCUCAUCAUUUACGUCGAUGAUGGCAGUAUCUGAUGACGACAUAGUUCCUUCUCGAACCGUCUCUGAUACCAACUGUCACAACCUUAACAUUUUUGUUCGCAAACCCCGUGUGGCGCUCGCCUUCUUGCUCGAAGAUGGAAAAGUCUAGUUCCUUAUUGCUAGCCUAGACCUCCGCGCCCUACGACUAAGUAUGCAAAAAGGAGAGAAGAGAGAGAGGCAGAGGCUCCCAAAAAAUUAAGUACUCGACUACUUAGAAAAAUAGGACUACAAAACACAACUCCUCUUGUGUUUCUACCUUCUCUACUUUGGCCUCAGCCAACCUUCCUACUUAUAGGCUCCUAGAUAUAUUGAAUCUAGCCCACACUAACUCACCACUAAACACACAUUGUUUUACAUUAACUCACUGUAACGACCCAACCGACUAGCAAUAAUAACUCAUUAGGCCAAAACCACCGGCCCAAAAUGCUUAAACCCGAUUAUUAUAAUUAGCCUAAUCAAGCUUAUAUACUCACACAUCUAGCCAUAACUACCCGAUGUGGGGUCGUUGGGGUGUCACAGACUCCCCUCGUUUAGGCCAUGAUGUCCUCGUCAGCCCUAAACACACACACAGAACCCAAGAUUACCAGGCAAUGUGAGACUUGUCUCGCUAGCCUUUAUCAUUCCGACCCUAACUUAACCCGUCAAUCACCGACCCUGACUUAGUCUGUCAUUUCAACCCUGGCUCAGCCAAAACUUAUCUCACACUUCUGGCUGGUGAACUAGCUCUGACCCGAUCCGCUAGCAAUAAUAACUCGUUGGGCUCAACCACCGACCCAAAAUGCUUAAGCACGGUUAUUAUUAAUAGGGUGGAGUCCUCUUAUAAAUCCAAUGACAACCUCAUUCCCAUCCGAUGUUGGACUAUUGUCAUGUCACACUCACUCGCUAUCACAUAAUAAUGAGCUCUCAUGAAUAUCUAAUGAUUGCAAUGUGAUCUCAAGGGUUAUCCAUAACUCUUGAAUUUCCGCUGGCAAUUAUGGAGGCAUUAAUUGUAGCAAUUACAUGCCCCUUCAUCUCCUAUAAAAAAUUGUUGGUUUUGGGCCUCCUUUGGCUGCCCACUUAGCGAAGUUGGGCCAAGGACCUGGUCGGACUGAAUAACCACUAAAUCCCUAACAACGAGCUCAUGAACAACAUCAUAUGCUGAUAAACAACCUCAUUUUUCUUGUCGCUUUCUUCAAUCAUAUUUAUACGAUUACAAAAACAAUGCCAGCUGUGAAAUUUAAAUGUAAGGGAAUUACAAGAUCAGCAUGGAAGCAAUUUGAUGUUCUAAAUUAUUGCAAUUGAAUCAGAUUGUACAAAGAAUCAAUUUUUCACUUUGAAUCUGUUUCACUAUGUUUCAACUUAUGUACAAUCUCUGACCAUAAUCUGGGCAGGAAAUAAUAUGUGAAUGUGUUAGAUCUGUCAUGGAAUAUAAUACAUGGGAUUCGGGAGUUUAAAGGAGCGAUUGCUCAGCGACGAACCCAAUAAGUCACUCCACUGAUCCCCGGAAUUCCCGAGAAUUCUAUAACCAUCUACUUCCAUCUCACGCCUUUUCUCUGAUUUGAACAUAGUCGCAGGUUUCCCCCGAUCAUCCGGACCCCUGUAGAUAUUACCGAGCUUUUACUGUUAGCUACAAGAGCCAAAUGUGCUGCAGCUUAUAAGGCAUUAAGAAAAAUUAUAAUAACAACCGAGGUAUUACAUAAAGGGAGAUCACUCAAUCAGAAAACUCUCAAGAACAAAGACCCUCAAACAAAUUCAGCAAACACCUUCGUGUCCAAAUACUUGGACACUGAGCGUACCAGUUGUUGGCUUUUUAUUUGCUUACAAAUUUGAAUGAAUAGUCGCCAAAUUAGAAGUUUAUUGAAAACAAAUUACAAACAAGAUAUGCCAAAUUUAUACUAGACUUUUUAAGGAAAUUAUUUGAAUUUUUGCAUUGUGGAGAUUGUUCAAAGGACAAGAAAAAGUGCCAAAGCAGGGCGAAUGUUCAACAUUCCUUUUCUUUCUUUUUUCUUUUCAGUGUUUUUUUCAUUCUUUUAAAUAAGUACAAUGUAUUGCAUUCUUUUAGAUGUAGUAUAUUGGCAAUUAAUACAUAUUUGAAAAAUCAACAUUUUGGUCACAAUUGAACUGAAAGAGAAAAAUCUCUAAUUAGAAAAAUAAUUAGAAUUUGUCUAUCAUCACAUCAAUCAUUUCAUAAAUAGCUACAAGAAAAUGGAAAAAUUAAGUUAUACUUUUGAUUUGGGGAUGAAUUUUAAAGGCCAGAAAAGGGAAAAAAGAUCCUCAGAAAAUCAACAAGGACAACAUAAAGGAAUCAUGCGAAGAUCAAUAAUUCAACUCGAAAAGAUUUGUACAGAACUAAAUAAUGCCUAUUUCAGGUAUUAAGAUAUUAUUGAAUAGACUUUGCAGGUCAUCAAUGUAAGGUGUAAACUAUUGCAGAUAUAUGAAAAUAAGUAACAACAAUGAAUGGAUGAAGCACUCUCAAAAUAAAUGCCAACUAAUUCUCAUGUUUUUCCGGCACAAUUUCUUUCUUCCUAUCACACACAGUGAUACAUAUUAGCAUGUCUCUUUCUCUUCACAUGUUUCCUUGUAAGAAUUUUGCCUCUUCCCAUAAGCCAUCAGUACAGGAAGCCACAUAUAUAUCUAGGUGCUUUCUAACUCAAGAAUAAGUUCUUGCAGUUAAUACUACAUUUUUCAGUCCACUUGACACAUCACUCUACUCUUUAUGUUACCACAUGUUAUUAUAUAAACUUAAGCAGCCUGAGAAAGUAACAGUUUAUACACAUACUGCUUCAUAAACUUAAGGAACCUACAAAACUAGCACACCGUAGUUUACAUUAUCAUGCAAGCACAAACAGACAGAAUCGACACCUCUAGACAGAUCCAAAACUAAAAUAAUCAUACAAACUGUAAAAAUGGAAUAUAGGAUGUGUACCUCUCCUUUAUUUAUUAAAUUUUAUCUAAUUAUGAUUUAGAACUAAUUAUUUUAUUAUGCAUUAAUUGAGCGGAGAUUUUAUGCGUAUAAUUAGUUUAAAAUGAUGUGAAAUUUGAGCAUCAAUAUUUGGUUAUGGAUGGGCCAUAUGUUUGAAGUUCCAAAUAAAACGGAUUGGCGGGUGAGUAAUUGACACAAUUUUAAAUCAAAACAGCCUAAGUCCUAAGAAUUCAUCAUAAAUUGCAACAGAGAGACAUGUUUGGAUCAUAAAUUGCAGCAGAGAGACAUAUAACCAAACAGCAGAAUCAUAGAAGUUUACUUAUAUGAGGUUUUAAUGCUUGGUAUGCAUAUUAUCUGUCCGGAACUGUUCAGUUAUAACUUGAUAACAUCAGAAUCCUAGAAGUUUACUUAAACUUAUAGAACGCUUACUUCAAAGAUAUUCUAGAUGUUAUACAAUUUGUUUUUAAUAUCAUAAGUGCAAGCUUUCUUGACAGGACCAUAAUUUAUCACUAAGAUCAAAGAAACUUCCUGCCUUUUCACACUUCUCAAUGCUUACAGCAAUCGGAGAGAACUUACUAGUUGUGGACAUUCCUAGAGAAUAUUUAAUAUUAUUUUGUUCACAGGAGUGAAACAAUCAUCAUUUACUGCUUAAUAUUUGAUGAAUUAGAGGAACAGACAAUGAACACGAGGAAGCAAACUUCGCAGAAAUAGGUGUAACAACAAAAUGAUGAAUAGAUACAACUGUACAGACAGCUUCAAAAAGUUGUAGUAUAAGGUAUUAACUUACCUUCAUAAAAGAUUGAAGAACAUUGAACAAAAUUUCAUCAGCAAAUAGUUCUACACUACACAGAUUUAUCUUCAUAAGGGGCAUUGCAAGAAGUACCUUAAUAUAAGCCUGUCCCAAUCUUGAAACCCGACUUUCUUCAGGUUCUCCACCGUAAAAGUCCUAUGGCCUUCACUUCGCCCUGUUAGCAAGAAAACCUUAAAACCCAGUGCUCUGACUUCUUCAUACAGCUUCAGGCUGGACUGAAUAGCUGGAGCUAUUGACUUCUCUACCCAUUUGUCAAACUCAUGCGCAUCAAAAAGCUCAUGUCUGCAAUUUCUCAGAAACAAAAUGAAUCAUCAUAACCCAAAAGACAAUUUUAAGAAAAAAUUAGAAAGGAUAAAAAGAUUAGUGGUGUUGCAUCUCCCUCUCUCUCUCUCUCUCUCUCUCUCUCUCUCUCUCUCAAUGCUCCUAUGAUGUUUAACAAUAUCGAUUUCCUAAUUAAUUAACCUAGUACACUUUAGCCUCUUUGCACCCAGAUUGGAUUGGACAAUAUGAGACGAGAAAGCAACGUUGGAAAGGGACUGUUUACAAACUUCAAGGUAUCAAGAAUCAUGACAGGUAGUUGGUGGGGUCUGGUUGAAUAUACCAGAUAUUUCCAAUCAAAUCCUGAUCGAUUACACCCUUUCAAGUGGGAUUUAAUACUGCCGUCCUCCAAUAUCGCCUUCUCAUGUUAUCUUGUCCAUCCAACCCUCGUUGUCAAACUGACCCUCUUGGAAAUAAAUGUGCCAUGAAGAACAUAUGAAUAGAAACAACAUUAGAGGGGCGUGAUCACAAUAUGAUUUUGAAGUCAUUAUGAAGUGAAUAAGUGGAACCACUGGGGAAAUUUGCCAUGCAUAUCAAAACUAUUUCAAAUUAGAUCCACUCUUCUGUAAAAUUAGAAGCUUGCAGUAAUAUUCUCUUCCCUGGACAGUACACAGGAAAGGGAUUGAAACAAGUGCCGCGGCCGAUUGGCCAUAUCCUCAAGCCAAAAAUGCUACAUACUUAUAUCCCUAACCAUUGUCCACAUCACUAUUAAACGGAAGCAAAAUACCAUCAGUGGAAAAUAAAGCUACAGCAAGUAUCCAACAAAUUUGCGAAAGCUUCUUUCCAGCAAUCACACACCUGUAAAAUCAGCUGAUGUGGCAAAAUUGCAACCAUCAAAACUGAGAUAUAUCUAGAUACCUAUUCUUCAUGAAUGUUCUCAUAUUAAUGUAGUGAUUAUGUUAAUUUAGAUUUUUUUUUUUUUUUGAUUUUUUUCUCAACACAAGUUCUAUAUGAUUGGAUGAAUUGGUGGUUAAAUUUCUCUAUUCUUAUCAUUAUUGGUUAGCUUGCAAUGUGCAUCAGCUAAAUAUAGUAAGAUAUCUUCUAUAAAUAAUAAAUAAAGAAACGGUAAGAAAAGUUACUUCUAAGUUUUUGUGUUUCAUAAGCAGUGAAAUUUCGGGGGUACAGAUUGCGAGAAAUCCACCAUUAUAAACAUAAGAACUUUGUCAUGCCCACACACAGUUCCGCACAUAUAAAAUCAUAGCAUUCGUGCAAUUCAUGUGAGAACCCAGAUAGUCCUAUAUAUAAAAUAUAAUAAAGUUAAAACUCUUAAUCCGGUCAUAGCAUUUUGGACAGUGGUUAGACCCAAAAAAUUAAAGGAGUUAAGCGUGUUAGAUCUAGAGUGGUCUUAGAAUAGGUGACCCCUGAAAAGUGGGGCGUCACCCGGCUAUGAUAUUUUAGACGAUGACUAGACCCAAAAGAUUAAGAAAAUUAAGCAGGACUACAAUAGUCUAGGAUGGGUGACCCAUUUUUUAAUAGGGCUAAAUCUCUUAACCCAACUAUAGUAGUUUAGAUAGUGGUUAGCCCCAGGAGGUUAAAAAAAUUAAACGUGUCAGAACUAGAGUAGUUCUAGAAUGAGUGUACUUUUUUGAAAAGUGGGGUGCCACAACAGGUACCUCCAAGUGUACCUUAGAAUAUUGCUGAUGACAUAGAAAGGUCAUUAUUAAUUGCACUCUAACUAUUACUUACUAAACCUCAAACAUUAUUAUUAAAUCCUAAGCACCAUCAUUAUACCCUUAUCUCUAAACCAUACACCCUAACCCUCCACAUGGGUUGCCCAAAAAUGGGGUACCCCAAACAUUUCUCUUAUUUAAAUUUGUUGAUGCAUAUCUAACCCAAAAGGGAAAGAACUUAUGCUAUGGAUUAGUUUUGAAACUUACGCGUUCGUCGAUAAUUAGAAGAUGGAUUCCAAUUCAUAAACUACUAGCUUAAAGAAAUAAUAAUAAUAAUAAUCCCUUUUGGCUCAUGACAACAUAUUAAGCAGGACUAAAAUAGUCUAGGAUGGGCGACCCAUGAAAAAUGGGACAUCACAAUUUAAAGAGCUACCGGGACAUUCACGCGUAUAAAACUGAAAAUCUCACCCAUAGCCAUGAUCUGCAUAGUAGGGGAGGUUGGAGAGCAGCGUCUCGUCGACGUCAAAAACCCAGACAUCCAUCCCAUCCCCGGCCAGCCGGACCGAGCGGGCGUAGGCGGCGGCCGACUGCGCGACGAUCUCGAGGUCGGACUUGUACGCCCUGCCGGUCAUGAACUCCCUCACGUACCCGGCGCAAUCCGCGGGGACAGUCUUCCACGGCCCCAAGUUAUUCGCCUCCGCCGCGAACCGCCAGCUGCUGCACCGCAGCCGGCGGAGCUCCGCUGAUUCUUCUCCCUCUUCUUCUGCUUCGCCUCCGGCGGAUCCGGCGAUCGAGGGCUCGGUGCCGCCAUGGGAGGGUAGUUCGAGGAUGAGGGGUCUGGGGAGGAUGUGGGGAUCCUGGGAGGCGAUGGAGAAGAGGGGGAGGAACAGGAGGAAGAGGAGGAGGAGGGGUUUCAUGGUGGAGUAUGGGGGAUUGUUGGGAGGAUGGGGAUAAUUUAUUGAAGAGAGCGGAAAGACUCGGGGUUGGGCGGCGAUGGAGUGACGUGCGAGGAAAGCGAUAGGGGUAGGGGAGUCGGGGGCGAAAGGUCGCCACCAAAUUAAUUUGAAUCUGGGCGUCGCCCGGGCAGCGAUGCUUCUAAUGCAAGUUUUAUAAGAAAAUAUUGCCUGCACCGGGUAUGUAUCGAUUUCUCAUGCACCACACCUCAAGAUAUGGAAUCUGCAUGUGAAGCAAUCAAAAUUGAAAUAAUUGCUUUCUAUAUUCAUAGUUUGGUUGAGAUGAAAAAUAAAAAUAAAAAAAACAUAAAAAUUCACAGAAUUUAUCUUAACUAUAAAUUAUUUUUUAUUUGAUUAGUUUGAUUAGAAUCAAGUCAAUUGUACUUUCACUUUUAAAUUUGUAUUCAUUGUUUGUCUUUAUAGUUUUGGUUAGUAUAUUUUUAUAAUUCUCACAACUAUAAAUUUAUUUAAAAAAUUAAUUGCGUACAGCUCCCUGUAAACGUAUCGAAUAGCAAAUAUAUCCCACAGAGUUCAAUUUUUUAUUUUUAUCCGUGCAAAAUUAGACCAUACGAUCUCAUCUGUAUUUUCAAGACGAAUCCAAUGACACUUGAAUCGCAAAAUUUCGCCUACGAACAAAAAAUUAUGCCUCUUUUACGAAUCAGUCUCUAAAACUAAAACUGCUAUUUACAUAUUGGUCCCUGUCUUGAUCUUUUAAACCAUGGUAAGCACCCAAAUUUUGUUGCACCAAGUCCAACACCAGCAGCGUGCACCAGAAGUUUUUUUGGUUAGUUAUAGUUUAUUCGAUAGAGGCAAAACACUCUAAUUAUUAAAUUAAUCAUGUCUAAUAUCACUACGAUAAAUUAAAACACAAAUGUUAAAUAAAUUAUGUAAAAAUUAAUAUGGUCCACCGUGAACCGGGUCUAGCCAAAAUCCAAAAUAAUUAUAUUUUCUUUCUUCUCCUUCCUAACCUAAUCAAAAAAAUCUCUCCCAAACCCCUCUCAUGGUCAACCAUAAUCACUCCAUAAAGGAUUCACCUCAACCCGAUCGUAGAUGACCGGCGAUGGUGACGGUGAUGGCAGUCCAAAGAGGAGGGAGGAUAAGAUUAGGAGGUAGAAGAAGAGAGAAAAGAAAAAACAAGAGAAUUAAAUAUUGGAGACUCACCUCGCUCUCGCUUUUUUUUUCCUCACGAUCGUUGAAUCUUCCUCCAACCGGUGGUCAUGCUCGCACAAAAAAUCCCACCAUAAUAUUUUAUAUUAUUUUUUAGCAGUAUAUCCUUUCUAAAUUAUCUAUUUGUAUGUAAUUAUGGCUAAAUCUAAAUCAUACUCUAAUUAGUACGAAAUAUAGCUAAUCCGAAAAUCAAAUCCAAUCAAAUCGGCACAAAUAUAUCCAAAUCCAAAUUUAUAAUAACGAAUUUAUCAUAUGUAAUACACUGGAUCUUAGCAAAUUGCAAGAUUCGAGUGUUUUAUUGGUGUGUGGGGCCUCUCCACAGUUUCUGGAGGGUCGUUGAUAGUGUUCCGACCCCUGGCACGCACCCCGAGGAUGUUGGUUUGAAGCUUGGUACCAAAAUCCAAAAAUUGGAUUCAUUGGACAGCUCUCGGGUAGCCUGCAGCAGGGCUUGUACCGGAACAAGACUGGCCUUGUACCGGUACAAGGGUUGAUGGUUGUACCGGUACAGCCAUCGGGCUUGUACCGGUACAGAGCCGCAGACCGCGCGACCCGAGCCUCGGGUUUGCAAUUUCGUCGGCCUUGUACCGGUACAAGAGCCCGUGUACCGGUACAAGGAGGCAGUUUUUGCUGCAGUUUGAGUACUGCAGGGGUUUUUCGCGAUUGUAGCCUAUCUAUUAGUAACCUCUACGCCCGCUUAGGGCUUCCUGAGCUUCUCAGCAGCAGGAGAAGAGGUAGGGGAGUUCUCCACACCCUCCUCUCUAUUUCUUUGAUUUUGUUGGUUUUAUUUGUGAUUUAAGCCUCUCUUUUCCCUUUUUGCUAUUCCUCAUGGUUGUAGCCAGGCUUGGAUUGGAGCUUUGUGGAAAGGAGAUCUUGGGACUUAAGAUAGUUUAGAGCUUGAUUAUGAAGCUUCUAAGAGGUAAGGAACAUUGUCUCUCCCUCUUAGCAUUCGAGUUUUAGGAUUUUGAGAUGAAACCCUAGACUUUGUGAUAUUGGGUUUAUUUUGGCCAAUUUGAAUCUAGGGCAUUUUGAAGCUAGAUUUGAUUGGAUUAGAGGGCUUCCAUUAGGUUGGAUUGGGAUGACCUAGCUUCAUUUUGAGCUUUAGAGGAGAUUUUGACUAGAGGUAGUUGUCUCCCCCCACUCAUGUCUUGAUUACUUAAUGUUUGACUAGGAUUCUGUUUGUUUGCCCGUAUGACACAUGUUCUGUUAGCCUCUCAGGAUACUAGGAGACACUAGAGGACACCACUCGUUGUGAGCGCACGCAGGUUCGCUUGCCAUCGGUGGGUUUGGCUUCCUUGAAAAUUGGAGGAAAAUUCCUCCUAAGUGGUUAAAUGCUUUCAUGCUCCUUAAAUUCAUGCAUAUUCAUGUUGUAGUAACAUUUAUGAGAGUUUUGAAUGCUUAGCAAACUCAUAUGUGUGCAUCAAGAAAAUUACUCUAUGUAAGUAGAGAGAGAGAGACAAUGUGCUUUGUUAAUAUGCAUGCGACAAAUAUUUUAUGAGAUGAUAGGAAAUCAAGUUUCAUGCUUCGGUUUGACUAGAAUUGUAAGUUCUUGAACUUAGUAUCCAUGUUGGACAAAAUGAGCCAUAGUGUCAUAAAGAGGCCUUGGACUAGAGAAUUAUUAAACUCAACAUAGAGACUUGAGAAUAGGCCACAUUACAUCAACUAUAUUCCAUAUUGAGAUAUGAUGAAAUAGUGACUUGGCACGAGACAUUUACUAUAUAUACCAUGUUAUUGGACAUGAGGGCUUGGUACUUGCGACUGAUCGUUUGACUACUUGCCAUUGUGCUCAUUCGCACAUGCUUGUGAGGGUCGCUCCCUACAAGCCGGCACUCCGGAGAUGGCCAUCUCGAUACAUAUUCGCAGUGCGAGGAUUGGGCGCCGAAGUGGAUUGCCGUGGGCCAGGCUCAUUCCUGGGGUGGGGAUGAUGACUACCACGGGGCCAUUAGGCGCACCGGGCCAGGACAGCCUACGGGUGGGUCUCAGGGCCUUAGACAGCCUUCGGGUGGGUCUCUUCAGAUUUGACUUUGAGCAUUUACUAUGACAUAUGGACAGAUGAUGACUUAGUGUACUGACUGGAAUUUGACUAGAAUAGUAAACAUUGGCACUUUACUAUUUUGCAUUAUGGACAUCAUGAUAGUUGGAAACUUUUACUACAUACAUAGUUGCUUUCAUACUUAUGCUUUUCAUGCUAAGUAGAAAUAUCAUGUUGUAGUAAGUUGCAUUCUACUUACCUUUCGCUUUCUAACGUUCAUAGACACUGACCCUUUCCUUGUAGCUUGGGCCUUGUGGUGCAUUCACUGAAGUCAGUAAUUGCCCACUGGGAACUAUUUUAAUAGUUCUCACGCCCCUGUUUCUAGGUUUACUUUUCAGAGCCUUCGGCACCGGCGGAGGCACGGGAUCGCGGCAAGGGGAUCGCUUAGCUAGCUAGCGAGGAGCGGUACUUUGCCUAGGUGGUUUACUCUUUCUUUUUGUAGUUGAGAGAGAGUGAGAGAUUUUGUAUCCAUGUAUAGAGACCACCUAUGUACCUACUUAUAGCUCUUGUAUUUGGGAUUUCCUAUUGUUCUUACUCUAUGUUUUAUUUAGUGGAUUUACAGUUUUAACUUUAUCCCUUGUUGUAGCAAUUAGACAUUUACUAUGCUCUGAUACUCCUAGAUGCCUUUUAUUAUUGCUUUUAUUAUUGUUGUUAGACGCCUUAUGCGUUUUAGACGCAUGGCGGGUCUGGGCACGUGCCGGGCGGGCUUCCGCUGGGUCCCGGGGCGUGACAUCAUAAAACUACAAUCACGUCACGUCUGUAUAUUUAAAUUUUUAUUUAAAUUAAUUGAGUGCUGGGUAUUACAAAAAAUACUUUAAUUGGUUUAGAUUCUGUCGGUUGGAUUGGAUUUUUUAUUCAUUGAUCAUCAAAAGCUGAGUACGGUGCACAAGAGAUGCUCAUACAUCAGGUAAUAAUUUCUGAUAUGAAUACUCCAUCUUGGAUCUCUUCACCACUAAAUUUUCUUUAUUGUUUUUUGUUAUUAUAGGUACAUUGCCUCGUGUAGUCGAGAUAAUAAUAUUAAUUAAAUUACAUGUGUGAUAAAUAAUAAUAUUUUUUUUUUGUUAUUAUAGCUGACUCUUUAAUUUAACAUGUGUGAUAAAUUUAUCUUAUUAUAUUAUUGUAAUAUGAAACUGGUAGCCGAGAUAAUAAUAUUAAUUAAAAACAUGCUUUUGUCCUUUCACUUAUUAGAGUAUAACUUCUAAUGCAAGUUUAAAACAAAUUUUGUUUUUCUUUUACUAGGCAUUGCGCGUUGCUUUUCAUGUAUUAACUAGGUAAGGAACCCAUGCUAUCCAACGAAUUCAUUUAUCUUCUUUACAAAUAAUUAAUGAAUAAUUAAAUAUUUUUUUAUAAAGUAAAUAAUAAUAUAUUUUAGUUAAUUAAAUAAGAAAGUUUUAAAGACAUUUUCACAUGCGAUUAAUUAUAUCAAAUAUGCAAGUUUUGAUUAUAAACANUUUCAUGUAUUAACUAGGUAAGGAACCCAUGCUAUCCAACGAAUUCAUUUAUCUUCUUUACAAAUAAUUAAUGAAUAAUUAAAUAUUUUUUUAUAAAGUAAAUAAUAAUAUAUUUUAGUUAAUUAAAUAAGAAAGUUUUAAAGACAUUUUCACAUGCGAUUAAUUAUAUAAAAUAUGCAAGUUUUGAUUAUAAACAAUAAUGCUAAUAUUAACACCCGUUCGGGUCAGAUUGUAAAUUCAUAAGUUUGUGUUUUAAUUAUAAUAAAACCUUAAAAUAUAUUCGCGGAAACAAAUCGUAACAACUAUCGACGUCAUAACAGCAGCUAAAUCAGACGCUAAACAUCAAAAGCAUGCAAUCAAUACACAACACAAUCUAGCAGAAAAUAAAUAAACAAGGAGCAUCUAGUUAUAUAUUACCUUAUAAGCUAGUAAACCAUCAGCCAACAUAGAAGCAACAAAAGAACUCCCACAUUUCGACACCGCCAUUUCGCCAAAAAGAAAAUAAACAGGCAUAAACAAAGAGCAGCUAGUUAGCACACAGCGUCGUAAACAUCGCAAGCAAAUUAACAACGGCAAAAUAGGCGCACCUUUUUUUCGGACAAGGAACAGAGCCAACCCGCCUAGCAACACGGCAAACAACGUAUACCCAGAUGUAGCAAGAAGCAGAGGACGGAAAAGAGAUCAGUAUACAUGAAGGGAAUAAAAUGGCCAAUAAAAAUCAAGGGGGGUUGGAUAAAACGGCUCUUCCACACCUUACGAUACCAGCUGCGGCAAACUAAAGCAACAAAGCCAACAGAACAACCAAGCGCUAACCAAAGAGAAGAGUAAAGAAGCAAACAAGUAAGAAGGAGACCAAGAGCAGAGAUGCUAUUUAUAGCAAAAUCAGGCAUUGCAAUAAGAGGGAGGAGAUCAGUUUAAGGGGAAAACGGGGGAAAAAAUGAGAAACCCCAGGGUCAAAUCGAGAGCCCAUACACCCUAUCAAAUCCGGCCAAAUCGCCACAGCCAUCUACACCGACGAACGCAUUCCACGCCGCCCCGGCGAGUUGCUGGAGGCCACGUCGUGGAGGAGGAAAAAUUAGGCAUUUCAAUAAGCAUGGAGGAGAUCAGUUUAAAAGGGAAAAAAAGAUCCCUGUCAAAUCCGCCCAAAUCCUCACAGCCAUCUACACCAUCGCGCGCAUCUUACGCCCGCCCGGCGAGUUGCUGGAGUCCACGUCGUAGCGUAGGCCCGCCACCACACGCAACAAAAGAGAAGGGGCUAAGAUCGUACACACCACCCCCGCCAUGCCACGGCGGAGAUAGCGAUAGGCCCACUACGCAAUCGUCCUGGCAAACACAGGAGUAACGGCGGCUGGCCAUGUCGACGACGGAGAAGGAGAGGGCGAACCGAAGCGGCAUGAAAAAUCGAUACGGCAGAACCCCUAACGGGGUAAGUUUCGCAUUGAUGGCCGCAUUAAUGGCCGAAAAGAAGCCCGCGCGCUGCAGAGAUAAGCUUCUCUCUCUCUCAGGCGGUCCCUAUAAAUAAAUAAAUCCUCCGGUUCACUGCUCUCUCUCUUAGGUGGUCCACAAUGUGAAGCCCACCUCGUGGACUGCGUGCACAGAGGGCAAGUGAGCCCUGCUUUUUUCACUGUAGCAUUUUCCUAUAAAUAAAUAAAUCCUCCAGUUCCUUGCUCUCUCUCUCAGGUGGUCCACAAGGUUAGGCCCACCUCGUGGACCGCGCGCACAAAGGGCAAGUGAGCCCCGCCUUUUUCACUGUAGCAUUUCUCUUUCGGGUGGGCCCCGCUAGUUCCGUGGGAUGCGGAGAGGCUAUAUUAUAUAAAUAAAUUUAAAUACAUUAUGUAUAUAUAUACUUUAUUCGAGUUCGAGGUUGGGUUCGGGUCAGGGUCAGAUUUGAAUCAGGUAAAUAGUAAAUCCAUACUCACAUAGUCACAUCUAUAUCUGUCGGGUUUUAAAUUUCUACCUAUUUUGCUCAGGUAAACCUGGCCCGUUCCGAUUUAGAUUCGGAUAAUAUUUCGGGUGUCUAUACCCAUUGACAUGCCCAUAAAAUUACGAAAAAUAUAUAAAAUAUACUAACUAAACAUGUAAAAUAAUUAAAUAAAAGGAUAAAAUAAAAAAAUAAAACUCAAGUACAUUUCUUUCAAAAAAAUAUUUAAAUCCAAAAAAAAAAUUUCGGCAGAAAAAAAAAAAACAUGUAGAGUUUUAACAUAGAGUUAGAAAGAGGGAAAUAAAAAAAAAAUGUGGAGUGUACCGAUUUAUAUAUGUUCUCGAAAGAAAAGCGAAAAGUAUACAAAAUUUAAGAAUCAAAAUCGACGUUAAAAAAAAGGUUAAAUAACCGAUGAUAUACCAAUUUCGCUAAUCCUUAAAUUUUUUUUUAACAACUAUUGUAACUUUAUAAUAAAAAAAAUGAAUUGCAUUUUAAAAAUACUUCUACAACAGAGAAAGAAAAAACAAAAAAACCCAACAAAACCCUAACCCCCGCCCGCAGCACGCCCGCUAGCGCAGCUCGCGCGCGCCGUCCGCGGCCCGCGCCCGAGUGCUCCCUCGCAGUCGCCCCACCCUGCCCCCUCCUCGCUGCCACGUGGCGUGUUAGGGUGCUUCGUUCCGAUUCAUAAGUUUACUAGUUAAGGAACCCGUGCUACGCAACGGUCAUUUAUCUUUUUUAUAAAUAAUUAAUAAAUAAUUAAAUAUAUUUUGUAUAAAGUAAAUAACAAUAUAUUUUAAUUAAUUAAAUAAGAAAGUUUUAGAUAUAUUUUCACAUGCGAUCAAUUGUAUCAGAUAUACAAAUUUUGAUUACAAACAUAAUACUGAUCUUAACACCCGUUCGGUUAAGAUGGUAAAUUCAUAAGUUAUUUUUUAAUUAUAAUAAAACUUUAAAAUAUAUAAUUAUUUAUGCUAAUUUUUAAAUAUUUUAGAUUAUAUGUAUUAAAUAUUAAUUUUAAUUUUAUAAUUAUUUAGAUAUAAAUAAUCCAUUUUAUAAAAAACACUACAAUUAAGUUUUUUAAAAAUAUAUUUAAUUACAAUCUAAUUAUAUAAAAUAUACUAACUAAAUAUAUAAAGCUAAGCAACACAUUCAAAAUUAUUAAUAAUAAAUUUAAAUUUUUAAAAUUUAAAUUUAAAUUUAAUUUAUUUUUGUAUGGUGGUAAUACACUCUAAAAUAAGAAGGGUUAAAAAAAAAAGAAAAAAAAAUCAAAAGAGAGAGAGAGAUAGGAAUGGGUCUAAAAUAAAUAAAUCAGUUUAAAAUAAAUAAAAAUCUCAUUGUAAUAUUAAAAAAUACAUAAUAUUUUUUAUUAUUAUUUGUGUAGAAUUUACAAAUAAAAAAAAACAGCGCCGCGCUCGCGCCCCUCGAGCCCGCCGCCACGUGUCGAUCCAGAAAUUCUCGGGUUUUCAAUUCAUAAGUUUAAUUAAUUAAUAUUACUAAAUUAUAUUAAAUAAUAUUAUAAAUUAUAAAUAAAUAAAUAUAAAUAAAGUGAGAGAAAAAAUUUAAAAAAAUUGUAAAGUGUGUGAGAGAGAGAGAAAUAAAGUGAGAAAUUUUUUUUUAAAAAAGUAAAGUGUGUGAGAGAGAGUGAGAGAAAGAAACAAAAAAAAAAAAAAAAAAAAGUGGGACCCACAGGGACCCCCAACCCGGGGAGCCCUGGUUUCCCCUCCUCCUCGGUGCCCGCCACGUGGCGCCCUGUGAUGCAGUGAUGUGAUCUAGUUCUCAAAUAAUAAGUUUAUAAAUAUAGAUUAGAAUAUAUUAUAAUUUAUUUUUUUAUUUAAUUAGAAUAUUAAUAAAUUUAUUUAAUAAAAAAUAAGGGAUAAUUGCCCAUAUACCCCUCAAAACUUCAGAAAUAUCUCACAUACCCCUAUUUUUUUUUCUUUUUAAUAUAUCCCUCGUAUGUUUUUCCGUUAUUUCAAAAUACUUUUGUAGUUACCGCCCGUUAAAUUAACUUGGGUUAAACAUGAGUUAAAUAUCUACUAGAGUUAAAAAAAUCAAAGUAUCUCUUUUGUCCUUAAUUUAGGGGCAAAUAAAAAUGUUGGUGAUGAUAGAAGAAUAUAUUUGAAAAAAUCAAAAAUCAAAAUACUUUUUGUAUCUCUAACUUAAGGGCAAAUAAGAAAAGUCAAUAAUUGUGGAAGGAUAUAUUUGAAAGGGUAUAAUAGUAAUUUCAUACAGAUAACAGAUAUUGCUAACAGUUCAUUAACAGAAUUAAACUCUAUAGAGUAUACAAUUACUAAAUUGAAACUAUUACAUUUUGAAAUUUUUUCAAAGUUUACAACAUUUUGAAUUUCCAAAAUAUUACAUGAUUUAUGCUUUUACAAAAUGAUAUAUACCAACUAGACCGACUCACACUGAUCCGGUUAGUUUGCAAGGCUCUUGCCACAGUCCUGUAACUCACCGACGGUGGAAGACUCUAAAAAAAAGCUCAACUACAAUAGGGUGAGAACUUGAAAUACGUUUCAAGUAGGUGCAACAAUCGAAAAUGGCAUUUCUACACUCACUCAAUCCAAAAGAGGCAUUAAUAGGACAAUAGUAGUGAAUAAAAUAUCUAUUUCUAUAAUAAAAAUGCAAAUAAGACAAAGCUAUUAUGCCUCAAAUAUAAAUAAUACUAGCACAGUAACCCGUGUGAUGCAUCGAGUAUUUAUUUUACUUUUAGAAAACUAAUUAAUCUGAAAGAAUUGUUAAGAUUCUUUGAAAACCUGCAAGCAAAAUAGAAAAUGCACAUCAGUAUAGAACUGAUAAAAUUAGGAUACAUAAGCAAAAAACCCAAGUUUAAGCUAAAAAAAAUACUGAUAAAAAUAGAAUAAGCAUAAUAACCCAUCAAAGCAAAAUGUAACCUUUCUAUUCACCAAAGUGAUGAUUCAUAAUAACCUAUCAAGGCAAGCUAUGGUACCAACCUACCAGAGCAGCAAGCUAUCACUAGAACAGGUAAGGCUCAAUCCGGUUAGCCAUCAAAAUUUUUUACCAUCCCGCAACCGAAAAAAUAACCAACUAUUGUUACUACCCGCACGCUGCAACAAUGACCAAUAGGCCAAUCAAGUUGCCGCACCUUCUUAGGCCAUAGGCCAAAAUCAUUAUUGCCUCAAAAGAAAGAAAAGAGAGGAAAAAUAGUAGAGUGAGGCUACUAUGCUAUCGGAAGCACGGAGCCUUCCGUGCUUCCAGCUCGUUUUCGAUGUUGUGACUUUCGAAUCACCGAUCGGCUCCGUUAAACUUGAUCUAGAGUAUUUGGAGUACCUAGAAAAUAAAUUUUAUUAUUUUUCAAUAUCAUUUGCCUAGUGAUCGAAUGAGCUCAAAAUCAACAAAUUUCAAUGGCCGUAGUGAGCCGUUUGCAAGUUUAACGGUGUAGAAAUAUCCAAAUCACGUGAAAUUUUGAUAGAAAAUUCUUUAUACUAUAUAAAACAAGAUCAAUAUCUUUGAUUUAAAAUUUUAAUGUCAUAUUAUUACAUUUUGUAAGAUUUUUAUUUUUAGCCGUUGAUUUUGAGCUCAUUCGAUCACUAGGCAAAUGAUAUCGAAAAAUAAUAAAAUUUAUUUUCUAGGUACUCCAAAUACUCUAGAUCAAGUUUAACGGAGCCGAUCGACGAUUCAAAAGUCGCAACAUCAAAAACGAGCUGGAAGCACGGAAGGCUCCGUGCUUCCGAUAGCAUAGUAGCCUCACUCAAAAUAGUAUGCUCCUCUAGCAGCAUCAAAUAAAAAAAGAGCUUUUUUUGCAAAUAGCCCCAUAAAAAAUUUUAUUUUCGAAAAUAGCCCUGUGUAAAAAUUAUUUGCAAAAAUGGCCCUUGUCCCGCCCUGUCAGCGCCACGUCAGCGCCACGCGGGCGGGGCUGGGCCAAUUGUAUAAGUUGAACACGGUGAAUCAUUCACCGUAUUCAAUACAAGAUUUUUGUAUUGGACACGGUGAAUGGUUCACCGUGUCCAAUACAAAUACAUUCGACUUAGCCAAAAAUGGCUAAGUUGUGGGUCUUUGUAUUGGACACGGUGAACCAUUCACCGUAUCCAAUUAUUUGUAUUGGACACGGUGAAUGAUUCAACGUGUCCAAUACAAAUAUAUCCCACUUAGUCAUUUUGUAUUGGACACGGUGAACCAUUCACCGUGUCCAAUACAAAAAUUUUGUAUUGAACACGGUGAAUGGUUCACCGUGUUCAAUAUAAACACUUGGCCCAGCCCCGCCCGCGUGGCGCUGACGUGGCGCUGACGGGGCGGGGCCAGGGCCAUUUUUGCAAAUAAUUUUUACACAAGGCCAAUUUUAAAAAAAAAAAUUAUCAGGGGGCUAUUUGCAAAAAAACCCCAUAAAAAAAGGACCUUGAAACGAACUUAAAAUGGAGAAAGAGAGGGCAGCACUUUUGACCUUCCAUUCCUCCGAAAGAAGACCACCUUGGAGUUAAUGCCCUUUUGGCCAAGCUACUGCUACGCUUUCUGCUGCGGCUAUCUUUAGAAAAGCAUUAAGCGCAAAUUUAAAAGCUUUUGUUCAGUUGGAAGCUGGAUUGAGAGAAACAUCAUCUAUUUCCUUCCCCUUUUCUUUUCUUUUCUUUUCGUUCUUUUUGAGGGGAAUUGCAGGCAUGGUGUUAGUGCCCUUCUGAACUGCACUAAAAUAGCACUCUAUGCAGCACAGCAACACCCAACAAUAGCCUAAACACUUCAAUAGUCUUCAAUGUACCGCUCAUUUCGUUUGGCCUAUUUGCACUGAAGAGCUUCUACAUAAAUACAACAUUAGUAGUAGCCAAAAAGCCACUAAUAGCACAAUAAGGGCAUGUUUGAUUCAAAAUAGAAAUCUCCUAAUUUGGAAUAUGAAUGGGAAUAGAUCAGAAUUAAAAAAAAAAAAAAAAAGAAAGAUGAAAACUCAUAAUUUGUUGGUUCAUAAGAGGAAUGGAAUCAAAAUCAUGUUCAAAUUGAAACAAAAAAAAUUAAAUUUUAAAUAAAUUGUAAAUUUACUAUCCAAAUUUGUAAUCAAAAUUUGAAUCUAGAUUUGAACCCACAAUUUGAACUUAACACUUAAAUGUACAUUUCAAAUUCAAGUUCAAAAUCAAAUUCAAAUUUAGAACUAAAUUGAAGAUAAUAGAAUUCUAAUUUAAACUUAAAAAAUUUAAAAUUAAAAUUUUGAAUCGAUAUUCAAACUCAAAUUUAAAAUUAUAAUUUAGUCUACAAUUAAAUAUAGAUUAAUAUUUGAAUUUAAAAUUGUUAGUGAAAAAUAAGGUGUUCUUUUCUCAAUCUCUUUCUUAAUCGAAGUUAAUUCUCACCUCUAUGGUGGGAAUCAUUUUACGGCGAUUCAAUGCCCCCCGGAAUGGGAAUCAGAAUGCUAAUCUCUGAAACCAAGCAACAAUAAUAGGAAUGGAUCAUUCUAAUUCUCAUUUCAAGUCUCCAAUCCUUCAAAACAAAUAUAAGGAGCUCUUUAAAGGACAAAGUAUUGCCUUCACCUGGCCCAUCACAUCAAUUCAUGAAUCUUACCAGCUAAUGUAACAAAAAGAAAUUCUUUCUUUAACCUGGUCUGCCUCGCCUUCAGUAGAUUUGCUACUUAGCAAUGCCAACAAAACCAAAUGCACUUUCAUGAUUCUAAUAAAGGAGCCAAAAAUAUGACAAUUGUAGUAGAGCUAGGAAAAAGGCUUUAGUGCCAACAAUAACUGAAUAAUUAACAAUCCGCAAAACUAAAGAAAAAUUCAUGAAUAUCAAAAGAAAUCAAUAAAGGUAUGAAGUAACAAAGCUUGAAAACUAACUUCUAAAAGCCAAGACAAUAAGAACACCGAAAAUAAAAAUGACCCAAAAACAACAAACAUCAGCAGAAAUGUAGGUUAUCCUGAUAGUAAAGUGUAGGUUUUAAACUUCAGAAAGCAAAAUGCAAAUCAUGAUGUUUAUAAGGGUUUCUCGCACUUCAAUUCAAUAAUAUCUACUACAAAUAAAUCGCACUAAAGAAAACAUAGGCAGUAUAAAGAAAGGCUUAGGUUCACCUAAUCAAAUAGAAUCAAGAAUUUUCUCUCCCCUCCCCUCUAGUCCUCUAAAUCAAAUCCCUCGGGUAAGCAAAGAGGCGGUAUUAUCGUUAACACUCUUAUACUGACUUAUAUACGCAAGCACUUUGUGUUCUAAUUUUUUCAAAACUAUGAUAAUCAAGAUUCUAUACUUGUGACAAAUUAAUUACAUAAGGUUUUUUAUUGUUCACCAUUCUUUAACAACUUAGCUACUUAAAAACUGAUAUGUUAUGUUGUAGGAUAGGAAGAUUGACCAUACAUGACAAAACCAUCGACUUCUUACUAUUUACACAAUAGUUAAUUAAGUAGUACUACAUUAUUCGAGAAACUAAUUAUUGAAAUUAAGUGAAAAGAAUUCAAUCAUAGAUACUUCACUUCUAUUCUGAGAUUCACUUAAAUAAAAAAAUUGUAUAAGAAAAAGAUGCCAAUUCAAAUAAAAAGGCAUUUACAAUUUGAUACCUGAUUCCAUUGAAAGAUUGUUGUUAUUGAUUGAAGGACAGCUUUCCAUGAGAGUACUGCGCGGAUUUUUCUUGUGAUCAACCUAUGAAUUCCGAUUUGGAGUUAUAUUUCGAUAGAAUCCAUUGUGAAGUGAUGAAGCAUGUCAUGCAUGUUCAACAUCUGAUCAGUUCCCCAAUUCUUUCGUUGCCGCUAAAAAUGUUGAUGGAAUUUGGCAUUCAGCAUUAUUAAGAGAUUGUUCAUAGAAACAGCAACCUGUAGCAAUAGAAAAUGCUGACGAUUUGCAAAUUUGUUAGCAUAAAAAUACCUGCCGCCGCCCUCCUCUCCUCCUUCUUUGCUGCCGCCACGGCCAUCGCUCAUGUCCCUCACCUAUUCCACCACAGAUUUAACCACAGCUCUUACAGAAGUUGAUUUAGAAGUAAUUCAUUACUUUAUCACUGUCUAUAAUAUUAAUCCUUUAUAAAAUCUCAAAAUAAUGGAUAACAUAACCAUACAUAAACAAUUCUAUAGGAAAGUAAGAGGAGGGCUUCAAUUACUCAGCUAAAAUCAACAGAAAAUUUUGAAUUACAAUAAUAAAUUGUGAGUCCUAAUUUUUGUUCUAAUCAGAUUAGUCUGGAUUUUUUUUCUUUUUUUGAGGAAUUUGAAGUGAUCAACUAUAGAAGUAUAUAUAUUAGAUUAGGAGUUGAACUCUCGAAAACACAAAAUGAAUCUUUUGUUGGUGAAAUAUUUUAAGGCAAAAUUGAGUCCUUGUAUGAAAAAUAAUAAAGAGUUAAGAUUAUCCUAAUGAUUAAAUUGUUUAGAUAUUAAUAAAGUUAGUUUUACAAUUCAGAGAGAUUGAUUAACUUUAGCUAUUGAUCAAAUUUUGCUAUUAUUAUCUAAAUUAAAAUAAGAUUUAAUAAAAUUAAUCUGUUAAUGGAUGGCUUCUAUUAGAUCCGCGUGGCAAAACUCCUAGCUGAUAACAACAAGGAACCAAAACAACCGAAUUAGUAUAUGAAAAGUACUAGAUGGAUAACGUACCAAUUAAUUGGGAGCAACAUAUAUCUUAAUAUUUUGCAUUGAAAAACUCUUCAUACUUUCAUUACUCUUAUGUAGGGAUGAUCUCCACAAGCACGAUGACAUCUAUCAAGAAUUAUUAAGUACACUAUGUUCAAAGUCAGGAAGCAUGCUGCCACUUGACACUCUGCCAUUAAUUUCUCAUCGCCAUCCACCACGACGGCGGUGAAGAGGUGCUUCCGGAAGAGGUCGAUGAUGGCGAGGCAGCGAAGGCGAUCGUAACCUAUAAAAAAAGGCAAGGAGGGUGUCACGCCCCGGGGUCCCAUUUUGAUUUGAAAGUAAAGCGGAAGUGCCCAAAAUUCUUUUUUUGAAAACUUGACCCACAGGAUAUACCAGAUCCGCCACAAAUACAGGGCGUCCACUGUUCACACGGACAGAGUCUCCCCUGUAUUUGCACGGCGUCGCACAAGUACAAGAUACAAUAAACAGGAUACAACCACUACAUAUGAAUAUACAUACAUUCAUACAUUCAUACACCAUUCACAUACAGAUUCACAUUCAAAGUUAUAACCAUAAAUCCACAACUAUUACUUUGAAAUGUUUCCUACCCGGAAACGCGUUUUAAAACACUAAGUUAUGAAAACCAAGAAAACCCUUUAAAAACCGUUUCCCAUAAGGAAACCUUUUCUUUUUAAAACUUGCUACCACGAGGGGUAGAAAACCGUUUCCAUUUCACAGAAAUCCCGAAUUCAUUAUUACAUUCAUAAAACCGUAUGAAUUCAAAAGUAAUAUUCACUGAACCAAAUAAACUGUCUAAGUCAUUUAUUUAAAGAAGUUAGGUUAGAGAAUUAACCAACAACGGGACGGUGGCAAUAUUGGUCGCUAGACUAACACCUCAAGAAUAGUUCCACUAGGACCCGCGACGUCACUUGUAAUGGGGGUGGGGGGUGAGAACAUGUACACAUGUCUCCCCUCCCAGUGGGUACCGCAAGCCGACGAGGGCGAGGGGUACUCACCGGUCAAGGAGGAUAAACAACAAUAUGGGUAAGUGAAAUACAGUAGCAACAAUAAUAAAUGAACAGGAUGUAUAAAUGCGCAACUACCGCUACUAUAUGUAUGCAUCAACCGGACGACAAGUCCAAAAAUACCCAAUCUGAAACCCGUGCUCUAUUGGUCAGCACCGCAGACCUCAAACUAGUGCCACUGCCACUCUACCUGUAAAUAACCCAGUCCUAAACGCUGGGCUCACAGGUUGCAUAUAAUCCAGUUUUGACCGCUGGGCUCAUGGGCUGGCACAUCAAACCACUUUUCCGGAAAAGAAUACCCUCUUGUGGUGGAUCAGACCGCUGGUGUUCGUGAAAUGCGAACGAGUAUGUGGCGAUCUGUCACGCCCCAAUCCCCGCCAAUUUGGUCGGCUUCGGGUCACGUCAACAGACGCCGAACGGACAGAGCCUCCCCUGUCCGCCCCAGGCUCUAAUACAUGUAUAGUAAAGCAAUUAAAUAAUGAGAUUAGCAUUUAUACAAGGCUUGCGCGAGGGCAAGUAACAACGGAAGCGAAAGCUCUAAGCUAAUAUAUUCAACCAGACAUAAUACUUGAUUUCCUUUGAACCAAAUAAAAGUAAAUUACAACUAUUAUAUUCUUUUUCCAUUCAACAUAAUUCUUUACAUUUUAGCCAUCCAUCAGAAAUACAUGAUUGUUUACAACUUUACAUCUCUAAAUCAACAAAAGAAGUUGAUACAUGUAUACAAAAGGAAUGACUACAAAAUGCAUAAGUUUUGGUGGCCACUAGCUAUGGCGCUAAACCCUUGCCUCGGUCCUCCGCCGCCCCGCUCGUGCUAGGACAGUGGUGUGAGAACUACAACGAAGUUCCUAGUGGGCUCGACAACCGACCUCGCCGACUUGCCCACUAGGUCUAUCCAGGCAUAAGUAUUUCAACGGAAAGAAGGUAACCAAUACUAAUGCAACUAAUACUAUGCCUGUAAGAAAACUGUUAGUGGAUACAUACAAUCGAAUAAUGAAUGCUCAUGCAUGCAUGCUCGUUUCAUACUUUACUUUGGCUUUUUACCCAAUCUUUCUGGUUAACCUUGUUAAUCCCAACAACUCACAACUCGAAAUCCCUUAAUAACGGGGGACUCGAACCACCCUAGGGGCCGUCCUCUGGGGGGACUUUACCACGCCCAGUAGUGACCAACUCCGGAGCGCACCGCUCGAGGGGGAGCUACCUCCCUCAAGCCAAGACUUAUCGUGAGUAUCGAUCCAACCCUCAACUUGAGGAUACAUAGCCACUAGUCAUAAUGUCAUUGUCUUAAUAGGUUUCUACCUAUUUGUUCAUGCUACUUUCCAAGUCAUACUUAUUACAAUGUCAAUAUGGUUAAACUAUGUUUAACAACCAAAUUCUCAAGGCCAAACAUGUCUCUAUUGUCGAUGUUACCUUUGUUUACUAUUGUCCAAGUCCAAAUCUCACAUUCAUACAUCUUUAGGGUUCUACCAACAUGUUCAUUAUGAUUUUUGUUCAAUCACUAUGUUCAUCUACGUUAGAAGCAUAAUAUUGAAAUUCUCACCAAGGCUCACAUGUAAUUUAACCCUACUAUGCAUGAAUGACUAUACAAUUAUAUGCUCAAUAAAAUGUGAAAUAGACAUAAAGGGGAAUCCGAUGAUUCCGGUGUGCACCCCCCACCUUGUGAGUAAGUAGAAGAAGAACGCAAUAAUCUCCCGAACCUUACGAACGAUGAUCCGCGUCCUACAACCCAAAAUUGUGCCAAAUUAGGCCCUUUGUAUAUGAACUACUUUCAAACAUUUUCGUAAUGUUAAACAGAGUUGUCCCACGCGUCGGGGGCACCCCCAAUUAGGUUUCUAUGGGGUCAAUUCGUCCCUGAAAAAUCCUAGGGCAAAAGCCCCAAAUUUGAGCCCUAACAAUGUCAUUUUGGCACUUCUCCUAGAUUGAUCUCAACUCUAAGCAAAUAAUAGCUUAGAAUCAUCUAGGAAACAUUCUAAUAAAGUUUCCAAGCCUUUGGAACCAUCCCUAGGGCAUCUAUGGUGAACCCUAACCAUCCACCAUGAGAGCACUUGAGCUCUCAUGGGUUUCAUGGAGUUCAAGGCUUAUAGAGGGUUCCUAAAGCUAGAAACAACUCAAAACUCCAAAACUUAGGGAUCAAAACCAAACGCUAGACUCAUUUGUACAAAUACCUCACCUUAGCCCAAAGCUCCUCCAAGUCCUUCUUGUAGGAGAGCUUGCUAGACCCACCAAAGCCACCACAAUCCACUUCUCCUUGCUUCUUCUCCUUCUUCUCCACCAAACCCUAGAGUUCUAGAGAGAGAAGAGAGAGAAAAUGAGAGAAAGGUGAGAAUGGCCUGUGGGAGAAAGAGGGCUAAGCAUAUAACAUGUUGCAACAAUAGCAACUAAACCCCUCAACUCCCAACAAUUACAUCAGCCUUUACUGGGCAAUUUUCGCAGUCGGGGACUGGUCUCCCCGACCAGGGACCGGUUCCCGAACGUUGGGUUUCCAGGACUUAGCCAAAUUUUCGGGUUUUUGGCUGGCUGCGCAGCGAGGGACCAGUCUCUCCUUCAGGGACCGGUCUCCCGAGGACCGGUCUCACUGCCAGGGACUGGUUGCCUCAGGAUUGCUGGCAGGCUACGCGUACGGGGACCGGUCUCUCCUUCAGGGACCGGUCCCCGAGAGCACAAAAUUUGGGACUUAGCCAGAUUUUGAAACUUCACUCUCUCGGGUCCCUUUACACUACAUAUAGGCUCCAAAACACUACUGGCCCAUGCCAACUUGUUCCACUCCGCAUUCCGCACACUUCGACGGAACUCGACACGUUUCACGAGGGAUGCGAUAUGUUACACGAUCGAAUGCUGAUAUGCUCAAUAGCAAACCGUCGGCAACUAGCCGACAAUCACCGCCCCUCAGGGCACACUGACCAAUAGGUCAUCGAACUGUAAGGAACACAAGUACCGACCACUCAGGUCAACUAGGAUGGAACAACUCAACAUCCUCCCAAAGAUAUGCAAGUACUGAUCAAUAGGUCAACAAAAGUAUAAACGCAAGAAUCGACCAAUAGGUCACAAGAGUGUAUCACUAUAAUUCAGAACUCGCCGUCAGCUACUAGCCGACAAUCCUAUCCCCUCGGGGUACACCGACCAUAUAGGUUAUCAAAUAGUCCAACCAACCAAGUAGGUCAUGAUAUCAAUGCAAUAAGCCGACCGAAUAGGUCACAGCUACGAGAUACGAGAACCGACCAACCAGGUCACAGAUAUCACAGAUACUCACGAAACUGCUCUACUCUAAACAUGAUACAGGAUAUGCAAAACAGCAAAGUAGAGCAACAAGGAAACAUAGUAUAGGUGCUAGGCUCAACAUAUAAUAUAUGCAUAUAGAGUAAUAACGGGAGAACAAGGGUAAGAGGAUAUCAUCGAACGUGCACCACUGUACCGACUUCAGAUCGAAGUACCCACCUGUACGUUUCUGGUACUGGUCUCUCCACUGCGGAGACGAAACAACCGGACCUACGAAGGGUCCACAGGGUUAGAAUUUAACCCACAAACACAAAACACUAACUCACAAACCCCCCAAUAAACCUAGGGGAAUUGGUUUCCCAAGACCAAUUGCCGAACUCACCGGAAGUCCCGAAAAUCGCACCGGGACUCCGUCGGGACACACGAACAGUCCCGAAACUCACAGACUCGUGCUACGAGUCACCCGCGCGCCACUAAACACUUACAUUCGUGUGGCCUGGCAGCAAAAAUACUAUCUCGCAUCGAAACGAUUAUCAUCGGAUAGUCGUUCCGAUCCGGGUUCCCGGAAGUGUCUAUUUCGACACCGGAACCCACUGUCGCUUACCCGUCAUUUUCGAACCCAUGAAACAACGCAGGUGACCAGCCAACAAGGCUUGACGACAAAACUCAGGGCAUUCUAACACCGUCGGAUGCAAUCCGAACCGAAACCGCGUUUUGCCAGCGAAUUUCGCCGGAAAACGCACCGAAAUCGAUAAUCGAUUUUCGCAAAAGGCAUCAGACCUUGGACAAUCAGUCCAGAGGUCACCCGCAGCCCAUAUGUACUGCCCACAGCAACCACGGAGUGCACAAAUGCACAAAAGCCCCUACUAUACCAUAAAAUCACAUCAUUUUAUGUGAUUUUAAUAGGUUUUCUAGCUCGACAACACAAUUCGAGAACUUUCGUGGCUGACCGAGACCCACGCUGAUAGGUCUCGAUGUACCGGAGGCCAUGCUCAUGAUUCGGAGCAUGGCCGACCACUGUGGGGAGCGCGGGAGCGACGCGAAAAUCUGCGAAUUGCGCGCAUAGCAUGAAAAACAUGCUUAUCUAGCAAACCAGGGGCUCUCUGACCCCAACGAAGGUGGCCACGAUGAUUGGCACUGAUAAAGAAUCAUCGUGCUCACCUUCGAAAGCCUCGAGAUGGCCUCGGGUCACCGGAACAGUGACCUGAACCCGAGACAGUGCACAAAAAGGCUAAACUAAAGCUCACCGGGCAAAGGGGGCCAUGGCACGACCGGCGGCGGCUCGGCAGUGGGCGCACCGGCAGCAGGCGGGUGCUGGCGACAGAGGAAGUCCGGGGCGAGCGUCGGACAGCGACGAAAGGCCGCGGCGGCGACGAGCAUUGAUGCCCUAGCCGCAGCAAACCAGUGGAGAACACGGGCUCGUUCCGGCCGGCAGGGAGCUCCGGGGGCGGGGGCUUCGGAAUAAUCCGAGUACGGCCGACCAUGGAGGGCCAACGCUCAUACCGAUCAGCGGCGAUAGGCGGCGGUGGCAGCGCGGGGCGGAACCAAGCCAGCACGGCCUCAUCCCGGGCUCAGUGGGUUCGUCCAGCCCAGGUGGCGGCCGGAGCAAACAAGGAAGGGGCGUGGCCGUCCUCUGGCACCGAGAGUAGGAGGCGGAGACGGCAGCCGGCGGCCGAGACGACGGCGCGGCACGGUUCGGUCAUACCAGUCCGAGCUGGUUCGGGGUGGCUGCAGGGAACUAGCGGCGGCAGCGGCGGCCUGCGGGGACGGCGACGAUGAUCCCUGGUCUGGCGCGGGGGCUCCAGAGGGUCGAGGGGAGUUGUGGGUGGCCGAGGUAGGGCGCGGGGGAGCCGGCGCAAGAGCUACUGCCGCGCGCGUGCCCUAGCUGCUCCCUGUGGGUCGCAGGUGCAGCGGCGGCGCACGACGGGAAUGCGGCAGUUAGAGGUAGAAUGGGCAUGGUCGGGGUGACGCCGGCAGGGGAGCGCCGAGGCAAGGUGGCCUCGGGCCACGACUCUAACCCGAGAGGAAACGGGAGGGAGGAGGUGGAGAGGAAGAGCUUGGUGGUAGCCAUGGCCGGCCGGGGCUGGUCGGCGGCUGCGCUGGCUGCGCGCAUGGAGUUGAGCAGGAGGAAAGGGUCGACGGCUAGGGUUCAGUUGAGAUUGCAAGAGGUUAGGAUUAGGGUUUCCAUGAUGAAACCCUAGAAACUAACCUAUAUAGCGACGAUUAAAUUGCACGCAACUUCCUCAAAUUGCAACGCUUUUCGCCGAGACCCUGACCAUGAGUGAAUGACACCCUCACGCCAUAACCCACCAAGUUUCAUGAAAUUCCACGCAUAAAAUAUGGGGGGUUUCGCGCGAAAUACCAAAAAAUCAAUUCGACCCUUCCUCGGUAAACGUGCAAUAUCUGGCGAUCCAUCUAUCGGAUUUGUGAACAGACUGCGCCAACGCAUUCAGCACAACCAGGCCAUCGAACUCACAAUUUUGUUUCGCCCGAAAAGGUCACCGAUUUGCGACGAAACUCAUCCACUCUCCAAUUACCAGAAUCACAUACAAAUACAUAAAUUAUAUGUAUCUCCAGUUUUCUCGAAAAUCGUGCGUCAGAUCUAAAAUCCGCCAGCGCCAAUGGUUUCAAAAUAGUCGAACCAUUGAAAACGAGCUAUUGGAGUCUUAUGAACGGAGUCCAAUACGCACCAGAAGCCAUCUCCACUGAUCGGCCUCUCCGGAAAAUCGAAGUUACUAUUCACUUUAAGUGAUUAGUAAUGCUCGCGUAACUUCUCCAUUCUAACUCAUUUUCUGCUGAAACUUGACGAGUGCUUAUGUAAUUAAAUUACACACAAUAACAUCGUCAAUAAAGAGUUAACUGUAUAGCAAAAAUCUCAGUCCUUACAGAGGGAGGGGGCUGGGAGGAGAAGGAAGAUAGAGGAGCCGUGGAGUAGGUGGGUUAGAGUUGACGUGAGGAUGAGAGAGUAAGGGAGACAUAUGAAAAAAAAAAAACAAUGGGCGUACAGGCGGUAAGGUAGAGAGGUAUAGGGAUAGGUGAACCACCACAAUGAUAGAAUGUUAUGACAAAAAAAAACACAGACGGGCCUAUAGUCCCCAUAAAUGCAAAGGGGGCUUGUUUUGCUUGCCAAAUUAUAAGUUUAUAAAUGCUAUAAUGAGAUUCUAUGUUAUUAGCUUAACUAUUUUUCCAAACUAUCUCUUAACACUAACAAACUAUUUGGUAGGCUCCAUUUUUUUUUUUCACACUUCAUGGAAAGUCGUGGGCGAUUGGCAUCUAUCCAAUUGGUAAGCACUUAAAGUCAAAAGUGAUUGACAUCUCCAAGUACUAUAUAGGGAGUCAAAAGUGAUUAGCAUCUCCCACUACAAUAUAUCGACUUGAGAGUGAUUGGCAUAUCCCGUUGUGAUACUUCCGAAGGUCACGACAUGUCUCACAUUUACACUUUAAGCUCUCAUUCUUGAAAUUAUCUUUCGAUAAGUCUCUCAUUGAAAUUUUUGUGUUAUUCUCGGAUGUAAUUAGUAUAUAAAUAGCCUACAAGGCUUUGUGAGGGAUACGAAUGAUUAUUGAAUAAAAUUUGAGUUUUUUUGCAAAAGUUUUGAGUGGAAGUUUUUUCUUCCUAGGGUGUUCCUGAUUCUGGCGAGGUUCGGAGUUAUAAUAUUUCAUUUGAGUCCCUCUUAAUUUUUGCAAAUUUUGAUUACCAACUUGUGAGGUUUGGUUGAGAUUUGAGAAAUUGGAGGGUUUCAAGUUAGAGAGAGGUGAGAGCAUUGUGUUCAAAUAAACAGGGAGAAGAAGGUUGAAGACGAGGUUUCUUUCUGUGCGCUUCCUGAGGAGAUCCUGUUUGUCUCUGUAACGCCCCAACAUCCCGGGGGUCACCCAUCCUAGGACUACUCCCGUCCUAGCACGCUUAACUCUCUUAACCUCUUGAGCGUUGCCACCACCCAAAAUGCUUAAGCCGGUUUAAGAGUUCUAGCCCUAUUAUAUCUUAUAUAUAGGACUAUUUGGAGUCUCACAAUUUCCCCCCCUUAAGCACUGACGUCCUCGUGAGGCUCAGACUGACAAGUACCAGGCGAUGUGAGACUCAUCUCGCUAGCCUUGUCAUUCCGACCCCGGCUCAGCCGAAACUCAUCUUACACUUCCGGCUGGUAAUUGGCUCUGAUACCAACUGUGACGCUCCAACUUCGCAGGGGGUCACCCAUCUUAGGACUACUCCCAUCCUAGCACGCUUAACUCUCUUAACCUCUUAGGCCUUGCCACCACCUAAAAUGCUUAAGUCGGGUUAAGAGCUCUAACCCUAUUAUAUCUUAUAUAUAGGACUAUUUGGGGUCUCAGUGUCUCCUUGCACAUGUCAACUAGCACAUAUGCAUGUGCUUUAGCCUACAACCAGUAGCCACCUAUUUGGAUAAACUCAGUUUAAAGACAACAAUAGAUUUUUUUUCUUUCUUAUCUACAUCUAAGUCUAUUGUUGGGAAUCCGAUACUCGCUCUAGUACUAGAUUUUGUGAAUCCGUAACCAGCUUCGACACCGACUAUUCUUGAUCUGGUACCAGAUGUUGAGAUUUUGCAACGGAAGUGUCGAAUUAGGUUUUUACCAUAAACCCGUCUUCUCAGCAAAAGCUGAUACAUUCAUAAAAGAGAGAAAACAAUCAAACAGAAAAUAUGCAGGUAAAAUAAGAUUCAUUAAAUAAGAAAAUAUUACACCUGACUUAUCUUCUGCAAGAGAGUAGCUACAACUAGAGCCUUCUUUUUAAAUCUCUCGUACCCUUCUCUCGUCUUCUAUAAACCUACAAUAAGACAACUCUCUCUUUUUCUCUCUCACAUGCACUCGUGCACUAGGUGAAUACAAUUGGGCCUAGGCUUCCCUACGGUACGAUCACCACCAUAAAAAAAAACUCUCUUAUUCGUACACCAACUAGGCACACUCACCAAUUGGCAUACAUGGAGUUAUAUAUAAGGCUUCACCCAAGAUGUAUCCAAAUCCUAGGAUAAUUAGGAUUCCUACUCCAAAUAAUAUUUAAAUCUAUAAUUAGUUUAUCUCUAAUAGAUUUAAAUAUUUAUCCUAAUCUAGUUAGAUUUAUACUCUAAUUAAUAUUUAAAUUUAAAUUUAUCUCCGAAAGAUUUAAAUAUUAAUUCUUAUCCAACUAAAAAAUCAACUACAAAUCUUGCCAAACCCUAACAUCUAUGCAUACCAUCUAUUGGUAAUGAAAAGCUUGGUUUAUAGAAUAGUUUAAUUAAUUUCUAUUUUCUUUCCUCGAAAAAUUCAUAGCCUUAUUUUUAUUUUCCUAAAAUUUCAAAAAAUUAUUUAGUCCAUUUUUUUCUCAUAAGGUACUUGAUUACGAUCGUUGUGCGAAACUCAAUAACACAGACAUCUACAAGCAUAUAGAAGAUUGUUGCAGAUAGAUCAUGAGUUGAUCCGGACUAAUCGUAAUAGCUUAAUUGCGUGCUCGUUGGACGUUGUAUAUUACAAUUUCUUGUCUGGUCAAAUUUCCUUAUUUUACUAUUUUUUUUAGUUGAACGUACGUUCUUUUUACUAAAAAUCAUAAAAAAAAAAUUGCUUGUUUAAUUUUAUUUUGCAAAAUAUUUUGCCUGCCACAUCUAAAGAAUAACCACUUGUAAGAUAAGUUUGCCAUCUUGAGUGUUGCAUUGGUGGAUAAAAUAUAGGAUUAUAAUUUGUCCUGCAUCAAUUACACAAUAAAUGAAAGAAAUAAUAUAUUAAAAUUUUAAAAUUUUAAUAGGAUAUAUUAAUAGGACAAUAGUAGUGAAUGAAAUAUCUAUUUCUAUAAUAAAAAUGUAAAUAAGACAAGUGUAGCUACUGUGCCUCAAGUAUGAAUAAUGUCAUAAUGAGAUUCUAUGUCAUUAGCUUAUCUAUUUCUCUCAAACUAUCUCUUAACACCAACCAACCAUUUGAUAGGCUCUAUUUUUCUUGCACUACACACUUCAUGGAGAGUCGAGGGCAAUUUGCAUCCCUUCAAUCGGCAAGCACUCAGAGUAGAAAGUGAUCAGCAUCUGUGGCACUCCAAAAGUCCUAUAUCGGAUGGGAAUGAGAUUAUGAUUAGGUAUAUAUGAGACCAUGUAUACCAUUAAUAAUAACUGGGUUUAAGGAUUUGGGACUGGUGGUUUGGGGUCAACGAGUUAUUAUUGCUAGUGGGCCAGAUCGUUACAUUUGGUAUCAGCGCCAAUCACUGGCCGAAAGUGUGUGACGAGUCUCGGCUGAGUUAGAGUCUGAAUGACAAUAUAACAGGCUAUGCCAGGGUUUGAAUAAUAAAGUAACGGACUAUAUCAAAUAGGGUCUGGAUGACAAGCACUACAAAAAAUCUUGCAUUUAAGGACACUUUAAACAAUAAUUAGUGACGCUGUAAAGCGUCGGCAAAAAUAAUCUCGACGUUUGUAAAAGCGUCGAGUAAAGAGUCGUUAACUAAACAUGUCGGGAUAAAUAUACCGACGUUUUAAUAUAGCGUCGGAAAUUUUUUAUAAAUAUUUGAUAAAAAUAUGUUUAUUGGCGACGCUUAAUUAUAGUGUCGGCAAAUAUCAAAUAUAAAAGACGCUAGAAUAAAGCAUCGUUUAAAAAGCGUCGUCUAAAACAUAUUUUAUUGUAGUGAAGGCCAGGGAGACAAAUCUCACAUCGCCUGGUGAUCUUAGGCUGUGUAUGUGAUAGGGUUGACGAGGACGUCAGGGCUUAUAUGUGGGUGGUUUGAGCCCAACGAGUCAUUGUUGUCAGUGAGCCGGAUUGUUAUAGCAUCUCCAAGUACUAUAUAGGGAGUCAAGGGUGAAUCCGCAUCUCCUAAUGCAAUAUAAAGAGUUGAGGGCGAUCGGCAUAUCCGGUUUUGACAUUUUUGGAAGGUCACGAUAUAUCUCACAAUUACACCCUAAGCUCUCGUGACUUUUAGGGUUAUUCACAAUGCUUCUAUACACAUUUUCUAAUUCUCUAGCUCUAGUUUUGUUUAGAGUUCAUAUCCCAUUAACUUUACACUUUAGAUUCUACGCUAAGUUAGAUGCCACCCUUAGUUUACCUAUAAUCUUAGAUUUACAUAGUACUCAACACAUGUAUGUAUAAUUUUCUUUAACAUACGAAAGGGUUAGAAACCUUAUUUCUUGGGUUAAAUACUCAUAAGUCAUCUUGAUCCACUAGAUCUUUCAUAAGUUCAUCUUCUCUCCAGUUCCUUGUGGCUCCUUGAUGCUCCCCUCUAUGAAACCAAGCUUGUUCUUAGCUUGAAGAGCAUUUUUCAUUGUUCUUGACCAUAUGGGAUAGUUGUCACCUGUGAGCAAAUAAGUGACGAACAUGUUGCCGGGGUUGUCGGAGGUGCUAAUUAAGGAAGUAUGCAAAUGUGAGAUCGACCCUCUUACUGGUUAAUGCAAUGUUGCUAGUAGUAAGAGCCAUCCCUUCAAAAGAGGAGUGAGGAAAAAGGUGACCGGUGACAAAAGAAAAAUAUGUGUGGUAGUGUAUCCUUCAGGAUUGCGUUGAUACCAUAUAAAAAUAUGAUGAAUUAGAAAAGAAAACAUUUUUGCUAUAUGAUUAUUUCAGAGAACAUGGCAAAAUAUAAAUGUGUAUUUAAUCAACUCUAAUAAGAUAAGAAAAUACGGGUAAGAACAAUUCGAACAACCUAAAUGACCAAAAUAAUCUAUAACUAAUUGCUGACUAUAAAGUGUUGUACAAGAUAUAUUUUGAUAUGUCUGUUAUUUGCCACUUACAAAAGUGGUGAAUCGUUCACUACGUAUAAAAGUGAUGAAUCAUUUAUUGUAUAUAAACGCCGGGUAAUGGCUCACCAUUUUUUUUGUUUUUAUACAAAACUAAAAAUUAGAAUUCUCUGAAAAGUAAUGAAUGAUUUGCAGUUUUUGCUUUAUAUAUAUAUAUAUAUAGUAGAUCUUGUGUGCUAUUAGGAGCACGGAGGCCUCCGUGCUCCUAAGCCGUUUUUGAUGGUAGAGCUUUCGAAUCGACGAUCGGCUCCGUUAGACUUGAUCUAACAUAUUUUAAGUAUCUAGAAAAUAAGUUUUAUAAUUUUUCGAUAUUAUUUACCUAGCGAUCGGAAGGGUUCAAAAUCAAUAAUUUUUAAUGGUUGAUGUAUAUCAUUUGCAAGUUUAGCGGUGUAGAAGUAUUCAAAUCAGAUGAAAUUUUGAUAGAAAAUUAUUUAUACUAUUUACUGCAAGAUCAAUAUCCCUGAUCGAAAAUUUUAGUAUUAUAUCAUCACUUUUUGUGAGAUUUUUAUUUUCAGCCGUUAAUUUUGAACCCUUUCAAUCGCUAGGUAAAUAAUAUCGAAAAAUCGCAAAAUUUAUUUUCUAGAUACUUCAAAUAUACUAGAUCAAGUCUAACGGAGCUGAUAGUCAUAAGUUGUUUUCAAUGAUGGGGCUUCCGAAUUGACGAUCCACUCUGUUAAAUAUGAUCUAGAGUAUUUGAAACUUCUAAAAAAUAAAUUUUGUAAUUUUUCGAAAUCAUAAUAAAGUCCAUCAAACGAGCAUAAAAUGAACGGUCAAAAUCGAAUGACGUUCUAAAAAUGGAUGAUCGGACCCUUCAAUUUAAGAUCGAAGUUAUUGAUCUUUAUCUAGAUAGUGAAUAGAAUUUUCUAUCAAAAAUUCAACCUAUUCCAAUUCUUUUACACCGUUAAACUAGCAAGUAUCCCAUACCGGCUGUUAAAAAUUGUCAAUUUUGUGAGCUUUUGAUCGUAAGGUAAAUGAUGUUGAAAAAUUAUGAAAUUUGAUUUCUAGAAGUUUUAAAUGCUCUAGAUAAUGUUUAACGGUAUGGAUCGUCGAUUCGGAAGCUCUAACAUCGAAAACAAGUUAUAAGGAUGAGGGCGAUCAUACUCAUAAGAGUAUAGUAGUCGGACUCUAUAUAUAUAUAUAUAUAUAUAGAGAGAGAGAGAGAGAGAGAGAGAGAGAGAGCUAGUCUCCUAUACUAUCUAUAGUAUCGGGACUCCGGUACUAUAGUCUUGUUUCGAUCUUAGGGUGUUCAAAUCAACGAUCCACACCGUUAAAACUGAUUUAGGGUAUUUAAAGUGUUUAGAAAUAAAAUUUUAUAUUUUUUCGACAUAGUUUAUUUUAUGAUCAAACUAUUUCAAAAUUGUCAAUUUUUAAUGGCUACUAUGACGAGUUUGGAGUUUAACGAUGUAGAAGAAUCUAAAUUUCUUCAAAUUUUAAUAGAAAAUACUUUAAACUAUCUAGAUUAAGGUUAACAUUCUUGAUCUUGAAUUUAAAAGUCCUAUGCUGCUCAAAUUUUAAACAUUAUUCAAUUUUCACCGUCAUUUUUGACAUAAUUUAUUUACUAAGUAAACGAUGUAAAAAAAAAAACUAAAAUUUUAUUCCUAAGAAUUUCAUAUACCCUAUAUCAUAUUUAACGGUGUGGAUCGUUAAUUUGAACACCCUAAGAUCGAAACAAGACUAUAAUACCGGAGCUCCAGUACUAUAGAUAGUAUAGUAGCCUAAUUCUAUAUAUCUAUAACUCUAUAUUAAUCCCCAAUACUAUAGCUGAUGUGGCAAAUCCUCAAAUUUUUAAAUUUUUUUAUUUUUUUAAUAGUAAAUUUGUCCGCUCAUCUUUUUUGAAGUAUUCCCCGACAGUUCGCGUUCGUGUCCGCUCAUCUACCCCGCACUCUUUUUCUCAAGUAUUCCCCAACCGUUCGCAUUCGCGGCCCCUCAUCUCCUCCAGUCGCGCUCUAUUUCUCGCGCCCCCUCAUCUACUCCCGUAGCACUCUAUUUCUCCGCCAGCGAGAAUCAGCGUACCUGUGGACAUCGCCAGGUGCACGACGGGGAUCAGGUGGUAGCAGAAGCGAGGAGGCGGGUGGAGGGGCUACUCCGCGGGUUUGAGGAGGAGGAAAAGGAUCGAAUGGGAGCCAUGCGAGCUCGGAUCUCUUCGAGUUGGAAACCCUAACCGCCAUUGGAGGAGUCGGAGGAGGAGAAUUUGAGGACGAGCUCCUGGUGUACGAGACUGCGACCACGAGGCUGGGUACGAAUCGCGCCAUCGCCCACCAUGGUCUCAUUUUAUAAAUAAUUUUUUGAAAAUUUUUUAAAAAAUGAGAUAAUUGGGGGAUUUGGGUUAAAAAUGGCGAAAUCAGAUGGGAAAAUUGGGAAGCUUAAAAAAAAAAAUAGGCCGUAACAUUUAGUAGCUUCGAUGGGUGACUUAAUACAUGCUAACCCCUCUUUUAUUUGUAAAUUACUGGUUUGGCUUUAAGUUUGUAAUAAAAAGUUGUUGGUAACUUUAGUUUUAGUAUAAUUUGUAUUUUAGGUGCAUUUUUUUUAAUUUUUGUUUGGAAUCUUCUCAUUAAUCUUAGGCUAUAUGUUUUUUAAAUUUUGAGUUAAUACAGGACGAGAUCGAUCGCAUCCUCAAGAAGGUCCAAGAGAGCAUCGAGGUUUUCGAUAGCAUCUGGAACAAGGUACUAUUCAUGAAAUCACCAUAAUUUGGAGGUUUUAUGAUCUUUCUACUAGAUUUUCUUAAUGAUUUUUUUUUUCUGUUUCAGGGUUUACAACACUGAGAAUGCGAAUCAGAAGGAGAAAUUUGAGACGGAUUUGAAGAAAGAGAUCAAGGAGCUGCAGCAGUGUCGAGCUCAAAUUAAGACAUGGAUUCAAUCGAACGAGAUAAAAGAUAAAAAAAGUGAGAGAUUAUAUUUAUGUUCCAAAUGAUUCUAUAAGGAAAUAUGUGUAAUUAGAUUCCAAGGCUAGACGAUGGUAUGAAUGGUAUUUUUUUGAAUUGCCUGGGAACUAUGUAGACUUAUGUUGAUGUUCCAGGCACCGGAAUUGUUGUUAUUUUAUAGAUUAAGAUUAAUUUGAUUUUGAGGCUAAUUUAUUAGCAAUGUGAAUGGAAAUUGAGGGAUAGUUGUGUGCUGAUAAUAUGAAUUUGUAUGGGCAAAAACUUAAGAAAUAAUCAGCUAAAACUAAUUUGUACUUGAUAAGAAAUGGAAAUGGUAAAAAAUUGAGUAGAGUUAUGAUCUAUAGAUAUAUUAACUCUUGAGUUCUCCUGUGGCCUAUGUGGCGCAUCCUCAGCGCCCCCCCUCUCUGCCUUUUCUCCUCGGCGGGCGCGGGCGCGCCAGGGGCACGAGGGCGGGCGCACGGGCCCGGGUCGCGCGCUGCGCACAUGGCAAGGCCCCCUAGCUCCCUCUCUCUAUCUCUUCCCCCUCUCUCCCUCUCCCCACCCCUAGCCGCCACACCCCACCCCCGCCCGUGUCUCUCUCUCUCACGCGUGCGUGGGCGGGGGGCACGGGUAGCUUGCUCUGGGAGAGAGAAAGAGCCAGGGGGGUGGGGAGAGAGAGAGAGGGGGGGAGAGAAAGAAAGCGAGAGCCAGGGGGCCUGCCAUGUGCGGGCGACCGGCCCCGUCGGCGCGAAAGAACGAGAGAGAGAAAAGAGAAGCGGGGGUCCAUUGGGAGGUUGGAGAGAGGGAGAGAGGGGGAGAAACGAGAUGACGAGGAAGAGCCGGGUGGGGCGGCUUGCACUGUCUGCAGGCGACCCGCAUCCCCGCCGGCGCCGAGAGAGAGAGAGGGGGAUGAGAGACUGUGCUCUUCCCCAGCCUCCCCCUCUUUAACCUCCCCCUCCCCUCUUUACCUCUCCCUCCCCCCCCCCGGCUCUCUCCUCCUUCUUCCUUCCCCUCUCUCCUCCUCUUUUUCUCUCUCGCUCGCCCUCGGGCUUUCUCUCAUCUCCCCCCUCCCCCGUCUACCACAGGCGCGAGCGGGCGCGCGCGACUGGCGCGGUGGACGGCAACGGGAGGCGGAUGGUGGAGCGGAGGGUGCGGGGCGGCUUCCAGCCGCGGCGGGGCGGCGGGCGCUGGGAGGCACGACGCAGGGCGGGCUCGAGGGUGGGGUAAGAGGGAGGAGAAAAAAAAUGGGUAGAGAGACGAAGAGUGGGGAGGAGGGCAGAGGAAAAAAGGGGAAGAGAGAAGGGGGAGAGAGAGAGAGAGCCGGGAGGGAGCGAGAUUUUUCCUUUUUUUUUUCUCUCUUUCUACUUUGUUUUUUUAUAUUUUUUGGCUGUAUCUCUUUUUUUGUUUUUUUUUUGCUUUCUAACCUUUUCUUUCCCUCUUUUUUCCCCUCUUUUUUCAAAACCUUUUUUUUUUUUUUUGGUUAGGGUGGGGCAUUAAUACAAAAAAUACAAACAAUAAUUUAAAAUUUAAAAUUUGAUUUUAAAUUAAAAUUUAAAUUUUAAAUUGAAUAUCUCUUUAUUUCGAUGGAUUACGAACGGGAGGAGCGGGCGUGGUGCGGUUUUUUUUUCCCCUUUUUUCUGUGGGACCAACAAUCUUUUUUCUUCUUUUUUUCCUUUUCUAACUUUUUUUAUUAAAAUUAAAAUUUAGUAUUUGAUAUUUUACAAAUGGUAAUCUUAUAUUACUGAAUUUGCAGUUUAGGUGAUGUUAAUGAAGAUUGUUGAGACAAACAUUGAACCUCUCAUAACAACUUUUAUUUCUUUUUUGAAGUAUAGUUGAUUGUAUAAAUUAAUGUACUAUUUAUGUCUUUUAUUUACUAUAUAAUUUAAAAUAUUUUAAAAUUUACAUAAAUUCCCCACCGCGUAGCGCGGGCCUUCACUAGUAAAUUUAAUUCUUGAGUUGAAUUGGGGAUGGGAGUAAACUCAAGUGGGGGUGGGAGUAAACUCGAGUCAUGACAUCUGUUGAAUUUUACUUUUUGAUGAUGCCACUGUCUUAUAUUUUGCUCGGACUCGACGGGAACAAGGUUCUUGACCGUGCCGUUUAUCUGAUCGAAGGCCUCGCCAUGGGAUCCAUUCCAUUGGAUGUCGUUAUUGAGGUCGAGGGCACGCUAAGGCUCUUCUUUUUUUCAGAUCGUCCUUAAGGUAUUGUUCUUUGCUUACUUCAUUUCCCUUUUUCUCUAUUUUUUUGGAUUUCUUUUAAUUAUUUUUAUUUUUAUUUUUUUAUGUAAUUUAGAAAUUUCAAAUACAAGAUAUUUUUCAACACCAAAUAUUUUUCAUUAGGAAGUAGUCAAAGAGGUUUUACAAAAAAUAUUUCUGGGCAACUUCUUGGAACUCAAGGAUCUGCAUCAGUUUCGAACUUCUAUAUGACCCCCACUCCUACCCUCGAUCACUCCUUUUUCAAGAAGAAGUAAGAAUUCCGUAAAAUUUUACUAUAAUUUUUACCCGCCGCAUCGCUUGAGUUCCUACACUAUAUACAUGAUUGCUAAACUAAAAAUAUAACUAAAAUAUCUCUAUUCUGAUAUAACUCAUUCUUUUUUAUACUAUCCAUGAAAAUUUAGGCAUCGAGUGGAGUUUAAUAUCUAAAUUUCUUUAUAUAGCUUUAUUUAUUUAUUUAUUUCUGCGGAAUCUACCCGCUGCAACGCGUGGGUACCUUCACUAGUAUAUAUAUAUAUUAAUCUCUAUCCUAUGUGUUAUAUGAACACUAUUUCCAUGGUUAAUUUUGAAUCUCUACAAGUAUAAAGGACUUUCAAACAGGUAAAUUCCAGUUUCGGAGGGACCCAAAGAAGUCCAAGCAAGCAAAGAACCUCAGCAUUUUUUUUAGCUUUCUUUUUAUGUGUCACAAGUAUAAAGGACAAUUUUUUUUUUUUUUCAUUUUUGUUGGAACCGCGGUUCGAAAAUAAGUUAUUGCUGGCAAACAGGUAAAUUUCAGUUUCUGAGGGACCCAAAGAAGUCAUAGCAAAGAACCAAAGUAAACAAGGGGAAAAUAAGAGCACCAUAAUUUAGAGCAAGUAGAACAACGCUUAAAGGGCAAAUAUUUUUUUGGAAUUUGUUUAUCAAAAUAAGUUAUUGUUAGUAAAUAGCGGUAAAAAAGAGCACAAUAAUUUAGGCCGAGUAGAACACCGCCCAGCUAAUCAAAAGUGUUGAGAAUUUUUUUUCGGCUUUUUUUUAUAUGAUAAGUAUAAAGCCUAUUUUUUUGUCAAAACUUGGUUUUUAGAAAAAGAUUAGUAGGGCCGAAGAAGGUCAUUGGGAGUCAGAACCCCAAAGCAAAUAGGAGCAAUAAAAAGCACAGCAUAAUUUAGGGCGAGCAGGUUGUUGCCCAUUCACCAAAAGUGAUGAGGCAGCAGUACAACGCGCACGGGGCAUACUCCGAAAAAAACAAUGCGAGGACAGGGCUGAAGUCACAGAGACAGUAAAGAGAGUAUUACAGGAGGUUCUACCAGUAAACAACUACAACGAACCUUUCGAAUGGAGGCAAGCAAGCAAGUUGGCUUCCCUCUGCAUAGUGGCAGCACUAUUUAUAGCUAUUUCCUGAGCACACCGCGGGUUGAGAGAGGAAGGAGGACGGAGGACGAUGGCACAGGAUAGAAAGGGGCAGAUCCCCCACCCACUUUCGGCGGCGUCGGGGACGAAACCGAGGAAUCGAGGAAGAAGUUGCAGGGACAGAAGAGUCGGGAUGCACAUGGGGAGCAGAGAGAAGAGAUACCACGGGCACUCCCGUACUCCGGCCAACUCUGGCGCAACGAUGGAACGCGCGUACGUUGGGCGUAGGAGGAGGUCAGGGUAGGGCCCAACAAACACCCGACAGGGGGGGCGGGGCCCGAAUCGGAGAGAGGAGGGCAGCAGAUCUGAGCCUACCUAGAGGAGAGAGGCGGGGCGGGCGGCACGUGACCCCACUCGGCGCAAGCGAAGGGAUCGGAGAGAACUGAGAAGGAGGGGUAGCUGACAAGGCGACGCGUGGCCACAGUAAAACCCAACUUUUAAUAGAUGUAUAGAUCGUAUGUGUUAUUUGAACACUAUUUUUAUGGUUAAUUUUUUUGAGUAUUAUAUUUGUAAUUAUAAAAGUUGAUGAGGAAAGAAAAUUUGUUACACACCCUUUGUUACACUAUUUCUAUGGUUAAUUUGCCGAUUUUAAGUUUCGUCCCUGUUCCAAAACCUUCUUCAAAUUAUCCUUUCCCUUCGGGCCCUGCCCUAAGCUCUCGCAUCCUCUUUCCCCCAGGUGCGCCCCGGCGGCCCUGCCAUGGAGGUCGCCCUCUCUUCCCCGCGCUUCUCCAUCCCUCCUCCGCCAAACCCUCCCUCAAGAAGCUGCAGAACCAGAGCGAAGGCCGCAGCCGUCAGCCGUCCCUCCGCCCUCUCCUCCGUCUCCUCCUCCUCAUCCCGGCCGUCUUCCCUCUCCGGCGGCCUCGUCCCUCCUUUCGCCGGCCGCGGGAGAGUCCACGCCGACUUCUGCGGCCGGAGGUUGCCGCUUCCGUCUGUUGUUACUCGGCCGUCGUCUUCGCCUCGCCGCGGUGUCGUCACCAUGGUAAAUCUUAUCUCCUCCCCCGCCCCCAUUCCCCUCUUCUAAAGAAUAACUUAUCCUUUACAAGUUUUUUGUUGUUGUUGUUGUUGUUGCUGUUGUUGUGGGUGAUUGGAGACUAGGAGAUUGAUUAUUUUCGUCUGUGAAAUGCAUAAACGUUCAUGAUUUGCUAAGCUAUUUAUUUUGUUCGAAAAAAAAAAAAAACUUGAAGGCCGAAGACUACAAGCGACUUGAGUAAAUCAAAGAGAUAUACUGAACAAGAUGCUCGUGUAUCCAGAGAGGGCUUUACUUCAUGUGGUUUUGCGAAUUUGUAAGGCCUCUUAUGUUGAGUUGACCCAGAGUUGUUUUCUUCCCUUAGCUUCUAGGUUGUUUCUGCUUUGUUGGUUUGUUCUGUGGGUUUUUUCAUACGUGGGCUUGUUAAUUAGGAGCAAAGAUAAUUGGUUGGUUGGAGCCAUACGAUAAUGUGUGGGAAGCCUCUGAUUUUCUUUUCUAGUUUAGGAGUUUUGCCACCAAAAAUUCUUGCAAAACGAGCAACCCGAUCCGAUUUUGGUUACUGGAUACGUUGGCUAUCUAGUUUGUAAGUUUUCGCUACCCUCUAAUUCCAGCAAGAAGUAUUAGUUGACUUCACGAACAAGCCAAAUCGGUGUCUUAGAUAUGAAAAAUUUAGAUAUAAAGGAAAAUUCUAUUUUUUCUUCGUAAACUUGUUGAACGAAGGGCAAAGUCUGAUCACUGAUUUAGAUGGAGUAGAAACCUCGUAGUGCUAUAGUACAAUUGGACGAGAUUUAUUUCGAGCAAUUUCGUUUUUAAUGGUUUUUUUGAAGGCGUCUUUUACAUAUGAAAUAAUUUAGAAUCAGGGAUUUGCUACUUUCUUGGCCAGCCUGCACUUAGGCAGGUCAUCGUGCAGUUGGCACCUAUUUUUUCUAUGCGCAUUCUUUUUCCUGCUUGUCUUUCUUUUUUCAAACUAUUGUCUUUGCCAUAAGGUUGCCAUUCUGUUGAAAAUGCUUGAGCCUUAGCGAACUCUUUAGGCAAAUUUGAUUGGUCAAAAUCUUCAAGCAACACCAAGGAGUUUUUGAUUGCUAUGUUUGAUGGUUAUCUUUAAAAGAAUCAAUAUAUCAAAAACUGUUGGAAAGCUUGAAGUAGGAUAAAUCUUUUAGAAUUAAUGAAAGUUAUCUACUACAAGGGGUGAGCUUGAAUUUACUUUCUACCACAUGUACAAAAUUCACCUCUUUCAGGCCAUCUUUAUAUUCCAGUAAAUGGGUGAAGCAUUGUUGAUCAGAGAGCAAAACUGGAUGUUACUUGAGAGUUUAAGCUAAUAAAUCUCACACUGAUUAAAAAUUGAAAAUCACCAUGCUUUGUUGAGGAUUUCUUAUUUGCUUUGCUUAUGGGGUUGCAUAUAUGAACAGAGUGAAAUGGUGGCCCAGGUUAUAUUAAUCAGAUGUCAAGGGGCUACAUUGGUUUCGAAUACUAUUUGACAUUGUUUGGAAGGUUUAUAUAGUGAGUUUGAUUAAAAACUGAAAAAAUAUAUAAUCAAGUGGUUAGUUGCUGCGUAAUAAGAGAUGAUUUGUAUCAUUUUAUCAUGUUAAAUAAUAAAUUGAUUAGUUGUUGCACAAUGAGAGGUGAUUUAUUAACUUUUCAUUUAACCAUGUGGUAACCUGAAUGGUCGGAACUCAGGUCCAUCAAUUUGUGAUGUAUUAGCAACAAGUUUCCAUGAUAAUUAUUGUGAUGGUAGGCAGAAAUGGAAGAAUUCAAGAUUGGGAUUCACGCAAAUGAAGCAUUUGAUGUUUUUUAUGGUUUAGAUUUUAGCUUGCAUCUCCUCUUGCUGAUGUGAGUCAUUGAUCUGCUUUUUUGGAGCGCUAAAAGGAAAAUAAAAGUGUCCUAAUAUCUUCACGUCUUUGUUGGCACUUAAUUGCCUAAUUCUUAGCUCGUCGUUUCAAAUAUCAGACUAGUCUUAUUCUGUUAAACAAACUGCUGGAUCAAAAUACUUCGAGAGAAACUGAUGGUUGAUUCAGAGUUUCUGUGGAAUUUUAACUGCUGUUUGGAGUCUCUUGACACUUUGGACCGACACUUUCAUUUAAUCAUCUUUCAACAGGUUAUCCCCUUCUUGAGAGGAAGUGCAUGGGAGCAACCGCCUCCAGAUCUAGCUUCCUACCUCUAUAAAAACAGAAUUGUGUACUUGGGUAUGUCCCUUGUACCCUCUGUGACGGAGUUGAUGCUCGCUGAGUUUCUUUACCUUCAGUAUGAAGAUGCUGAGAAGCCUAUUUUUCUAUACAUAAACUCUACUGGCACAACAAAGGUCAGCUGCGCGAUGCUUUUUUUUUUUUUUUUUUGUUAACAAUGAAAUUGCAAAGUAUUCUUCACGUUAUACUAUGCAUUGCUCAUGUAAGCUUUUUUCAUUGACUGGUAUGAGAUGAAAUGUAACAAUAAUAUUAUUUUAGGUGUCUUGUUUUAUUAGCAGUUUUUGCUUAGAAGGAUUCUCAGCUCUACAUUGACAUAACAGUUUGAAUAUUUGUUUCUUAAAUGGAAGUCUGGAAUAGCUGAGUUUUCUGGUUAGAGGAUCUUGACCUCUACCUUGACAUUACAAUUGCAAAAAAAAAAAAAAUUGCUGUUUUGUAAGAAUGGAGAUGGUAAUGAAAAUGAAGCAAGGAAAAUAUGCUUUUUUCCCUUGUUGUGUUAGCAGAUAUGCAAUAUGUCAUUUGAAUAUGAUUCCCAAAUUGUAAACUUUUUCCUGUUUCUUUUUAAAGCUCUUCAAUAUGUAACAUAUGUAAUAUUGCUGAAUUUUAUUCCUUGAGAUUUAGUGGCAAAAGCCUUUGUUGAUUUAUACAUACUGCCUGAGAGAAACUUCUUUUCAAUUCUCUCAGUUUUUCUUAUAAACCAUGAUGGAUAGUAGAAGUUGACUAUUGACAUGUGAUAGUCUGGUUGUGAAGAAAAUAACUAGUUGUCAAAAGUCAAAUGGCCUAUAAUGGAACCCAAUUGCCUUUCCAAAUGGUUUUUCUUCACUAGUUGUCAAAAGUCGAAUGGCCUAUGAUGGAAACCCAAUUGCCUUUCCAGAUGGCUUCGAAACUUUCUGUGUAUGAAUGCUUAUUUGAAUGAAGUAGGAGGGGAAGCCUAAUAUAGGAUGGGAUUGCUCAAUGGAGCUUCUAAUUUGGCUGACUAGAUUAGAGACUUGGGGAUUGGAUUUCACGAGAAAAGAAACAAAAUGCACACGCAUACCCUGAAAAACCACCCAAACUCACUGUCCCAAGGAGAAGUAGAAAAUGCUAGCAUGAGAUAUGGCAAGCUAACUAGGCAUGGCUGACAUGAAAAAUGCAUUGAAAUUUUAAUGCUACCAUCUUCUAUUUUGUUGGUAUGCUUGGAAGAACAUUUUUGUGUUCUUAUCUUGCUCUAAGUCAAUUUAACAAAUGUAUAGAAGGACUAAUCUAUAUAAAUAUGGAAUCGAGAGUUUGUAUGGCGAGCUCCCCGUGUUUUGCGGGGGCCUCGCGCGCGAGAGAGAGAGGAAGAGAGAGAGAACAGAGGGUGGAGGGAGAGAGAGCAUACAGAGAGAGGGGGAGAGAGAGAGAGAACAGAGGGAGAGAGAGAGAGAGGCCAGGAAAGAGUGAAGAGAGAAAGGAAGAGAAAGAGAGAGAGAGGGGGGGCUGCGUGCAGGCGACCCGCGCCCGCAGCACGCGCGAAGAGAGAGAGAGAGGGAGAGAGGGGGGGGAGAGAGAGAGAGAGAGAGUGAGCAGAGAGAGAGAGGAGAGAGAGCAGACAAGAGUCCUCUCCAGCUGCUGCGGGGGCGGGCCGCCCGCACAUGGCAGGCCCCCCCCCUGGUUCUCUCUCUCACUCUCUUCCCCUCUCUCCACCCCCAGCCGCCCCUUCUCUCUCCCUCUCCCCUCUCUCUCCCCCACCUCCUCCCCCUCAGCGGCUCUCUCUUCCCCCUCUCUCUCCUCCCCACGUGCGCGCGGAUCCCGCGCCGAGCGGUGGGCGGCCGCGGCGCGGGCCGCGUGGAGGUGCGGGCGAGACCCGAACCCCCGCGCGCGCAGCGGUCAUCCUCCCCCCCCCUUUUAUACCUCUCCCUCCCCCCGACUCUCUCCCACUCCCACCCAGCCUCCUCCCCCUUUUUUCCUUCCUCCUCCUCUCUCUCUCUCUCUUCCCCUCUCCCAGGGCGUCGCGAGGCACGGGAGGCGGGGGCGCCGGCGAAGGCAGCGGGAGGCGGAGGCGCGGGCGGGCGACGGCGGGAGACGGAGGCUCGGCGCUGGGCGCUGGCGCGGGCGCGGCGGCGUGGCGAGGGUGGCACGCGCGAGCGGAUACGAGCCCAGGGGCGCGCGCGGGGCGGGCCGCCCUCGCGAGGCGCGGGCGGGGUCGCGGGGGCCGCGCGAGCGUGGCCGCUUCGCGGCGAACGGGAGAAAGAGGAAAGGAAAGAGAGAAACAGGAGAGAGAGCGAGGCUGGAGAGAGAGAGAGAGAGAGAAGAGAGAGAGAGCAGAGGAGAGACGGGGAAGAUAUAUAUAUUAUAUAUAUAUAUAUAUAUCUAUUAUAUAUAAUUAUAUAUAUAUAUAUAUAAUUUUAUUUAUAAAUAUAUAUUUAUUUAUUAUAUAUAGUUAUUUAUUUAUAUAUAUAUAUUAUUAUAUAAUAAUUUAUUAUAUAAUUUACUAUUUAUUUUUUUAAAAUAUUUCUUUUUCUCCCUCUUUUCUUCCUUUUUUUUGAUAUUAUUUUUUUCUUUACCUUUUUUUCCCCUUUUCCUCCUCUGUUCUAAAUUUUUUUUAUUUGUAUAGUUGCGGAUCAUGUACAAAAAAAUAAAAAUUAAAUUUAAAAUUUAAAAUUUAAAUUUUUAUAUAAAUUUUCCGGAGCGUAGCGCGGGCCUUCACUAGUACUAUUUAAUUUGUAGGUGACUUCGGGGUUUUAGUUGCACCACCUUUCAUAAUACAUUAUAACCCUUUGUAGAGCGUAGCAUUUCUGAUUUGUAAGUGGAUACAAGAUUGAAGGAUUCAAGAGUUGUGUGGAACUUCGUCCUUCGAUGUUCUAUAUCGUGUUUGUGUUCUUUGAUAUUUCACCCUCUUUGUAUGUUAUGAUUUACUUGGCUUUAUUGUUCUAUCUUUUGUUGUCCUAGAAUUCAUGUUUGCUUUGUUUCUGAUGUAACACUUUUUUUUCCAUUGUAUUUCUAGGGUGGUCAGAAAUUGGGCUACGAGACAGAGGCGUUUGCAAUAUAUGAUGUUAUGAGGUAUCUUUUUGAACUUUUUGUUGGGAUCUCUGUAUUGGAAGUUUUUUUUUUUUUUGUUUUUGUUCAUGCAUCUAAUUCACUUGCAUUUACGAAUUUCUUUAAUUUUUUCUCUACUGGGAUAGAAGGAUAAUAUUUCUAGGAGGUUAAUCAAUAUUUCUUUCUCUUCAAUGGACGUUGUGAAUAAUUAAGAAAGUGCUUUUAUUAGGUUCCUUAAAACUCCAUGCAGAAUAGAAUUGUGAGAUUGGGAAAUAUCCUUAAUCUGAAGCUGUAGGGAAAUAGUUUAAUGUCCUUAACGGUAUGUUACUUAAUCGGCUACAAUAAUAAGAAAGCACGAUGAUAUUGUACAUUUUUCCUUGAUAAUACAUGAUGUAGGGGAUUCAUAGUUUGUUAGCUAUAUUACUUAUACACAAUGUGUUAAAAAUCUUUUGUAUGGUGGCUUUUUUGAAGAACCGGAGGUUGUCUUCUCAUCAGUUGGACAUGAAGCGAAAGUUAAAAGGUUACUGUUGAUUAUUGGUCUAAUUUGUGCAUAGUUAAUUAAUCAAGUCAAGAAGAUAACUCAAAUUUUGGAAGAAUGGGUAAAGGAGAAGAUCGAUAUAUUGAAAUAUGAACUAAACCAGGAGGAAUGAAGUGAUUUGCAUAAGAAGAUAAUGCAGUUGUAACUCUAAGAUGAAGAAAUCUUGUAUUUAGAAGUAAAGAGGCAAGGCGCAUCGCUAGUUUCCAGUGGAGUAGGAAGGAGGAUCGAAGGUUUGAAAUUUAAUUUUGGCUCUUGAAUUUGAGUUUACACAGUUUUGGAUUAGUUUUGGAAGUUAUGGCUAGAAAGUUCUUAGAAAAAUAUGGAAAAAAUAUCAAUAUUUGAGAAUAAUGAAUCAAAGUGCCACGUCCCAAUGCGGAAGCCCAACCGGGCGUGUGAGCAAACCCGCUACACGGACAUAAUUUCUUUAGUACGUGCACGACGUUGGAGUACAAAGCACCUGGCAAUUCCGCAUGGUUUAUAAAAGGAAAAAAAACCCAAGAUCACAUUUUUCCAUGAAAAGCAUUUAGUGACUAUAACAACUUUGGUUACAUUCCAAAAUGAAUACAUAGUUUGAUUACAAUUUCGCUUCCAACAUGAAACCAAAGGUGCCACUACAUGGACCUAGCUAGCACACUAUCCUCAGUCGACGCCUCGCUUUGCCUGGCCCGAUGUAUCUGUAAAAUAAGAGAGAGAGAAAUUUAUAACAAAGUUUUCCAGUGGGUACAAUAGGCCGUAUAGAGCAAGUUGCACCGACUGGUCUACGGGAAUGAUAGUAAAAGUAAGAUAUACUAUAAGAUAAGUCGAGCAUGUAUGACUAACAUCAGGACAUCUAUGUCCAAAUCAAUGCACCCUGCAUCAAGUACCAGAUACCAAAUAGAUAUGACCAAUUUGUGGGCGGUCCCAUGGACCUAUGCUAAAGCUGAACCGCAGCUGUUGCUGCUCAAAGCAAAAUCGCGGCCUAACGGCCGAAUCGCAAUCACUCUUCUGGAAGAGCUCAACCUACCACGAUAUUGAUUAGACAACUGUGUGGUGCUAGGGGAGCGAGCAUCAAGUGGCUAGUCAUGCACCGUGAUCAACAAUAGUAGUAGUAAGAACCAAGUACCAUAUCCAUAAUGCACCAAGAUGGCCGCUCUAACCAAUACUACUAUUAAUCCAUGUGUCAACAUGUCUAUGCGACUAUGCCCAACUUUAGCUAGCGUGCUUUCUAUACUGGAAUAGCAAUAACAGUAAUAUAUAAUAUGGAUCAACCAGUCAUGCUACUAACAUAUCCAUAAUGAUCAUAUAAUCGAUGGAAGUACAUGCAUUCACUCAACAUGGUUAUCAAUGCCAAUCUACCACAUGAUCUUAUAGAUAGUGAAUAAACUGAGGAGAGGUAAGAAGAUGAAACCAUGCAUUGUGGUUUCACUAAAUGCACUUCAGAUUAAACGCACUUCAGAUUGAAGCACCCACCUUAGGAUAACUUUUUUGGUAAUCACAACGCUUCUGCGAUUCCUCGGAUUUCACUUGGACCUAAAGGAGCACAAAUAAGUCAUACAUUAUCUUAGGAUGCAUUUUCCAAUAAAAAAAACUCAUGAAAGCCCAUUUCUUGAAGUUUCGGGGUGUCGGGUUCCGGAACACAACAUCCAGCUCUGAAAUCCAACUCAGGUUUCAGAACCCAGCCCGUGGUUCCACAAAAAACCUACACACUACUUUCUUGGCCUGGUUCUGGAAUCAAAUUCCUGGUUCCAGAACCAAACCUCCUAGGCAGUAUCACUUGCAAAUUCCACAAAUUGGCAAAAUCGCAUCGUCGAUUUAACCAGAAUAAACUCCAAUUCGUUCAAGGCUGUCAUGGGGCUUGUCAUCAAGGUGAAAAGAAGUAUGUGUCUACCAAACCCUUGGUUCACUUUUAGGGUUUCAUGUUGGAACCUACAAAUUGGGAUUUCUACCAAAAUCAACCAAAAAGCUUCUACUAAUCGGUGUAGAAGCUCAUUCCUUAAGGUUUUAAGCAAGAAAACCUCAAAAACCCCUAACUAGCACAAAGAAUAAUCAAAACCUCAUUGUAAUUCCCUUUUGAUCACUCAAAGGGUUAGAAGCAUGGAAAAUCCUUGAAAAUUCCAUAAAUCUCCCAAUAAAAACCAACAUAACACAACCACUCACUUAAACUUGAAGCUCUUUCCAACAAUGGUGCUCCAAAGCUGAAGAUCCCUUUGUCCACGCUCUCCAAAUCUUACGUGGAAGGGCCUUGAGAAUGAAGGAAAAAAUGAGGGAGACUGAGGAGAAGUGAGAGGGAAAGGGAGGAGGAGGAGCUCUCUUGAGGGACGAGAGAAAGGGAGAAAAAGAGCUAACUACAGCUCUUUAGGGGUAUAAACAAAGAUUGUACAUUUGCAUUUUAACCCCCAAGCAACCAACAUUUUCAUUUUUUUACCCAACUCAGCCACGCAAUCCCACCUUUGUGCUAGUUUCGGAACCAACGUUUGGGUUUCAAAACCAGCUAUGGUUUUGAAACUACCAGAACUGUCACAACAGUUUUGUAGAAUUGUAGCCAUGUUUCCCCAAUUCUUCACGCAGGCACCCUGGUUUCGAAACCUGACACUUUUGCCGGUGCCAAUGUCGGCAUAAGCCCUUAUGCUAGUGGCAUGCUUGUGGCACGAGUUUAGCAGAUUAUUUAUUUAUUUAUUUUUAGAUAAUGUUAGCUUUUUAGAAUUUUUUAAGGCUUGUAAUGCAUAUAAACUUGAUCCAAAUUAUAUCUCUCAUCCACUCCAAGUUGAAAUAUUCAUGCAUAACUCAUGAAAGUACAUAAAUGCUAAUAUAAGACUAAUAGUUAAUAAUAUAUAAUGUUACAGUUAACUCAAGGUGUCCAAAUCAUAACUUUAAAGUCUAAAUUAUUAUCUUCCAUUACUAGUAAUGCAGUGAGCGCCUAGGUGGAUCAUAGUGGCAAUUUUCAUCAUCAGUUACUAGAUUGAUCCCUUGACCAUACAAGUAUUGCUGAUGCUAGUGGAAGCUCAUUUGGUGCUAAUACAUCUCGUAAUAAUUGCAAACAUAUUCAUUAUAGCAAAUUGGAUUGUGAUGUAUGCGUAAUGCAAUGACCGACACUGGCACUGGAACAGCACUGACACUAUAUGGAUAUGGUUGAAGGACGAAGGGGGCAUAAAAUAUGAGACCCCAGGUAGUCCUAUAUAUAUGGUAUAAUAGGGCUAUGGCUUAAGCAUUUUAGGUAGUGGCUAGGCCCAAGAGGUAAAGAGAGUUAAGCGUGUUAGGACGGGAGUAGUCCUAAGAUAGGUGACUGAUUGGGAAGUCGAGGCGUCAUAGUUGAUAUCAAAGCCAAUUACCAGUCAAAAGUGUGAGAUGAGUCUCGGCUGAGUCAGGAUUAUAUAGCGGGGGGAGCGAGACUCUCAUGCCGUUGACUUUUGUGGGUAGAGCGCAGCUCACCAUAAGGUCGGUUUAGACUAGCGAGAUGAGUCUCACAUCGCCUAAUACUUGUGAGUCUGAGCCCGACGAGGACGUCAGGGCUUAAAGAAGGGGAGAAUGUGAGACCCUAGAUAGUCCUAUAUGUAUGAUAUAAUAGGGCUAAUACUCUUAACUUGACUAAAGCAUUUUAGAUGAUGGCUAGGCCCAAGAGGUUAAGAGAGUUAAGCGUGCUAGGACGGGAGUAGUCCUAGGAUGGGUGACCCCCCUGGGAAGUUGGGGCACCACAUGAAAUCUAUGGAUAUGCAUGAUAACCACUGUGGCCAUAUGAGUCCAUAGACAUUGAGCUUGGUCUACAGGAACUACUACCACACAAUUGCACAUUAGACUAAAUUCUGUAUUGUAGCUCAGGCCUGUAGAGGUUUGGGGUGGAUUGAGGUCACGCGAGCUUGGUCCAUAGGAACUACUAUCAAAGACCUCCUUUGACCCCAUAAAAUAUUAAAAUAGACCUAUUCCAACCUUGUGCUGAAAAUGAACCAGCAUAGAGCGAUACGAGGGUGGCACGGAGCAAUACAACUUGAUACAGGGUCGGCACGCUACGAUGCGGGUGGCACAACCACUUUUUUUGGGGUCAUGCUGCACGCAGCCGUGCCACAUGCUGGCACAUUGCCGGCAUAGAAAGGCAUGGGCGGUAGGGGUCCAUGCUCUUUUUCAAGCUUAAUUACCUUUUCUCUUAUUCCUUUCUCCUCUUUUCUUUCUUCUCUUGAUAAUUUAGGGUAUUGCACAAAGCAUCUAAACUUGUUGGUUUCAUCAAAUUUGGAUAGUUAUGCUUGUUUUGAACUGAAACUUAUUUACAAAUUACCAUAGAGAAAACUUAAUACCCAAUCAUUUUAGAUUGUCAAUAAGUUGUUAAAUAGCUACGAAAAGCUAUUAAUCAUAUAGUGAUUUUUGUAUAGAUUAGCAUAUUUUGUGCGGUUAAGAUAAAAAAGAAUAUAAAUUUGGUAUAAAUAGUUGAUAUAAAUAUUGGCAAUUCAUCUGUUAUGUGUGAAUUAAACUUUACCAUCUGUACAAUAACUCAAUAAGUGACAGAGCUAAAAUUUUUGUGUCAAAGAUUAAAUGAGGCUCGGAAUCACUUGUAAAUUUUAUUUUGGUUGGUUUAGCCUUCAAACCACUUCAUACAGUUUUGCUCCUCUUCUAACAUAAAUCAACUGGUUUAAGGCUUGAGGUUUCUUGCUUGGAUGCAUGAACAUGUUAUUUGUAUACAUUCGAUUAACUCAGGAAGCAUGUUGUUUCGGUAGAUGAGGAGUGUGAUUAAAUGUCCAGGAUGGUUAUUAUACAGCCUUGGAGUCAUUUUUUCAUUAUAAGAUAAAUCAUCUCGUAGGUGAAAUAUACUUUCCUACCAAAUUUUGGAUGUCAAGACGUUCCAAGGAGCAAAAAUCAAACUCUUAAUUUUCAAUCACCCGACAAUCUUUAUUCCAAAUUAAUUAUGAGCGGAUAUCACAUCUAAACAAGGCCAUAAAGUUUUCUUUUUAACUGAUUUUCCACUACUUUUUGUUAAAACUCAGUCUAAACUCAUUUUGGCAAAAAUAGUCAAAACCACUAACAUCUUGGAAUCCGGAAAUCCGAAACUUGAGAAAGUAGCAUAUGUAGAAACUUCCUACUCUGAAGUCCUAAGUAGGCUAAAUCACUAUGUAUCUUAAUUUGGCCCGAAAUAGAUAGGUUUAUGCUGCAGUUCUAACCUUCGAAAAAUCUAUUAGAGAUAUUACAUCUGAUAACUUAAUUUGGAUGACAUGGCUCACUCAUCAGAUACUUGGUUCUCAGACCAGGGUAAAGUACUGCAAGGCAAAGCUAGUCUAUAGUAGAUAUCAGUGGACCAAUUAGCUGAUCAAACUAAACCAUUAAAAACAUCUAACAAACAGAUACUCGAGAAACUACAGUAGAGAGAUUGAAUGCUUAUGCUAACUAUGACUAGCUGUAGAUUUUACUAGAUUGAUCAAUCAAUCUUGUCAUCUGCUCAACAGAUCAAUAAAAAAGGGUGCCAGACAUACCUCACAAAGAGUUCUUGUAAUUGUUAUUGCCUUAUUGGUCUGCAAAAUAAAAAUUGAGGAAACAUGCUUGCUGAAUCUGGCCCAGAUUAGCCCAUCCAAAUAUUUGUUAUGAACUCUUUAUAUUCAAAUUUCCUAUGCUGUUCUCUUUUUUUCUUUCCAUUAUCACAACUUCACAAGCCAUCACUAUGAGACAUUAGUAAAAGCCUCAGUACUUCCUCUAGAAAGCAAGGUUGCAGGAGAGACAACUUCUUGCAUGAGAAUCAAAUUAUGGAGGCAAUUAUCUAGCCAGUACAUGCAAUGUCCCUACAAAGUUGUGAAAGAUGCAACAGUUCUUUGCCAGCAUAUUGACAAAUUUUAUUGGUUUGCAGGCAAACAAAUAUGGAAACCUUUGACCUAUGUGUAGAAUUUGAUGGGGACAACUUAUGAAUACGUUCAACAUUGCUAUGGCUGAUCUUGGAUUUUCUUAUGCUAUGGUCUCUAACAUUAACCUUGUAUGGAGGUGCUACAAAGUUUCAUGAGGGUUAGUGGUAGCGGUGAAAACGGAUUGGAUAUAGUCGGAUAUUUGACGAAACCAUAUCCGCAUCCAUAUUUUUUUGGGAUACAAUUUCGGGUCCAGAAAUGUGCCAGAUGCUAAAUUUUCAUUACCAUAUCCACUAAAAACGGAUUCGAAUACAAAAGAUAUUUCUUCGGAUUGGAUAUGAAUCGGAUUUGUAUCCAGAUGUUAUUCAGAAUCUGGGAUAACAAUAUACACUAAUAUGUGUGUAUAAAUAUGCAAUAGAAUUAGCAUGAAUAUUCACAAUGCAAUUAGAGUUUUACACUCGUGGUCAAACUUUAUAUUCCUAUAUCUUAAUCAAUAAAAUUUAAGGAAUUUUUUGUUCGAAAUGGAAAUUAAAAUUUGAAUAGGAAUUAGAUUAGAUCGGAUGGAAAAGAGAAUGAUGAAAUCUCACAAUUUGUUUGGUUAUAAUUAGAAUCGGAAUCAGAACCAACUCUUUAUUAUUGUUUGGUUAAGAAAAAAUUAAUUGCCCAUGAAAAAUCUUUAAAAUAGAAUUCACGAUUCAAAAUAUAAAUUAAAUUACACACUCAUAGCAAAAAAUUCGAAUCUAAAUUAUAAAAUUUAAAUUUGUAUUUAUGGUUUAUAUUCAAACCUUAAAUAAAAUUUCGAUUCACAAUUUAAAUAUAAUUUUGAUUUAAAUUUUAUUUCAAAUUUGAAUUCAACAUGAUAUAUUGAAUUCACAAUUUAAUUCAUGUUCAAAUUAAAACUAAAAAAAUAAACUUUUAUUUAAAAUUUAAAUUUUGAAUCCAAAUUUGGACUGACAAUUUGAACUUAAAUUUAAAUAUGAAUUCACAAUUCAAAUUGAAGUUCAGAGUCAAAAUUUAAAACUACAUCCAAAUUCAAAUAUCAAACUUAUAUUAAAAUUUAAAUUUAAAAAAUUUUAAAUUUUAUAUUUGAAUCUAUAUUUCAAAUUUAAAAGUGAAGUUAUAAUUUAAUCUAUAUUUAGAUUUUGAUAUAUAUUUAAACUUAAAUAAUUGUUUUUAAAUUUAAAAAAUACGCUGGUAGUGUGGGGAAUCGAACUCUGCUCCCCACACAUGUAAAGCAAGCCCUCCACCAUAUUCGCAGCACCCUAAUCUAAUUUGGUCUCUCACAAUAUGUUAAUAAUAUAUAUAUUAAUUCGGAUAUAUCUAGAUCCGUAUCUUUUUUUAUUUUGGAUAUCCAAGAAAUUUUGCACUAUUUGAAACUAUAUAGGCAUCCGUAUGACCGUAUCUGACUGGAUCAGGAUGUUUCCUAUUCGGAUGCGGAUGAGAUUGAAUAUGAGCACAGAUACGGUCGGAUACUUUCUGAUCCGUUUUCUCCUCUAGUUAGUGGUAUAUAUGUCUUGCAAUAGUGUUGGAUUUUUGAGAUAAGUCUGCUUACAAGGUUCCAAGAUUCACAACCAGUUAAUCAUUUAUUCAUUCCCGUCAUUAUCCUAUAUAAGAAUUGAAGGUGAUGCGAAGUAUAAUUGAGUGUAAAGCAAAGAUGAUAAACUUGACACUUAGGAAGAUCCAAUAUUCAUCAUUCACACCCGAUAGAAGAUGAUGAUGGAGAAUCCAUCUCCAUUAAAUAAUCAAUUGACAGUAUGGUUCUAUUUUAGUCCGAGAAACUAACACCUUUACAUUUACAUUUGAGGAUCAUUAGAAAAUCAUCACAAGAAGAUUAUAUAUACUGAUAUUUUAAAGCCCUAAUAAUCCACCUCUCCAAUAGCAGUUUGCCGCUAAGAUCGUAUUUAAAGACUACAUAUCCUGUGAGGAUCAUCAGUGUUUUACUUGUUGUACAGAGAACCUCCUGGGAAUUAUGGUGGACAUCCUCGAGACCAAGGGUGAUCACUCAGGUAACUGGCUGCUUUUGUGGUCAACUGAUGUAGUCUGGUUGAGCAGUUAGAUGUCUCUUCAGUAUGGAGUAUGGAUAGCCCGAUAGUUUCAACCUAGCCAAUUGGUCUGUCACCCUAGUCAACCAAUUCAUUUAAUUGCUCUCAUUUGUUAAAUCUUAUCUUACUCUGAUUAAGAUUGUUGGACUUGUUUAAGGUGAGAAUCAGAGUGUCUCAUUGUGUUUUCACACUAUGAGAUUGUAUCAUACCUGUUAGUUGACAGGUUAAUGAAGAUUUGGUAGUGAAGGCUCAGGUGAUGAAUGCCCUUCCUUUGAAGACAAAAGGUUUGGAGAAAGGAUCCAUCCCUAAAAUUUUGAUUAGCAAUAGGAAUUUUCUUCUUCCAUCAAAAUUCUGGAACAAAUUCAUUGAACUUUGAACUUCCUUUAUAUCUAGUGUGAGCUGGACAAAUGUAUUAACUUGAGGCUUAAACCUGUUUAUUGGAUGUCAAGACUAUAUCCAUUGUCAAAUUGUUAUAAUUGAUGAUGCAAAAAGAUUAAGAUAUUACAUCACUUUCGCAUCAGCGAUACAUCAAUAUUUAUUGAACUAAAUUGGGUUGUGGGACUUGAUAGCAAUAAUGUAGAAAGUUUGAGCCAGAAAUUGCUACAAAUGAAGUUGUAGGACCCAAGUGUCGCGCCUCAUAGUUUGAGAACCAAAGCUGUAAGUUAGCCUUAUUUGUAUUAUUAUCUGUAUUAAUGAUUAAAUCAGAUAUAAUAAUUUCAUAAUCUUAAUAAUCUAAGAUAAGAUUACUGCAUGGGCCAAAUGCAAGAACACUACAUUUCUCAAUAAUUUUGUUCUUAGGAAUGAGAUUCCCCUAUUUAUUUAUACCUAGGAAUCUUUUAUAACGCGAACCAAAUGCAUCUUGAAAGUAAUUUGCAGUUAAUUUGCUGCUCAAACUCUAUGCAGUCAAUGGGCUCUGAGAAUUUUAUAUUAAUCUAUUUAAUUCCCGGCAUUAUGCAGAUACGUGAAGCCGCCUAUCUUCACCCUUUGUGUUGGCAAUGCUUGGGGAGAAGCUGCUUUGCUUUUGGCUGCUGGUGCUAGAGGCAACCGUUCUGCACUCCCAUCGUCGACAAUAAUGAUAAAACAGGUUUUUGUUAUAUUAAUCAAUCUAUUUUUUUUUUCUAGAACUCUAAUAUCUUUGUUAUAUAGAUUGUAAUUCCUUUUUUAAAAAAUUUUUCUGUUAUCUUGUCUAGUGUGCCUUGCCUCCUUUAUUUAGUUGAUCUGUUUCUCAAUCUUUUCUUUAGGCAUUACAGUAAAGUGACUUAAAAGUUUUAUCUCUUCAAUCUGCAGCCAAUAGCGAGGUUUCAAGGUCAGGCAACAGAUGUUGACCUUGCAAGGAAAGAAAUAAAGAAUGUGAAGACAGAAUUGGUACUCUUCUUUACAAUAGAACUUUGAAUCUGUGCUUGAAAAUUUAUCCACCCUUGUGGAACGCCUUCACUGUAUCUAUUAGCACGCACAUGCACACAUGGUGAAUGCAAUGUGCAAUACUCUCUGCAAUCAUAUACAAAAUUCACUGUAUUUAAGCUACGCGACUCACAUGCUCGCCGAAUUGGCAUCUUCCUACUGCAGAUGCAUAAUUUGCUUGCCACGCUCAGAAUGGGUUGAUAGUGAUGAGCAGUUUCUGGUGACAUUAUUGUUGAAUAAUCAAACUAUUUUGGUGCACUUCCCGAGCUGAACAUGCAUAACAGUGUACAACAAACAAUUUAUUUUACAAAGAUCGAUAUCUUUAUUAUUUUCUCGGGAAAAACGCUUCAGAUCCGCCUGAACUUCCGCACAUAUUUAGAUCGCUGCCUGAACUACUGAAAUCGAUAAAAAAAGACACGUAAACAGUCCGUUUUUAUUUACGUUAAGUCUCUUUGGAGUUGGAUUCUUGUCACAAAACCAUAUAUGGGUUUUUUGUCACUUUCAAAGUUGAGGCAGUGAUUUAUAAUUGCGCUGAAGUUCAUAGACUUUGACCAUUUUUUCUGCUUUUCUUUCUUUUUGUUACUACUGGAAUAAGGUGAUAUGUUAAUAUAUUAUUUCCACUUCAUCUUGGAAACCGACUUAGCUUUUGUCCCUUUCAGGUCAAGCUUUAUUCAAAGCAUAUAGGUAAACCACCUGAGCAGAUUGAGGAAGAUAUCCGGCGCCCUAAAUAUUUUAGUCCGAGUGAAGCUGUUGAAUAUGGUAUCAUCGACAAGGUACAUUAUAUCGAAACAAAGAUAGGUAUGCUUUCCCAAAGUUAGCAAUGACUCUUGCUGAAGUUCUUUUAUUUUUUUGCCCUUUUCUCCAGGUUUUGUACAAUGAAAGAGGCCAUGAAGACCGUAGUGUUGUCUCUGACCUCAAGAAAGCUCAACUUAUAUAGACUUCCGAAGACGAACAAAAUGAAUGUUAUUCGUAGGUGUAAGGUGAUGCAGUACGCAGAUUAUUUCACAGUGAAUAUGUAUUAGCACAAAUCGCAUCACUUACGUGCUCUUGAAAGUAAAGUGCUUAUAAUUUAGUGAGCAUAAGUUAUUAGCUUUCGAAUUUGUCAUAUUGCUCGAUAAUGGUUGAUUCAAAUAUUUGUCACAUUUUGCUGUUCUAUGUUUGUUCCUUUGCCCCCUCUGGUUAAAAUGGGUCUGAUCCUGAUUUUGAUUAUGGAAACUUGUAUACGGUAAUCGUGUUGAUCGGUGUAUGGGUAUUGUGAGUAUUUGACCACCAUUGAAACAAUAUGAACAGUUUUAAGCUGAAACGAAACAAGAAAUGGUUUUUGGUAUGAAGAACAAAAAAUAAGGAGAAAACAUGGAAUUUUUUUAAUUAUAAAAAUGGAUUUUGGUCGGGUGGCUGGGUUAUGGGCAAGAUCUAUCCAUACAAUAUAUGAAUUGAGAGCUUCCACGGUAUAUGUGGGAGCCUCUUCUUUGCCCUCUUUCUCAUUCGUCUAUCCCUUCUUUCUCUUCCUUAGUUUUUCCGUUUGAUUUCGUGUUGAAAUUUACUAAAAUUUAGUUUUUGAUUUUGGUUUGGUUUGAACACAUUUGUUCGAUUCGAGACGUAGUAGUAUUUUUUUUAUACUUUUUAUUUAAACUAUUUAUCAAAACUUUAUAUUUAUAAUAAUAAAAUCAUGAUUAUAUAACAACACAUUUUCUAAAAUUCUAUAUUUAUAAUUAAAUUUUUUGUGUGUGAUUUCAUAAUGAUUUAAUUUUGAAUCUUAAAUUAUAAAAUUAAUUUAUAAAAAUUAAAAAAUUAAUUGCAAAAUCAGACCAAACCGAAUUAAUUCGAUUUGGUUUGGGUCCAUAUAUUUAGUACAAAAGUUGCAAGUUUUUUUAUUUGUGAUCUCUCUCUCUCUCUCCAAUCUACAUCUUCUCAAUUAUUAUACUUACCUGCUACCUCUCUCUCUCUCUCUCUCUCUCUCUCUCUCUCUCUCUCUCUCUCUCUCUCGAGGAAUUCUACACUGUCACAUUUGCACCACGUCAUCAAUAACAAACCAACCACAUUCCUUUUUUUCAAACAAAAGUACAAUAAAAAUACUUUUUUACAAUCAUGGUGGAUUGAUGGGACAUAUAUUUUUAAAAGAAUUAAUUUGAUUGGUUUGUUACGCCACGUCACUAAUAUACCCGUUACAUUCUAGAAUUUUUCCUCUCUCUCUUCCUAUAAUCCAAGUAUAAAUAUCUUCUAAAUUUUUUUCAAAUUAUUACUUACUCCGCCCCCCUCCUUUCCUCCAAUCAUUUCUUGUAUUCUCUUUUUUUUCUCUCUCAAGUGGCACUCCUCUUACACACCCUCCACCCCAUAACCCAAAUCCAGUCCAUCCACUGAGCUCGACGCUGCUCUCAAUGCCCUCCACCUUCUUUCUAUAAUGCCAAUCAAGUACCGGCUCGUCUUGCUUUUGGGUUGAGCUGCAUCGAAGAAGCCAAUACAAGCAAAUCAAAUACGGCGAUAUCAGCAGAAAAUUCGGGCAUCGAGACACAAAGCAAUUCGAAUUCGUCGUUGGUGAUCUCCAGCUCCAUUAGGUUUUUUCUUUCCUAUUCAAAUUUAUUAUAUAUAUAUAUAUAUAUAUAUAUAUAUAUAUAUAUAUAUAGUAGGUCUUGUAUGCUAUUAGAAGCACGAAAGUCUCCGUAUUCCUAAGCCGUUUUCGAUGAUGGGACUUUUGAAUCAACGAUCGGCUCCGUUAGAAUUGAUCUAGCGUAUUUGAACUAUCUAGAAAAUAAAUUUUAUAAUUAUUCGAUAUCAUUUACCUAGCGAUCGAGAGAACUCAAAAUCAUGCACUCCACAUCGAAGUUGUAGGGCCAUCUGAGUAUUAUAAAGCUAUUCUAAGCUCUUGUAGAAAGCCGAUGACAGAUGAGGUACCUAGUUAAUACCCACUUAUCUCGUAUUUCAUUGUCUAAGCACUGCAUUGUUUACACUGCUUUACAACCAUCAACCAUCGUCAUCAGGCAGAAAAAUCUGGGAUCUACACACAACACAUCAACAACUGACGAGGCAGAAGUAGGCACACGCAAUGUAAGAUACUCCAGCAUGAAAUCAUGGCCGUCGAAUAUAAAUGAUCUCGUACAAAGGGUUAAGGGGCUUUGGUGAUCGAGAUUGAAAGAAUGAUGGGUUACGGCUGAGAUCAAAGAAUGAUGCGAAACGAACCCUCCGUGCAAGUUCUUCAAUAAAAAAAAAAAAAAAAUCUGUACUAGUUUAACUACAAACCAAGCAAGCGCAUAGCAAUGACAAUCUCUCUCAACAUACAAACUCGUAAAAAAAAAAAAAAAAAAAAAAAAAAAAAAAAAAAANAGAAAAAAAAAAAGAAAAAAAAAGAUAACCAGGUGGAACUCUUUUAGUAAGGCCAAAGUUCCAAAGAGACUUUAAUCCUUUCCACUUGACAUUUACAUUCUAGCAGAUACCAAGAUUAUUUACCGUUUGCCUGAACAAAAUGAACUACACAUAGAAGUUAAACUAUAAGACCACCAAUUCACACAAACGAAAACUCUCGAAACCACGAACGCAGUAACCAACUUUUUUAGCUAGAAGAAGAUUAAGGCCAAACAGAGUUUACACUUAUGCUCACAUGCAAAGCUGCUUGGUCCGUAUGACAUCUCCACUCCAAAGCUUAAGACCUCUUCUUUCUUUUCUUCUCUUCAGAUUUUUCCGAAGCAUUCUUUAACUGCAAUGGAGAAGUAAAACUCCAAAAGUGUUACUACUCAAAAUACUAGUAGUGAUAAGAGAGAGAUACCUAAUGCAGGGAUGAGAUAAAUUAGAAGUCAGCUCACCAUGAUGAUGAGAAUCCGAACAAGGACUGCGACGAAGUCUGUGAAGAGUGUCAAGGCAUGUUUCACAUAGUCGAGGUCCCCGUAAUGAGCUCUCUCGAUUAUCUCUUGCGUGUCAAAUACCAUGUAACCGAGGAAUAUCAAGAGUCCAAAAUAAAGCUGCCAUAUAUGCAUAGAUAGAUUGUCAUCAUCAUCAUCAUCAUCAUGGAAGUACAUAUCAAGUAGAAACAUUUCCGAGUAACAACUCCUCGUUAACAACUGGCUAUUCUAGGAUAAUAACUUACCUCAAACUUGAAGGUGGCGCUGGAGUGGCCGAAUAUGGAAGCAGCGAACUGCAACCAGACGAGGACGGAGAGACCAGAAGAGAGCAGACCCCCCAAGUAAAGAAACUCUCUCCGCUUGGCUAUGAUGGCAGCUGCUGCGAAGCAUCCGAAUGCCAAUGCAGUCCCCACAAAGGCAGUCACUAGUAUACUGCAAUUUCACCAACAACAAGAUAAACUAAAUUAGCAAGUUGACAAGAACAAAAGCGACAAAACUCUCUCUAGAUGAUCUCUACAUAAUGGCUCUAAAAUGGCCAACAUUACAAAGUGGUAUGAUAACAGUCAUUUCCUAAUCAAUGAUCAUCAACAGUCAUUUCCUGCUUCAUCCAUCACUCCCAAGCAAAAAUGAUUGUAUGCACAUAACCAUGAGCUCUUUCUUAUGAGGCACUUGAGGCCCCAUGAGAUUUGUUCUCAGAGCUCAAAGAUGAUCCUCAACUUGCAGUCAGUAUUAUCGAGCAUGUAUAAGCAAUGACAUGGAUACAUACCAUAAUAGAACAAAAUUAGUAACAUAGAAUACCUUUUUCCUUUCGUGAUCACUGACUGUAUUCUCUCUUAUUCAGAUUGAGUCAAGACUGCUAGCAAUUGUACUUUUAAUGAAUGUAAAGCAUGUGAUAGUAGUAUAAGAUUAAAGGCAGAUUUGAAGAUUUAAUGGAAAUGUGUGAUAGUAGCACAGCAAUAGGAAUACAAUAAAAGCCUAGUAAUCUGGCUGGUAGUUCAAGAAACUCAACCACCACUCCGUACAUUUCGCAUGUACGACUAUAUCGUAGGUUUAUCUUUUUGGUCCUGUUCACUUUCCAUAUACAGUGUCAUGUACUGCAGUUGGGGGCUCAGGUGUGUAAUGCACCAAGCUCCUGAUUUUCCCACCAAAAAAAAAAAUAGUUUUUCAAUUUUGUCCACCUUCCGCAUACUUUUUUUAGGUUAAUAUAACAUUAACUAACUAGCAUAUUUUUUUUUAGAUUUUUAUAGGUAAAGCCUCUGGGGAGAAAAAAGAAGAGAAAAUCAUGCCUUUCUGAACCACUAAAUUGGAGAUCAUAUUUUGCAACAACCCAAGAUUUACUUGCCAGAGGAACAAAAUUUCUAAAAGACACUCUUCCAGAAUCAAUUUUUAAGGUUUUUUUUUUUAAAUAAAUUCAACAAUAAGCUCAAAAAUUUCACAUCGAAGAAAGUAGGGUUAUAUCCUAAUUCAUUGAGGAGAAGCAACUAUCAUACUGCUAUUUAAGCUUCAAUUAUCUAUAGAUUGCACUCCUUUUCAGCAUUAUGCCCUUAAUUCCUCCUAACAUAGGAGUUUUCAGUACCAAUUUGGAAACACUUAAAAAAAUCAGAUAGACAUCCUGCGACCCUCGAAGUUCAGCUGAAAGAACAAUAAAGAGUGUAAGGGCCACUUACUUCAUGAUUAGCUCUAUUUGUUUACUAUAUGGUGCGUACAACUUUAUUAUAAUCAAAAAGAAGAUUAAGUUCAUGUUUCCAAAAGGUCAUAAUUUAUUAUUUUUAUAUAUAUACAUUUACUUAUUAAGGCUUCUUAUGCAGAUGCAUUAGGAUUCUAAUCAUUUUGCAUAAAAAUUAUAUCCAAUUUUUGAAGUCUAAAUGCAUUAAGCAUUCCUUAAUUAAAACCACAAAGACUUAGUAAAAGUAAUACAUAAACACAAUUUUUCAACUGCAAUAUCACCAAUAGAGAAGGGGAAGAAAAGUUAUUGAGCAACAGAUUUCUUCUAAGGAUCAAAGGAUGGAUACGCAACAAAACUAACAUCUAAGCAAGGAUUUAAGUAUCCAUCGGCACGGGCCGUAUCUAUCGUAUCGUAUCGUGCCAACAAGAUAUCGGUACGAUACAGUUCUCGUGCCGAUGGCACAAUUCAAAAUCCUCUAUUCUUCAAAUUAUUAAGUAAUUAUUUCAAUAAAGUUCAAAAGAUUUGAUGAAGAUAUAUAAUAAACCGUUAAAAUAUUUUAUUAUUGAAGAAAAUAAAUAUUUCACGUCAUUAUGUGUCCGCAUACAUGUAUUUUUUGUGACCGGCAUGCACCAUACCGUACCGUGCAGGCAAGUUUCUGGCACGAUUCCGUGCCAUGGCACUUAAAUUCAUGCAUCUAAGUUCAAACAUAGAAUUAGCAUAAGGAUUCUUGUACAGCUAGCAGGUUAGUAGAUCAGAGAAUUUCUGACAACCAACUCCGACUGUAAAUAGUUUGAAAGGCGAGCAAGACAAGCAAGACAAUUACCUCGGGUCGAAAUCAAUCGCAAGCUUAAUCAGGGGACCAACAGAAGCACCUUCAAGGAGAGAAGCCGCCAUCAACAGACCAAACCUGUUCCUCUGUUCAAUACCAAUGCCCAACAUACAUCAAUUACAAAGGCAAAUCCUACAAAAGAAAAUUAAAAACACCAACAAAAAGGAUAACAACCAAAAAAAAAAAAAGAAGAAGAUCAAACCUCCUCAUGCGGCGGCACUGAGAACAGCAAUGCGAUGCUGAGGAAGCAUCCGAGCAUGGUCAGGAUGCCGCCGAUGUUCCAAAUCACGUGCAGAUAAGCCCCGACAGCCGAAGCCGCAACGGCACAGCAUAGUGUGAGAUAUACCUGCGAGAUCAAACCACGCGAAAACCAUCUCAUUCGGAUCAAAUUGCUAAAAUUACCGACAAAAGAAGUAUCACCAAACGGAUCAUAUCUCACGACAAUCAGGCAAAAACCCUAAUCUCAGAAAGGCGAUCAACGAUCCGUAGGCACGCCAUAGAGAUCAAUCGAUCGCGAGAGACAACCAAAAAGGGAAGAUAGAUCGAUUAAAUGGAAAAUCAACAAAACAACGAAACCAAACCCGAACAGAAAUUUGAGGUGACAUACUACGGGGAUCAAUAGCACAAAAAAAUAAGAUCGAUCAAAGACGAAAUCAACAGAAAACGAAGCGAAGCCUUACCAAUUUGAGGUGAUUUUGAACGGUGGGCGAGAUCUGCCGAAAAUUCUUGAGCGAUUCGUAGCUCCAGCUGGUGGAGUACGAGGAUUGGGACUGGGAAAAGUAGUCCAUCUUCGAAUCCUUGGGGAAGAGAACUAGGGUUAGGGUUAAGAGUUAAAAGCGGGAAAAGAGAACGAAAGAAGGAGACGACGACGACGACGAGUCGGCGACCAACAACCGGACGAGAAAUGCGACCGAGUUAAUGUUGGGGAGGAUGAUAACGAUGACGCCUAUUUAUAGUGAUGGAUUUGAUUGGAUUGGUCGACAAGUAAUUCUAGCACUUCCUCGAAGGGUCUAGCGAGGACUUUUUUUUUAAAAAAAAAUAUUUUUUUUUUUAAAAAAUUCUAAUAGGUUAAAUAAUUUUUUAAAAUUUUAUUUGGCCAAUCAAUUGUUUGUUUUCUGAGUCAUCUCUACUGUAUAUAAAAUUGAAUAGUAAUUAAGUGCCCUUUGGCCUACUGGAAAAAUAAUUUUUGAAAAAAUAAUUUGGUUCGCAGAUGUAAUUUUAGUUAAAAGAUAGGACUUUUUGUUGAGUUUAAAUAAAAAUAAUUUUUCUGAAAUAAUUUUGUAAUAUUAUUUGAAAUUUUUUUUUGAUGUCUGUAUAAAUUAAUAUUUUUAUUAAAUUUUAUUUUAAAAUAAUUUAAAAUCUAAAUUUAAAUUUGAAUUAAAAAUUAAAAAUUUUAAUUUUCAAAAUUAUACAAAAUUUAAAAAUUGAUAUUUUAAUUUUAAAAAUAAAUUAAAAAUUUAAAAAUUUAAAAUUUUAAAUUUAAAUUUUUAAAUCUAAUUUUAAAUUUCAAAGUUUAAAUUUAAAAUUUAAAAUUUAAAAUUUAAAAUUUGAAUAUUUAACAUUUGAAUAUUUAAAAUUUAAAUUUUAAAAAUUUAUUUUAUUUAAAAUUUAAAUUUUAAAUUUUAAAUUUUAAAACUUUGAAAUUUAUAAUUUAAAGAUUAAACUUGUAAGUUUAAAUUUUAAAAUCUAAAAUGUCAAAUUUUACAUUUUAUCUUAAAUUUGAAAUUUGAAAAUUUAAAUUUUAAAGCUUAAAAUUUGAGAUUUGAAAUUAAAAUUUAAAGUUAAAAUCUAAAUUUUAAUUUUGAUGCGAAUUGAAAUUUAAAAAUUCAAAUAUGAAUUUAAAAUUUAAAAAUUAGAAUUAAAUUUAAAUUUAAACUUUGAAUCUAAAAUUAAAAUAAAAAUUUGAAGUUUGAGUCAAAAAUCAGAAUCAGAUUUCAAGAAUAAUUUUUUUUUUGCUUCUGAUUUUGAGGCCUUUAAAAUCAGUUUUCUGAUUCUGAAAAGCAGAAUCAGAUUUUCCAAUAUUUCUUGCCAAACACUCUAUUGAGCCGCCCAAAUUCUAGAUAAAAUAAAAAAUAUUUCAUAUAUAUUAUAAAAAAUAAAUAAUUAUAAUAAAUAAAUUAAAAAUAAAUCAUAUUUAAAUUUAAAAUUUAAAAUAUAAAUAUAAAUUUUAUUUGGCCAAUUUGCAUAAAAAAUCCACUAGUUUUGCGCUUUUGCAAAAGUGGGCCAUCUUUUUCGAUUUUGCAAAUUCGGGCCGAAUUUUCAACAAAUUGACUAAAAUACCCUUAUACCUUUUUCUCUCUCCUAUUUUUUUUUCUCUCUUUCUUUUUUUCUUUCUCUUCCCAGAGAGCGACGGAGGUAGAGGCGGAGGCAGAGGCAGCCCGCUUCGGUUUUGUCCGGCGCAUCCUUACCCUCGCCCGCCCACCUCCCGCCUUCCUCGCCUCCGACCUCGCCGAGGCCUCAUUGCGACUUUUUUUUUUUCCCUCUUCGACCCUCCUCCAUCGCCUUUGACGACGAUGCCUAUUUCACCCUCUCUCGCCCUUCUCGUCCUUUCCCUCUCCCUCAUCCUUCGCCUUCUCAGCCGCCUUCGACGACAAUGCUUCUCCGCCGACAUCGGCGCCGCUGAGGUUGCUGCGGCGUCGCAGCCUCGAAGCGGGGGGUCUUUAGCAGUGUCGUCGCCGACGCCGUGGCCAUUGGCGGAGAGGCGCAAUAAAAAAAAAUUGUAGAAGAAGGAAGAAGAAAAAAAUAAAGACAAAAAAUUAUAUAAGAAGAAAGAAGAAGAUAAAAUUGUAUCGUUAAAAUAAGAUUAUGCUGUUUUAAAACAAAUUUGUACUGUUUUAAUGAAAAUUGUACUAUUUGAUAUAGAGAUUACACUCUUUUGGAAUGGAUUUUAUAUUCUUUAGGCUAACGUUGCACUAUUUGGGAGAAUUUUGCAUCAUUUCUUUUCCUUUUCUUUUUCUCUUUCUCUUCUUCUUCUUCUUCCGCUGCCUCCCGCUUGCCCGGCCCGAGAUUCCUUCCCGUUGUUAGGAGCCUCGUCGAGCUCGGCGAUAGCCCCCACCGUGCCUUCGCGCGCCUCGCCGCCUGCUACGGGGCAUUGCUGGGAAAGCAAUCAGUUCUCAACUUAGUGGCAUGAGGGCUCAAGGAAGACUAAUUGAAUUACAUUUAGACACUUUGACUCAUUGUCGACAGGUUGUGUCGCUUCAGCAUAGCGAAACAAUCAUGAGUAUAGUGUCAUAAUGUGCACAAUAGAGGUUAGCAUGGCUCUUUGAGGGAUUAGAGAUGCUGAACCUAAUGUAAUUAAAUGGUGUAGGGCAUCACGAGUCUAAUAUUCUCUUUUGAGGGUUGAUAUCUCUAUACUCGCCGUAUGCGGUUUCUAAUAUAGAGCUCCCAAAAUACAGGUUGACUCGGCGGUCGCACUGUUCAUUUUCCUGUAUGAAUAGAAUUAAUAGUGGUGUGAUGUUGAGGAAGUGGUUACGAUGGUAUCGAUCCCGCUAUGUGCGAGUGGGAGAUGUUGGCAUUCGGUUAAAUCGAAUCGGGUGCGCCUAUGAUCGGGUUCGAUUCGACGGUUAUAAUGUUGUCUAAUUGGAUUAGGAUUAAUCUCGCUUUUAAAUUAGAAAGCUAUUUGAGAUAAAUUCUAAUCAUAUUUGAAUAAUAAUUAAUAACCGAUUUGGCCUUAUCUCUUACGCAUCUAUUAGGAAUUUAAAAUUCCUUAUAAAUAUAUGGGCGAUCUCACAUAAAAUAGAUAAGAACGUAAGAACAAGAAAACAAAAACAAGAAAACAAAAAAUUAUAUAGUAUAAUUCUUUUCAAAACAAGGAAGCACCAAGAUUCAGCGACAAAAAAACAGAAGGGUGUAUAGCUAUACAAGAAAAAGAUUAAUCUAAAAAAAUUUGGAAUAAAAGAAUAUAAAGGUACAGUUCUUUCAUCAAAUUAAUGGACCUACACCAUAGAAAAUAUAUCUAAAUCAAUUCAUUGUAACAUGAACAGUAUCAUAUCACUUAUGAACAUUAAUGUUACACCAUCUAUUGUCUCAUCUAGUUGCACGAAAAACUAAUAAAGUUUCAGUAGUUGGGUGCAAAAGCUACUUAUCUCAGUUUUGACUCUCCCACACUAAAGAAGGAAAAGUGAAGGACCAAUUUCAAACUAGAUGGCAUCUCUUUACAUUUUGGCUCCAAAAAUUGAUAAAAUUGUAUCGAAACCCCUCACCUAUAGGACGUUUGGAAAUAUUCCCCUCCAACUUUAAUCUUUUUAUAUUCAAAUCUUUUUACUAAUAAUCUUGUGAAUUGAGUGAUUUUAGUAAAAUAAAUUUAGAAUUUCGUCGAUUCCAAUAAUAACUUAUUAUGAUUAUUUUAUAGAGUCCGGUUAUAAUGUUAUCAAUAGCACUAAGCAUUUAGUAUUAUUAAUUUUUUUUAUCAUUAGAUCAAACUUUUUAAUCAUUUUUAUCGGUUAGAUUAUACUAUUCAAUCAACCACUCACUCAACCAACUAUGGACUAUUCUUAGGGCAUGUUUGGUUCGCCGAAGGUGUAGCAUCGAAAGUGGUACUUUUAGAAAGUAAUGUCUUAUCGGUUGUUUGGUUUACGAAAGUGAAUAUGAAAGUCACUUUACGAAAGUGGGCUGAUAAAGUGAGUUAUAACUAAAUCUCAUUUUUUUGACGUCGACUCAAAAAAUUCAGAAGUUAUCGAAAGUGGAGAGCUUAGUUAAGAUGUUAUAUAUUCGGUCUUAACUUUAAUGUUUAAAUUUAUUUUUAAAGUUCAAUUUCACUUUAAAUUUGAAUUAAAAUUAUGAUCAGGUUUUAAAUUUUAUUUGUAAAUUAAAAUUCAAUAUAAAAUUUUAAAUUCAAAUUUUUGACUUUAUAUUUAAAUCUAAAUAUUUAAAUUUUAUUUUUAUUUAAAUUUGAAUUCUAGAAUUUAAAUUUAAAUUUAAAUUUAAAUUCUAAUUUUUAUAUAAAUUUAAAUUUGAAUUCUAGAAUUUAAAUUUAAAAUUCUAAUUUUUUUUUGAACUUUAUUGUAAUGAAGUUUCAAUUAUAAGUAUAACUUAAAUUUUAAAUUCAAAUUGUAAAUUAAAUUUAUGUCUUAAAUUUUAAUUAUAAAUUCAACUCAGAUUUAAGUUUAAAUUUAAAUUUAAAAAAAUAACUUUGAAUUCUAAAUAUUAAUUUAAAUUUAAAAUUUUAAUUUAAAUUGUAAGUAUAAGUAGUUUGUUUAUAUUUUCAUCUCUUUAUAUAUAAUUUAAUAAUUAAAAAAUUAAAAAAUUAUAAUUAUAAUUUUUUAUUUUAUAGCAACCAAAUAAUGGAACUGAAAAGCGACUUUAGUAAAAGUCUCUUUCGUAAAAGUGACUUUUUUCACUUCGCCGACUUUCGAGCAACCAAACAUGCCCUAAUGACUUGGUGCUAUUAAUAGUAUUCUAGUCUAGUUCUUAUUUUAUAUUUGUUAAUUUAGAAACGAUCCAUAUUGACCGUUAAAAAUGAUCGUUAUUAGCAAAAUAUACAUUAUCAUAAUUUUAUGAAAUUUGUUUUCUAAAAUAAAUAUAAGUAUUCUGAAUUAUAUUUAAUAAUAUGAAUAAUCAACUCGAAAACUCUAUCAUCAAAAAAAAAAAAUCAUACUUACAAUACUAUAGUAAUAAAACUCUCUUUUUUCUCUCUCUAUACAUAUAAUAAUAAAAAGUAUAAUUGAAGUUAAGAUGAGCGGGUCUCCAGAAAUUUUCACCUAAAAAUACAAAGAAAAGUAUAGGGAGGUUGUUAGGAGGGGCCUAGGACUUUGCGUUAGAAAAUUAAAAAAAAAAAAAAAAAUCAGAAAGGAAAUUUCCUGGAACAAUCUCAGGCUCAGAAGUCAAUGUCAGCAUCUCCCUUCAUGGGAGAUUUCUACGUGCACAAGAGAAUUCUAGUUUGCUGAUUCAACACAUAGACUUUGCAUGGGAUUUAAUUUGUAAUUGGGAGGUAAUGAUGGAUGGAAAAUAAAUAUCACACUUGCUAGAAAAAAAAGUCCACUGUAUAGUAGCUACACUAUAUAAUUUAUAUUUUGUCAAUUAUACUUCUUUUAGAAAAAGACGACAGAGAUAUUUCUCUAAAAGUUAUGAUAGAAUGAGGUUUAGUUUGGUAUUGAGUAUGAUCUGACGUUACUAAAUAGAAUAGAAUUGGGGUAAAAGUGUUGGAUGUGGCCCACGUAAUUUAUUCAAGACGAUUUAAAAAGAUACAGUCGGUAUAUUUAAGUUGAUCUCUAAAAAUAUGGUAGAUCUAACGGUUAUGAUGUAUUUGGACAAGUUCUUGAUGGACGGACGUGAUUUAUGUAGCACACUAAACUUUAGCAAAUUGCAAGGUUCUCGUGUUCGAAUAGUGUUCUUAGUUAUUCCUGGUGUUCUUGAGGGUCGUUGACUGUGUUCCGAUCUAUUACUCGCGUCUUGAGGAGCAAGAGUAAGUACUUAGCACCAAAACCUCCAAACUGUAGGUUUUGGGGUGCUGGAUAUCAGUACCAGAGAGGGGUACCAGAACCCCGUCGUGCAACCGAGAGGGGUGCUCUUGAGUUUGAGCUCUGCGAGGCAGAGUACCAGUAUGACUUGCCCGAGUACCGGUACUGCAUCACACAGGUACCGGUACACUGUAAUCUGUCUGCUUGACAGAGGCUCGGGUUUGCACGUUCAGCUGUCAGGUACCGGUACUCCAGCCCGCCUACUGGUAUGCAGUGCAGUUACAGACUGCAUAUUUUUUAGAAAUUUUUUUGGGAUUGUUACAACUCUAUAUAUAUCCGCACACCCCGAUGAGCUAGGGCUCUUUUGAGCCCUAAACCAGUGGAGGAAGAGGUGAGUGUUUCCCUCUCUUGAUUUCCUCUCUUUUCUUGUGAAAUUUCUUGGAUUGAUCUCCUCUUUUUGUUUCUUCUUCAUGGGUGUUGCUACUUGGACCUUGGAGAAGCUUUGGAGUUCAAAAUUUGAGCUUGUUUGAGGAAAGAUCUCCAACCCUAGCACCUUUUUAGCUUGGUUUGGAGUUUAAAGAGAGAUUUGUAGCUUUGAUCUCUCCUUUGGAUCAUGCUUUGUUGGAUUUUUGGGAUGAAAACCUAGUUUUGGAAACUAGGGUUUUAUUUUAGAGUUUCUCUUACUAGAGCUUUAGGGGCUAAAUUGAUGGUUCUAAUGCUUUCCUUUAGGUUGGAAUUAAAGUAUUCUAGCUAUUAUUGGGACUUUGGAAGAGUUAUUCACCAUACUAGGUAAUUUUCUACCUAUUAUGGGUUGAAUUUUGUGGAUUUUGUGGGGUGUUCGUUCGAAGCCUCUAACCCUCUUAGAAUUUUUGUUAGGGAGUUAGGAGACUCGUGGGCAACCUCGCUCGCGCAAACAAAGGGGUUUCAAGGGGUAUCCGAUGGAUUUGACAACACAGAAAUGGGUGAACUCCUCCUAUGUCAUUGCCUUUAUUGUAAAAUGAAAAAUGAUGCAUAUUCAUGCUAGAUAGAGCAUAAAUGAAUUUUUGAAUGCUUAAAAUGCAUAUGUCAUGUAUCAUGUUUUAUAACUUCUAUGUAGUAGAGAGAGAAGUAUAUAGUAAACUUGCAUGUGAAUAGCACUCUUUACAUAUGGUUGAAAGUAUAUUUUAUUUAGGGAAAAUGACAAGUUUGACAUGCUCUUGGACAUAGAAUCAUGCUUGACAUAGUGAACAUUAAUAUCAUAAAGUGACACUUGACUUAGUUAAUGGUUAAACUUCUACAUGAGGACAUAGUGAUAGACCGUUAGGUCAUUAGUAUUUAUACUAUAUUUUAGACAUGAUGACAAUGGACUUGAGAUGGAUAAUUAUGCUUGCUUGCCAUUGUGCUCAUUCGCACAUGCUUGUGAGGGUUGCUCCCCGCAAGCCGGCACUCCGGAGAUAGCCUACGUAACACAAGCUCGCCCGUGCGGAAUUGGGCGCCGAAAUGGGAUGCCGUGGGGGAAGCUCAUUCCUAGAGUGGGAAUGUUGACUACUACGGGGCCAUUAGGCACGGCACAAGUCGGACUACACUUGUGUAGGUCCUAGUUGAUUUGAAAAAAUGACUAAUAAAAGUGAAAUGUAGACAUCAUCACUAGAUAGUGCAUAUUAGCUGGACAUGCUCAUUCAUGUUAGAAUAGCUCUAAAUAAUUGUGGAAUUUCAUGCUAAGUAGAGGCAUAGUAGUUCAGUAAAUUUUAAUACUUGCUUAUUAUCCAUGUUGUAUAUUUCGGUUAUAUGUUCAUAUUUACUACUUAUGCCUCCAUGACCUAGUGGCGUAUUUCGCUGAUGUCGGCGGCUUACCGACUAGGAACUAUUGACUAAUAGUCCUCAUUCCCAUGUUGUUGCUGUUUUUGUUUACAAAGCCAUCCACGCCGGGAGAGGCUUGGGAUCGCGGCAAGGGGGUCACCUCUAGCUAGAUAGCGCGAAGAUUAUUUUUGUUAGGUGGUCAUCUCUACUUUUGUUUUUGUUGGAGAGAGAGACGGUUGUACCCGAAGUUUAGAGACCACCACUUUUGUAUUUAGUCUUUCUUUAUGUGGAUCUUGUGAUGUAUUUACCUUAUGAUUUAUUCUAGUUGUUCAAUUUUAUUUUUAUCUAUUAUCUCUAGAGAUUAGAUGUAUUUAUGCUCUGAUAUCAUACUAGUUGUAUUAUCUGCUUGUUUUAUUUUUCGCAUUGUUGUAGACGUCUUAUAUGUUGUUAGCAUAUGAUGGGUCUGGACACGCACCGGGCGUACUUCCGCUGGGUCCCGAGGCGUGACAAUUUAACAUCCUUAUAUUAAGUUAUAUAUAAAUAUGUAACAUACGGGAGUCUCGGUCUAACCAUAAUCCAAAUUUUCUGUGAUGGCUCCAUCUCCGGGGAUAAGGGAAUUAGACUCGAAAAGUCCCGUUUUCUUGCAUAUCGCGAACGAGGACGAACCAUGAGCAAAAAUCGUGCCUACAAAUCGAGUACAGAAAUCGAAAUCAUAGCAGAAGGUGCGAUCUUACUUUCUUAUAAAAUUUUCACAUGUGGUAUCAGAGCCGCAUUUUUUGCCGGAUCUUCGUUUUUUUUCGAAUUUCGUUCGAUGAAAUCCGUUUCUUUUCGGAUUUCGUUUGAUUUUUCUUUUCAUUAAAUAAAUAAAUUCGUCGAUGGUUUGCGUUAAUGGUAACGUCGGCCGGCCUCAAUCGAGACCGGCGUUCGGAAGAACGGCGUCACCAGCCCGAUCGCAUUGAGCGAUCAAGAAGUUAAAAAAAAAAAAUAGGACCUAGCCGUAUGACCCAUUAGGGUCGUAUGAGGCAACCCAAUGAGGGGCUGCUUUGGUGCGGCCAAUACAAAAAAAUAAAGGGUUAUUUAUUUAUUUAUUUUAAUAAAAAAAUAAAAAGAAUAUAUAUAUAUAUAUAUAUAGUCCGGCUGUGAUACUAUAUCACCAAGGGCUUGCUGCUGUCGAGUUUUCCACCGUUAGAUUUAAUACUUUGAUUAUUUUUAUCCGUUGGAUUAUACUAUUCAACCAACCACCCACUCAACCCUAGGGGGGCCACAUCAUCCUAGCUAUUGGUGCUAUUGAUAGUAUUCCAUCAUAUAUAUAUAUAUAUAUAUAGUCACGCCCGGAGCCGAUUUUAAAAGUUUUUUUAUAAGGAAUAUUAUUUAGAAACCAGAGUUGUGAAAAAUAUGCCUUUUUUUUUUCAACCUGGCCCACGUGACAUACAGACCCGCUACAAAUACAAAGUUACUCUGGCCACAUGGACAGAGUCUCCUUUGUAUUUGUACGGCGUACCAACAAUAAUAUCAUGAUCACAACAACAACUUACAUUCACCAAUCGACAAACAAUUCAUGUGAUGCAUUUUCAUAUAACUAGCGAUCUUUAGGGAUGAUGCAUGCCUCUAAACACUUCUUAGGCACUGGAUGAUGCGAUACACAAUACAACAAUCAUUCUAUUUAAAAGUGCUCCCUACCCGAAAGCGUUGUUUUUAAACUCUAUUUAAUCAUUCAUAAAAAUCAUUCGAAAACCUUUUAAAACUAUUUCCCACUUGGAAAUUUCAUUUUGAAAACCGAUUACCUCAAAGAGUAGAAAACCACGAUGCAUAAAUACGUAAAUCCAAAACCAAACAUCCAUAAAUCUCCAAUCGCAUGCAUAAUGGAAAACAUUAACUCAUACAAGUUCACAAAUACUCAAACAUUUAUAGUGAUCAUCUAACUGAACCAUUUAAUUAUUAAAAUUACUAAAUGCGGAAUGAAAAAAUAAUCAGGAUGACGGUCGCUACUGCAGUCUAGCUAAAACGUCCUCCUAUCGCGCCUUAAAGCCAACUCCUUGCCCGAACCACUUGAAAAAAUGGAGGGUAAGAAACCACAAUCAAGGCUUCUCAGUGGGUACGACAGAGCCACGAAAGCAAAUCGUAUUCACUGAAAAACAAAGGAGAUAGAACAAACUAAUAUAUGUGUAAAGAUAUGAAGAACAACUAUAGUAGCUAUAACAACAAAUAUAAUAGAGAGCAAGUAGUAAGAACUGCUACUGUAAGAAUACAAUACUGAGCAUGUCUCAAAGUAAUCAAACCAAAACUGUACCCAAUCUGGUACCUGUCAUAUUGGUCCGCAGACCUUUUGCCUGUCACAUUGCAUACACCGACCUAAUUCAUGCGUCCACUGGACGACCCAUCGGAAUAAGUACACCCCUGGUCGGUGGCCAAACCGACCUGGUGUCAAUGAAUACACCCAAGUGCUGUGACUAAAUCAUACUGAUAUGCUCAAUAUGAAAACCGGCAGAAAGCCGGUGCCUUGGUCGAAGCCAGAUACAAGGGCGUACAACGCUGAACCACGAUCAACUAGAUCGAAAUACACGACAAAGGAGUCAAUGUGUUGCCUGGACCAAAGGUUCACAGAUAUGCAAUAUAUGCAAGCCUACUCUACAUGUCUAUCAAUAACUAUCACUAUGCAAGCAACAAGUAUAGAUGAACGAAUGAUAAGCAAAAGCAACCGACAUGUAGAGACUACAAUACAGAUAUAGAAGAGUAGAGAAAAGCGAAACGAUCUCACCGACUACCAGCUCGAAACACCCUCCUGUCACAAUCGCGUCGGAAACCUGGGUGCGCAACAAGUCAACCGGACCUACGAAGAUCCACCGGGUCAGUAACCAACCCACCAAUCUAAAAUACCCAACUCACAAACCCCACACAAAUCCCCAAAAUUGGUUUCAUAAAAUCAAUCAUCGUAACUCGCUGAAAGUCCCGAAAAUCACAUCGUGACGCCGUCGGGACCUACUAAGUGUCACGAAACUCACUGACUCGUGCCACGAGUCACCCACUAACACAAAACACAUCGAUUUAGAUGUCUUGGCAGCAAACACAAGAAUACACAACCAAACAAUUAUCGCCAGAUAGUUGUUCGGAUCUGGAUUUCUAGAAGUGUCAAUUUCGAUAUCGGAACCCACUGUCGCUCACCUGUCAUCUCCGAACUCACGAUAUGACGAGAUGACUAGCCGACAAGGCUUAGCGACACGACUCAAGGCAAACACACACCGUCGAAUAAAAUCCGUACCGAAAUCGCAUUCCGCCGACGAAUUUUAUCGAAAAACGCACCGAAAUUGACAUUCGAUUUCCGCGAAGGCUAACGGACCUCGGACGAUCAGUCUAGAGAUCAACUACCACACGUACGUAUUGCCCACAGUAGCCACAAAAUACAAAAUUGUAGCACACUGAACUUUAGCAAAUUGCAAGGUUCUAGUGUAAGAAUAGUAUUUUAAACUAUUUGGAUGUUUUGAGGGUUGUUUGUGUGGUAUCUGCCUGUUUCUGGAGCAUAUUAGGCGCGAGAACGGGCUUCCGGCAUCAAAAUUUGCAAAGUGCAGAUUUUAGAGCCGAGUACCGGUAUUGGAGAUUGGUACCGGAACCUCAUUGCAUGCCAGAGAGUAGCUGCUCUCGGGUUUAAGGCUUGGGGCAUUAAGUACCGGUACUAGAUGUUGAGUACCUGUGACACCCCAAUAAUUCCAGAUCAUAUGGGGAUGGGAUUAUCAUUGGGUUUAUAAGAGACUUAGACACUAGUAAUAAUAACUGGGCUUAAGCAUUGUGGGCCGGUGGUUGGGCCCAACGAGUUAUUGUUGCUAGUGGGCUGGGUCGUUAUAUUUGGUAUCAGAGCCGAUUCACCAGCUGGACAUUUAUGGCGAGUCUCGACUGAGCCAGGGUCUGGAUGACGGGCUAGCGAGACGAGUCUCACAUUGCCUGGUGAUCUUGGGCUGUGUGUGUGAUUGGACUUACGAGGACGUCAGGGCCUUAACGGGGGGAGUCUGUGACACCCCAAUAAUCCCACAUCGGAUGGGAAUGGGGUUGUUAUUGGGUUUAUAAGAGACUUAGACACUAGUAAUAAUAACUGGGCUUAAGCAUUUUGGGCCGGUGGUUGGGCCGAACGAGUUAUUGUUGCUAGUAGGCUGGGUCGUUACAGUAUCGGUACUGAAGUCGGGUACCGGUACUGCAUUGCGCGGGUACCGAUACAUCGUAUUAAACCUGAAUGUGUUGCGCUUGGGUUUUGUCUCGCUGAGGGCCGGGUACCGGUACUCCAAUACGAGUAUCGAUACUCAAUGCAGAAAACUGCAGUUAGUGCAGUUUGUAAUUUCUGGGCUUUGAGGGGCUUGGGUGGAUAUUGUUACAUGAUGUAUAAGUAACCCUUCACCCCCCUUUUAUCCUCAGUUGGCUGAGGCUUGAGAGAGAUAGAAGAGGUGAGUUCUUUCUCUCUUGAUUUUCUUUUCUAAACUCCUUGAUUUUGGGUUUUGAUCUUUAUUUUCUUCCUCUCCACCAUGGUCGCUUACACCUUGGAGCUUGGGGCUGAUGAGAGGAGCUUGUUGGUGGAUUAAACUUCAACCCUAGCAUUUCAUGGCUUGAGUUGAAGCUUGUUCGGAGGUUAGUAUCUUUCUCAUGCUCUCUAUUUAAGAGAUUUUUAAGAGAUUUGGAAGAAAACCUAGUUUUUGGAAAACUAGGAUUUGUUUUGGGGUUUUUCGAUUUUGAGCUUUUGGGAUGAAAUUGAUGAGUGUAGAACACUCUUGUAGAUUGGAUUUGAAGCUUCUUAGCUUCGAUUUAGAUCUUGGACAAGUUCUACUUGAUCGAAGGUAAUUUUCACCUAUUUUACACUUGAUUUUUUGUGAAUUUCAUGGAUAGCUUUUUAGAAGCUGAUAAUUCUUUGGAAAUUUUUCUUAGAGUGCUAGAAGACUUGUGGACAACUUCGUUUGGUGAAACGAACAAGUUCAGACGUGAUCUGGUGGGUUUGACCUAACCGAAAUGGGUGAACUCUCUCUAUGUCUCCUAUAAUGUUAUAGGGCAUAAAUUAUUGCAUAAUCAUACUAUUCAUGUCAUGAUAGAAUUUUCGGAUACUUGAUAUACAUAUGUUAUGUAUGAUACCUUGCAUAUUCUAUGUAGUAGAGACGAUUUGACAUAUAUGAAAUUGGCAUACUCUAUUUAGUAGAGGUUAGUUGACAACUCGUUGUAGUAAAACAUAUUGUAGUAUGUGUGGAACUAAGUUCCUCUUAUGCAAUAAGGACAUGCAUGCUAGAGAUGAGUAAUAUUGGUAUAUGAAACACUAUAUGGCUAGUGGAACUAGAGAAGUUAAAUCUUGAGUGUUAUAACUCGUGAUCGUCAUAGAUAAUGGCGAAUGUGAACUUUUGCAUGAUAGUGACAUGAUAUAGAGCUUUGUAGCACUUAAGUUAGCUGCAUAAUUCGUGAACAUUAUGAUAUACUUGACCCUUAUGUCGAUAAAUGUAAUUCCAUGUUUUAGAUAUGACGAAAGAGUUUUUAUGCAUUCGGAUAUGUAGUAGCAAAAGUAUAUGUUUGCAUAAUUAAAUGUGGGCUAAAUUAUUUGCACGAAAAUCUUAUACUCCAUGAAGUGGAGGCUCAUGUAGUGAGGCAUUCGCAUGACAUUGAUAAACUACCCCUUCAUACUAGUGGAAAUAGUACAUGUUGGUAUACAAGUGUAGCCCGUUAGGAUCAUGAAUGAAAUAUAACCAUCCUUAAUAGGAUAAUCGAAAUGUGGACUUUAGUAUGCUUGAGACAUGCGAUAUAUUGGUAGAGUCAUACCGCUGAGUUAAUUGAUCAUAAACCUUGACAUUUAUGCACAGUAUCCAACCUUGAGUCAUUGCUUGAGAUUUCAUAUUUUAAACAUGAUGAUUGAGGCCGAUUGCCUCGGAUUUGACACUUAUGAUCACGCUUGCUUGCCAUUGUGCUCAUUCGCAUAAGCUUGUGAGGGUCGCUCCCUACGAGCCUGCACUCCGGAGUUAGCCUUUGCGACAACAUGCUCGCCCGUGCGGGAUUGGGUGCCGUAGUGGGAUGCCGUGGGGGAGGCUCAUUCCUAGCGGGGGAAUGUUGACUACCACGGGGCCACUAGGCACGACACAAGUCGGGACGUUACCACGUGUAAGUCCCUCGUUGAUUGGGUAAAGUUAAUUAAAUUGGAUACUAGUUGAUACAUACCUAAUAGAUGGACAUACUAGUGGUUUGUUACUUUAUAUUAGUACUUGAUGCAUUCAUAGUAGUUGGACAUUCUUGUGGGACAUUGUUGCAUUGUCAACCUUAGUGGUAGCAAACCUACAUUCAUGAUGUUUAAUAUAGAAUUGUAGUAUCAUGAUGAUAAUAGCUAGUUAAUGUCAAUGACAAGUAAGACUUAUUCUAUAACAAUUGUUUAUAGUUUAAAGGUGGACUAGCAUUCAUACUUUGCAUAUACGAAUAAUUGUGCAUGUGUUAGUAGGAGAUUAUAUACAUGUUAAUUGACAUAUCAUAUAGAGGCAUGACUAUUAUUGAAUUUUUUUCAAUUAUUGGUUAGCUCAUGUUCAAUACUUCUCGUAUUAUAUGAUUCAUGCCUCAAUUGACUUAGUGGUGUAUUUCGCCACUCUUGGCAUCUUACCCAAUAGAAACUAUUGUUUAAUAGUUCUCACCCUCAUUAGUUGAUUGUUUUUGUUUCAGAGCCUUCCACAGCGGGUAAGGCUAGGGAUCGUGGCAGGGGGACAGCAACUAGCUACAGCCUCACGAUGUUGUGAUAGAUGUACCCAUAGAAAUUCUCUCCUUGGUUUAGUUCAAGGACGUAUAGUUGUACAUUAUCUGAGAUAUCCUUGUAUUCUUGAUGUACUUAUUGAUCAGAUUAUUGUACUCUUGCUUGAAAUUUAUGUACCUAGUUGUUUUAUGUUCUCGCUCUGAUUACCAUGUUUAGGAUGGAUUACACUUCUUUCUAUGAUUGUCGUAGACGCCUGGUGUACAUCGGGGUUGUUGGUGUGCACGGUGGAUCUGGACACGCACACGGCGGGUUUUCAUUGUGACCCGGGGCGUGACAGAUUAUGUUGGUAUCAGAGCCUAGGGUUGAGUCUUAGUGGACCUAGUAAACUUUAUGCCGGUUGAACAAUAAGAAGUAGGAUCGUGAGAGACGGGGUCUUUUGUGACUUGUUGGCGAAAGUAACAUGAUUGGGUCAUGUCUUUAACUCCAAAAGUGUUGGAGUUAGAUUGAAGUGAACAACUUCUAUGUCCUUGGAGAGUCACGUUGGCGGCCGACAACGCGACAUCGAGGAAUAGUAGAAGUCACUUCACUACUUUUGCAUGAUUGAGAGGUUGGUGCCUUUGAGUGAAUGUGGGUUGUCUUAACCCAUGUCUGUUAUGUUUGUUGCUUGUUGUGGCUCUGGAUGCUGAAGACACACUCCGUGGCGGCCGAGGUGGCCGAGCCGGGGAGGUCUGCAACUCCUGGAUCUGGAGAGGUCCGGAAGUUGAGAGCAGCUAACUGUUUUGGUUUUGUUUGUGGCAUUAUUCCAAGUCGAGACUUUGUGCCGACAGAACGAGAGAAUCAAACAGCCGGAAGACAUGUGGAUUCAGUAGGCAACUGACUUCGGUAAAUUUCUUGAGACUUCGGAUCAUGCCUUAACAGAGGAGAAAGGCAUGAAGACUAUUGGGACCGUGAAGGAAGCCACUAAGAGUGGUAGACUAAGUGUAAGUAAACUACCAAGAUGUUCAAAUAAAGGGAAUUGACUUUGAGGACAUGGAUCCUCCUCUGGGAGAGGAACAGCUUAGCGUCAACAGCAAUUACAAUGUGUGAACCGUGAAAGCCUGCAUGUGCCCCCACAGUACGCUCAGCGUGGAGGAAGAUGUUUCUUUGGCAGCCAGGCGGGUCAUCUUCGAUUGGAGCGUUCGAAGAAUUGGAUGCUAGCAGCAUUGGUACUGACCUCAUCAUGGAGAGUACCUAGCAGAUGUAAACCUUUUGAUCAGAUGAUGGAGGAUUUGACAGCUGAGGAGGUUGUCGCGGGUAUUACUUUAUGUGUGAUACCUGGGUCUAAUCAUUAUCUUUAAGGAUGUAUUGUUUGUGUUCCUUGAUCGGCUGUUUGCCGAGUUGUUGGACGUUGGAUCUUUCCCUUAGAUUGCUUGUAGGGAGAUGUUGGCCCGAUUGUAUUUUAAUUAAUCGGGAAAGCUAUCUUGAUGCUCUUUUAGAGCUGAAGAUUUUUGUGUACCAACGAAUUGAUUGGCUUUGGUUGAUUGAGAGUGGUUGUAGUGUUGCUCGGGCACGUGAGGUACUAUGUUACCGUGGGUUGUGUGAGCCGAAUUGUACAUCUUGGGAUCUUGGGCACGAAAUAGUGUGUUUUGAGAGUAUAGGUUCGCUGUUUGCGACGACUGCUUCAUCACCCGACCCAAGAUGAUGUUGAGAGGAUUGUGGCCUUCUUGGCCAAUGACUCUGGAUUGAUUCAGAACCCUCAAAAAGGAGAGUAUCUCAAUAGUGGAGUUGCUAAUGCGUUCACGAUAGAGUCAUGUGUAUUGAAGACUCGACUGCGGGACCUUUUUGUGAAGGCCUCAAUGUACCUAGUGUUUUGCCCUCGGGAGCAUCGAUCUCUUUGCCUUGAGAUUGGAUGGGUUGCUUCAACUAUGUGUCAACCAUCGUGAGUUCAAUAAGGUCAUGAUUUGGUACAAGUACCUAUUGCUGUGGAUCGAUGGUCUAUUUGAUCAACUCCGAGAAUUCUAGGUAUACCUGAGGAUUGUAAUGCAAUCUGUGAUCAGCACUGACCAGCGAUCACCAUGCUCACCUCCGGAGGCAUCGGAACAACCUCGGAUCGCCAGAAAAGCAAGAACAAACUAGAACUGCAACAAAAAACCCUUAACUAAGCUUACCGGAGAAGUGGGAGCUAGGGCACGGCCAGCGGCGGGCGCGCUGGUGGCUGACGGGUGCGGCCGACGGGGGAGGGCCGGGGCUCGCACCGGCCGGCGGCGGACUUCCUUUUUGGCUUUUUUUUUUUUUUGUUUUUUUUUUUUUUUUUGGCUCGGGCAGGCAUGGGCAUCCCGUUCCGCAACGGGUCAGGGCGGUAUAGUAGCAGCAGCCACGGCAACCGACGGCAGGGCUCCCAGGGGCGACGGCGGGGCUCCUAGGGGUAACGGCAAUGGGUUGCGAGAGGCCGAGAGAAGGCGGCGCAGUCGACCCCAGGCGGCGGCGGCCCCAGGGGAAGGCUUUGCUGCACCCUCGGCCCGAGCUGGACCAGGCCGGUAGUAGCUACCAAGGGCGGUAGUGGCGGUGCGCGCGAGCGGCGAUGAUCGGCGAGGGAGUCGCCAGAGGCCCGAGGAGGGCGGCACGGCCGGCCCAAGGUGGCGGCAGUGCGUGGGCCACCGACUACACAAGUCUCGGCCGAGCUAACCAAGCUUGGCUGCGGAUUGCCCAACCUGCAACGGCGGCGCACGGGAACGGCAGGGGACCGGCGGGGGAGUCGCCGGAGGUCAGAGCCGCUGCCAGAGGGGGCACCCGAGGGUGAGGAUCACCCUGGGUAGUCCACAGAUAGAGGUGGUGGUGGUGUUGGAGGAGAGGGAGGCAAUGCAGCUUAUUCCAGGAGCCGGAGGUGCGCGCCGGCGGUCGGGGUGCGCGCUGCGAGGGCAGGGGAUGGAGAUAGAGGUGGCUGGGGGCGCAGCUGGGGUUAGGGUUAGGGUUCGCAUGGUGUAAACCCUAGAAUGCUAAAACGCACGAACACACCCCCAUAUUCGAUUUCACACAAAACGGUACAUAAAAUGUAGGGCUUAUCGCAAAAUUACCAUUUUGCCAUUUACGACCCCUCCUCGAACAACGCGCGAUAUUAGGAGAUUCGUCCGUCAGAUUUGCGAAUGGAUCAUACCAGUGCGAUCAGCACGACAAAGACAUCAAACUCACAAUUUUGUUCUUCUUGGUUUGGUGGCAAAUUCACAACAAAACCCAUCCUCUUUCCAACUGGCAAAACCACGUACACACAAAUACAUAAAAUAUAUGUAUCUCCAGUUUCUUGAAAUCCGAGCGCCAAACCUGAAAUCCGUCAACGCCAUUGGAUCCACGACAGUCGAACCAUUGAAAACGAGCUAUUGGUUCACUAUGAACAAAGUUCGAUACGCGCCGAAAGCCAUCUCUACUCAUUGGCUUCUCCGAAAACCUGGGUUACUAUUCACUUUAAUGAAAAGUAAAGAUCGCGUAAAUCUCCAUUCUAACUCGUUUUCUCCCGAAACUUGACGAGUGCUUUUGUGAUUAAAAUACACACAAAACAUCAUCAAUAGAGAGUUUAGCUACACUGCCAAAAUCUCAGUCCUUACAUAUAUAUAUAUAUAUAUAGAACUAGGCUAAUAUACUAUUAAUAGCACCAAGUUAUUCGUGCUAACAACUUUUUGGCCAUUGGAUUAAGAGAUGUGCGGUUAGGAUGAUGUGGGCCCCCUAGGGUUGAGUGGGUGGUUGGUUGAAUAGUAUGAUCUAACGGGUGAAAGUGAUCAAAAGGGUAGAUCUAACGGCAGAAAACUUGGUAGCACCAAGUACUUCGUGCUAUUAAUAGCAUAAUAGCCGGACUCUCUCUCUCUCUCUCUCUCUAUAUAUAUAUAAUUUCGGUUUAUAAUUUUCUUUUGUGACUCGUUCUUCAAGAAGUCUAUAUUGAAAUUAUGUAUAACAUCUAAUUUAGUUAUUUUUUGUACUACUAAUUAAUUUAUUUAUUCAUGAUUAUAAAGUCGUGUGUUUAGUUUAAUUUUUACGGUAUAAUUUUUACGUUAUUGCUGUAAACACACAUAAGGUGAUCAUAAAAAUAAAAUUUAUAGUAGGAUAUAUAGAAUUCAUACAAUUUAUAAUUUUUGAGUCACAUAAGGUUGUUAAGAAAAUUACUCUGGACUUUUAUUCUUUUCCGCUGCAUUUUGGAAAANGUCGUGUGUUUAGUUUAAUUUUUACGGUAUAAUUUUUACGUUAUUGCUCUAAACACACAUAAGGUGAUCAUAAAAAUAAAAUUUAGAGUAGGACAUAUAGAAUUCAUACAAUUUAUAAUUUUUGAGUCACAUAAGGUUGUUAAGAAAAUUACUCUGGACUUUUAUUCUUUUCCGCUGCAUUUUGGAAUAACGUGUAAUUUUUGGUUAUUCAAUAUCAUAUAAAGAUUAAUGUGAGAUUAACUAUGUUUAGGAGUAGCCACAACAUUCUAGUCAUGGUAUAUGAUCAAUUACGAUAUUUUUUUUAAGAUGAUAUUGAAUUAAAGUUAACUCAAAAAUUCAUAUGAAUUCUCAAUUUAUUUUUAAAUAGUCAUUCAAUAUCAAAUAAGGUUAUUUGUAUUUUUCAUUAUGCUUAAAAGUAGCCACAGCAUCAGCAUCCUAUAGAUAAUUAAUGAAGAAUAUAUAAGAAUUUACUGAUAUUGAAUUAAAGAUUGGCUAUUUAUUGCAGUCAAAUAAAUAAUAAUUUUCUGAAUUUUGACUGGAAUUGUAUAGUGUAUUGAAUUUCUAGAUAACGAGUUUUCUUAUACCUACAAAUACCGAAAUCUCGUUGUUUAGAAAUUAGUUUUUCUCUAGUCUUAUUAU